ACGGCCGGGCUGACCGCGGCGGCCGUGGCGGCGGCGCUGGUGCUGCCCGAGGUCGCGGAGGCCGCGUCCCCGGGGCUGUCCCCGUCGCUCAAGAACUUCCUGCUCAGCAUCGUGUCCGGCGGGGUCGUCUUCGCCGGCAUCGCCGGGGCAGUCGUCGCCGUCUCCAACUUCGACCCCGUCAAGAGGACCUGAUCGCCUCGCCGGAUUCUCAGGGCACGUCGCCUCGCUUUGUAUCUCCAUAAAUCUCUUUUCUGUGUUUUAUUCGGAGACUCUGUACGUAGAAGAGAUCCAUGACAAUGGAGUUCUGAUUAAUGGCUGUGUAUACUCUGGUUCGUCUGCUUAAACUCAUGCUUGCGGGCUGUAUCCAGUAAUUGGAUGUUUGUUUACUUCUGAAGCUACUUCCCCCUUUCCAAAUUACUUACAGCGUGCUCGGCAGUAUGAGGGAAAGGGAAUGGAAGGUUACAAGAGGGAGUAUGUCUAGAUAUUAGACUUGAGAAUUACUAGAAUUUUAGUCUCAAUCUCCAUUUUGAUGUGUGGUCGGAAUUAUCGGUGAGUUGAAUUAACAGGGGGCUUGGGAAGAGAGACCAUGAAAUUGACCUCUUUUAUUUCCUUUCCCCUUCUCUCCUCAAUUCCCUUGCCCCUAGCCAAACAAUGAAUAAUAUGUCUUGUAUCCUUAAACUCUUGUUCCCUAUCACAAAUUGCCUCCAACCAAACAUGCUUUUAGUUUUAGGUUGAUCCUAAAUCGAACUUCUUUAAAUUUGACCAAAUCUAUAGAAAAUAUAUCAACAUUGACACCAUUCAAUUACUUUCAUUAGAUCCAUCAUAGGAUAUACUUUUAUUCAUAUACGCGCUCCGUCCCGAAUUACUUGUCGCGGAAAUGGAUAUAAAUUAAUGUAUCUAAAACUAUAAAUUCAUCUAGAUACAUUCACUUCUGUGACAAGUAAUUCAAACGAAAAAAGUAUAUUUCUGAUGUUGUAGAUAUUGGACUUUUUUAUAUGGUCAAACUUGAAGAAGUUUGACUUAGACAAAACCAUAACUUCAACGAAUUUGGAAGGGAGGUAGUACCAACCAGUGCAACUUCUUUUCACCUUUUAUCAAAAAAAAAUUGAAUCCAAUGUUUGAUUCUUGCCUUACGGAACGAACGUCUGUUGCCAUCCGAUGUGGGAGGAUAAACAAUGAGACGAGGAAGAAUCGGCGGGCGGAGGUGGCCGACUGCCGUUCAUGGACAAAAGUGGGCGCCGCUACCUCCAAUUAUCACACAUUGGCGUCACGAUAUGGGUAUAGGUGCAGGGUGUGGUGGUGACUUGGUGUUCGCACAAACAAUACUAGUGCUCCGGAUCCGCGACGCGCUCAUCAACCUGAUUGGCACCAUUGUUAUAUGUCUCGACGCAACAGGCCAGUGAUGGGGCCCUAGUGGUGGUGGUGGUGGUGGUGGUGGUGGUGGUGGUGGUGGAGGUAAACAAGAUACAGAGAGAAUGAGGAUAUAUAUUUUGACAAAACACUAAAAGCAUUAUCAGGGUUGAACUGCCUCAUCAACGAGACAACAUGGGAAAAACCAUCUUUUGAUGGGCUAUUUAACACAAUUAUUAGCCAAAAUUGAUGGAAGUGUCGUAUUAGUAACAAAUUUAGACCAGUGUCUAACAUGGAUUUUUUUCCAUAACCAAAUAGGGAAACACAUUACUAUUUAGGGUUAACUAAGGAAACAUUUGUUGUCUGGGUGCAAAUAGUUUUGUGAACAACAACAAUUCCAUCAAAUUGCUAGGAGUUUCAUAUUUGAUCCUUCAUUCCCAUAUAUUUCUUCAAUAAAAAAAAUUGUGUUUGCGUUAUAGGUAUCAUGUCUAAUUAGUUGUGCAAUAUAUUUAUUUAAAUUUUCUACAUUGUUUAGAUUCUGCAUUCAGCUAACUAUUGUGAUAUUUCUUUUUAAAAAGAUUUUUGCGUACCUCCCUCAUAACAAUAAACAUACGCUCCACCCAUAGGGAAGGGAAAGAGAAUUCACUAGCAAGUGUCAGCAACCCCCUUUCUUAUACCCUCUGCUCUAAAGAUUUCAGAUUCAAAGAAUAUGGUUCAAGAAGGUCACAUUUUGGGGGGGGGGGGGCUUCUUGGUCUGGCCUUUCUAACAUCCCUGUAUUUUUCGUAUGAUGAUUUAUAGUCGCCUCUAGACUUGCGUCGUCUCAGUGUUCNNNNNNNNNNNNNNNNNNNNNNNNNNNNNNNNNNNNNNNNNNNNNNNNNNNNNNNNNNNNNNNNNNNNNNNNNNNNNNNNNNNNNNNNNNNNNNNNNNNNNNNNNNNNNNNNNNNNNNNNNNNNNNNNNNNNNNNNNNNNNNNNNNNNNNNNNNNNNNNNNNNNNNNNNNNNNNNNNNNNNNNNNNNNNNNNNNNNNNNNNNNNNNNNNNNNNNNNNNNNNNNNNNNNNNNNNNNNNNNNNNNNNNNNNNNNNNNNNNNNNNNNNNNNNNNNNNNNNNNNNNNNNNNNNNNNNNNNNNNNNNNNNNNNNNNNNNNNNNNNNNNNNNNNNNNNNNNNNNNNNNNNNNNNNNNNNNNNNNNNNNNNNNNNNNNNNNNNNNNNNNNNNNNNNNNNNNNNNNNNNNNNNNNNNNNNNNNNNNNNNNNNNNNNNNNNNNNNNNNNNNNNNNNNNNNNNNNNNNNNNNNNNNNNNNNNNNNNNUCUUCUACAACAUAUUUGAUUUGAAGGUAUUUUUACAUGGAAAAUCAUGUUUAUUGCUUAGCUAACACAUUUACUUGAUCUAUUAAACAAGAUUUGUUUUAUAUCUUCUAAAACUCUACAAUGCCUCUAUGGUGAUUCAUAUAUCUAUAUUGAGGUGCAUACUCUACUUACAAGGUGUAAGAACCAUGUGAUUACAAUAGGCCACAUGCUGGUGCUGAUUGUUGUACUAGUUGUAGCGACUCACCUUUCCAUUUCUAUCCCUAUUCUCUAAUUUGUUUGUUUUCUAAUUCAGGUCAUGACACUGGUAACUUCAAUAGUGUUUAGUGGAAAUUGAAGCAAAUGCGUCCCUAUGUGAAGUGUGUAUGAUCGUUUGACAAUAAUGGUUUGUUCCAUGAUUAUCGAUUGGGUUAUAGUACUUCGGAGAUCGGUGAUGGUUCAAUCUUUUUUUAUUGUUGGAACGUGUAUGAUGCAUCUAUGACUAUAAUGCACCAUGUUUUAUGUUCUCAUAUUUCUUUUUUUUUUCGAAUGGCCACCCAUGGUAGCACUCGUCAGGUGUUACAUUCAGAUAGCAUAAUGGGCCUUAAUUGAGCAGGAGCAUCUGCAAUUAGCGUCAGGUCAUCUUCCCUUCUAGCUUUACCGCCAACUCAUGCGCCAAUAUGUUCCAUAUACCUAGGGAGAGGAACUGAUGUUGUAAACCUCAAAUAUAGACAAAGCAGCGUUUGACUCUGAUGAGGACAUGACUACCUUGGAUACGACCAAAAAUAUUGCAUACAUGCAUAUUUGUCAGGUGAUUUCUAGUGCAAACUAUUCAAUAAUCUAUUUAUGUUAUCCAGAACAAAAAUACUUCACACACUUUUGUGUUUUGUCUAAUUGCAGGUGUAUGGGAUAUUUGUACAAUUCACAUAUGAAGAUAAGGGAGAAAGAUAUGUUUAAGUGCUGUUCAAAAAGUUCUCUCACAUCACUUUUGGGCCAAGAGAAGAUAGAGUCCAAAUCUCUCACGUUCUAGAUUCAGAUUCGGACUGCACAGAGAUACCUGACUCAAAACGCCAACAACUUUUUCAUACGGACUCCGAAUUGGGUGAUUUUUUUUGUUGGAUUCUAGAUUUUGUGCUCUUUCCAGCUCAAUUGGAUUCACCUUCAAAUUCGUCCGGAGCGUUGAGAUAUCGACGAAACAAUCAGACGCUGCAGCAGAAUCCGAGUCAAACAACAAGUCCAAAGGUGCUGCAUCACCUCCACUUGGGCCCAUUGACCUUGUACGACCUAGGGUUAGUUUUAGGCUGCCUUGAGACGUCCUCCCACCUCCUAGGCCGCCACCCCUUGCUCCUAUAUAAGUAGAUCCAUCUAGUAGCUUUUCCCUUGGGAUUUGUUUAGUUAAAAGUUAGCCAUUGCAACUUCGUGUACUUCGUUUGUGUCCAACGACCAGACCAAGACCGCGUACGGAUCCCCGCCUUUAUCAAUACUUCAUAUAUUCUCGCAAUAUUCAGAUUGCUUUUAUCAUAUUCUUGCUAGUUCUUCGAUUGCUUGCAGGAAUAGACCUUCGUGGUCAGGCUGACCGUGCUUCCGGCAUCGUCAGUAACCUCAGGAGAUUGGUUUAGCGAUUGCUAAGGCGCAACGUCGUGCACGUUUGUAGUCGGAUCAUCAAAGUCAUCUUCACCAAAUCGAUAGUUAUCAUCUCAUCGAAUGAUCGGGACACCCCGCCUCUAUCAAGUGGUAUCAGUUUUCAGGUUGCUCGGUGAGAAUUUCCUGUUUUUUCUAGAUUAGAUUUAUUUUCUUACCUAUUGUCCAAGAAAAAGCCACAAAAAAGUUAGAUCUAUUCAUCCUUUGUCCAAGUCAGUCUGAGCCUUUGCAAUUUUCUUUUCAUUAUUUGCAUUAUUGAAUUAUCGGUUUCAUCGUCGUGUCGAGUUGCUGGUCUUAGUGUCUAGUUCGUUUAGAGUUUUGAGUUCUGUUCACAUUAGUCACGCCGCCGCUGCAUCGUCAUCCCUUCCACUGUCCACCACCCAUCCAUCAAAUUCCACCAUGUGCUACCAACCGUUCAUUGUCAUAAUCAUAGUUGAGAUCGUUCACAUCUUCGCUUGAUCCAAUCUGCAUCUUAUCUAGUUUGUUUUGGAAAGAGAGAGACAAAAAAAGACGGAAAAAAGAGAGAGAAAAAAGUAAAAAAAGUCAGAAAAAAAGAGAAAGAAAAAGAAAAAAAAGUGUGAGAAAAAAAAGGAAGAGAAAAAAAACAAAAUUCGGAUCUAUCUAGACUCAAUCUCGUAGUUGAAUUCGGAUUGAAAUCUGUUUUGUGCACUGUUCAGUAAAACAGGCAUAACUUCCUCAUACGAAGUCCGUUUUGGCUCCACAAUUACUCAAAUUAAAGCUAGCGACUAGACGCAUCUGAAUAGUUGCAAAAGCUAUAUUUGGCGUCUCAAAAUCAGCUUCUAAAUAGGUCAUUUUGCCCUCUGAAGUUCGCGCAUACAGUUUGUUCCAGUUUUUCAGGCCAGUUUUAGAAUUCUUUGACUCCUCAUAUCAAUUCGGAAUUGAGUGAUUCUUUUUGUAUUGGAAAGCUUGAGUUAGUAGCAAACUUUUCAAGGGGAAAGUUGGAGAGAGAGUUCUUAUAUAUCCUGCUUGGCAGUUGUUAUUCAUCAUUAUCUUUACUAUCGUUGUGAUCUUCACUUAUAUCUGGCUGUCCAGAGCUACUUAUCCUUCAUUGAUGCUAGUUGUGCUAUGUCGUGACCUCAUUAGUGUUCUAGGCUCGCGUCUCUAGUCCGGUCUAGCCUAGGACCAGCACAGUAUCGUUGUUGAGCGUUUAUUCAACAUUGCAUCUUUGAAUUUAUUAUUGCUAAUCUUUUGCUACCAUAUAUAGCCAACCCAGCUCCACAUAUUUCUACACCGUGUAUAUGUACGUUCCCCUGGCAAUCGCUUUACACAAUCUCCAGAGUUAUUUGACACCGCUGGUUGCCUGUCACCACCUAUCGCAUGGUAAGAACUUGUAAGAUAUUGAUAUUUGCUUUACUGUGAGCACGUUACAACCACAUCCUAGUUGUUCAUAGGAACAUUAUUCUCGAAUUUUGUUUCUUGUUUCUACUAAUCAUGACAGGUUCCGGAGAAAGAAGUUCUUGGACGACGAACACAUCUUCACCAUCACGAGAGUUGGGACAACACACACAAGCACAUGGUCAGGUUAUCUCUUUACCAUCAUUUGAGGAUAGAUUUAAUCCUGCUAUUUAUCUAGAUUGGGAGCUUGAAGUAGAACAAGUUUUUAGUUACCAUGACUUUUCUGAACUUGAGCGAGUACGAGCUGCCACUAGAGCAUUUACUAGUUUUGCUUCUGUUUGGUGGAGUGUGCAUUAUAAGAAAAACAUUGAUAACCAACCCACAACUUGGAAAGAUUUGAAACAUGUAGUGAGACAACAAUUUUUCCCUCCUUACUAUCGUCGGGAAUUGCUUCGCAAAUUUGAACAAUUUAAACAAGGCAAUAACACUAUUCAUGCUUACUAUCAAGAGUUCAAAUCUUAUAUGCAUCAUUGUGACAUAGAAGAAUCUAAGGAUGAUACAAUGAAUAGAUUUUUUGGUGGUUUGAACCAUGAUAUUCAGGCAAGAUUUAGGUAUAUUCCUCGUUGCAUUACUGGUAUGUAUGUUCGUGCUUGUACCUUUGAGAGACAGUUACAGGAGGAUGUAUUGGGUGACUACAACAACUACUAUUCCAAUUCAUGCUCACUACCAUCGGUUGAUUCCUCCACCGUUGCACCUACUAGAUCAGCCACACCUCAGAUUGUGAGUGCGACAUCAUCUCAAGUGUAUGGUACAUUGUCAUUGUCCAUACCGACAUUAGCUACGUCUUUGCGACAAGGUAACAGUAAAGAUAUUGAUGAUAUAACUUCACAUGAGAAUGAUGCAUCCCUAAUUAACUUAAAUACAUCAUGUGUUUAGUUACCUAUUGAUUUGAGCACGCCACCUAUUUUAGAGAAUCAUGUUAUUAUCAUGAAUGCAUCAUGUGAUCAAACAACUGAAAUACCAACAAUUUUGAGUGCACCCAUUGAAUUAACUAUUGAUGCAAAAGAACCAAUGUUUAAUCAUUUUGAUAUGACCUCUAAUCUUAGUGAUGAUUCUGUGUCCAAUGACUUAUUGCAUGUUUGCUUAUUUAAGCAUGUUGUAGCAUGUAAAUUUGAUGCAAGUAAGGUUUAUUCACCAAUGUUGGGAUGGUUUAAUGAUGAAUAUUGUCAAUCUUUUGAUAGGAAUAAGAGCUUCACUUAUAUGUGCAAACUGAGUUGCAAUAUUUUAAUGCCUUCUACUUAUGAUAAUAUUUUGGCUUUAUAUUUUAUGAUCUAUGAAAGUUACUCAUGUAUACAUGUGUCAUAUGUGCAAAAAUCAAUGGAACUAAAAAUGGAUGACAUAUACAUAUACAACAUGUAUACCUUGUCUUUUUUGUUAGCCACAUUUCAGAUUAAGCAACGCCGAGGACAACUUUGUUUUCAAAAAGGGGAGGAUGAUGAGGACAUGACUACCUUGGAUACGACCAAAAAUAUUGCAUACAUGCAUAUUUGUCAGGUGAUUUCUAGUGCAAACUAUUCAAUAAUCUAUUUAUGUUAUCCAGAACAAAAAUACUUCACACACUUUUGUGUUUUGUCUAAUUGCAGGUGUAUGGGAUAUUUGUACAAUUCACAUAUGAAGAUAAGGGAGAAAGAUAUGUUUAAAUGCUGUUCAAAAAGUUCGCUCACAUCACUUUUAGGCCAAGAGAAGAUAGAGUCCAAAUCUCUCACGUUCUAGAUUCAGAUUCGGACUGCAUAGAGAUACCUGACUCAAAACGCCAACAACUUUUUCAUACGGACUCCGAAUUGGGUGAUUUUUUUGUUGGAUUCUAGAUUUUGUGCUCUUUCCAGCCCAAUUGGAUUCACCUUCAAAUUCGUCCGGAGCGUUGAGAUAUCGACGAAACAAUCAGACGCUGCAGCAGAAUCCGAGUCAAACAACAAGUCCAAAGGUGUUGCAUCACCUUCACUUGGGCCCAUUGGCCUUGUACGACCUAGGGUUAGUUUUAGGCUGCCUUGGGACGUCCUCCCACCUCCUAGGCCGCCACCCCUUGCUCCUAUAUAAGUAGAUCCAUCUAGUAGAUUUUCCCUUGGGAUUUGUUUAGUUAAAAGUUAGCCAUUGCAACUUCGUGUACUUCGUUUGUGUCCAACGACCAGACCAAGACCGCUUAUGGAUCCCCGCCUUUAUCAAUACUUCCUAUAUACUCGCAAUAUUCAGAUUGAUUUUAUCAUAUUCUUGCUAGUUCUUCGAUUGCUUGCAGGAAUAGACCUUCGUGGUCAGGCUGACCGUGCUUCCGGCAUCGUCAGUAACCUCAGGAGAUUGGUUUAGCGAUUGCUAAGGCGCAACGUCGUGCACGUUUGUAGUCGGAUCAUCAAAGUCAUCUUCACCAAAUCGAUAAUUAUCAUCUCAUCGAAAGAUCGGGACACCCCGCCUCUAUCAGACUCAAAUAUCAUCGGAAAGCAUGCUGAUGGAUUUGACCUUCCAAUGUGCAGCUCUUUUGCAAUGAGUGCACAGUCCAAUUCAAGAAUUAUGGGGCCUCUGUACAUUCUCGGCAGGGAUUUUAAGUCAACCACAGCAGCGCAUCCCUCGACCUCCACAACUGACUCGCACCGAACCAUGGGCCUGCUAACUGAGACCAACAGAAAACCCCUAUGAUCUCUGGCAACAACACCGACACAACUCUCGCUCGAUUCAGUCAAAAACACUGCGUCCGAGUUUAUUUUGACAGUUCCGACCAGGGGGCUAUCCUAGCGAAUCAAUAGUUCCUCUGGGGGUCUGGGAAAGCUGUUCGACAAGGACCACAUGGUUUUGCCCUGACCAUCUUCAAUCGACAUAGUCAGGAUUCUGAUUUCCUCCUCGAAUAUGGUCAAGAACUGCACUAAUCUCGAGAUUAGUUCCUUGCCAUAAUUAUGAACAACAAUAUCAUGUACUCCUUCCGUUUCAUAGUAUAAAAGCGUUUUUGACACGAUACCAAGUCGUCCAUAACAGCAACAAAACUUUACUCUAGUUUCAGUAUUACACUUAUCUAUAAAAAAUUGCAGCCAACCCUUGCCAGUGUACCAAAAUUCUUUUUCUUCAGGCAACACCCUGCCAGCUGCGAACCAGGUGGAUCUGGCUCGAGGCUAGUGGCGGAGACAGGGGAGACCAGCAGGGGCCCUGGCCCCCCCUAUGACUGCUGAUUUGCUGCUAGUUUAUACAUGAACAGUGUAAAAUUUAGACAAAAAUGCAUACAUUAAUAUUGGUUGGCCCCUCUUAUCAAAAGAUUGAGUCAUUUGGCCCCCCUAAUCUUUAAUUCCUGGCUCCGCCGCUGCUCGAGGCAACCAACCCGUCUCGGCCCUAGGAGCCGGUGGUGCAACAAAUCUUCCGUGCAUCGACGUCCUGGAUCCUGGGCGAUGGCAAGCAGCGUCGUUUCUGGACUGGCCCAUGGCUUGAUGGGCGCUCCAUCUCUGAGCUGGCGCCCCCUCUCAUGACGCUGGUUCCACAGCGACGAAGGCACUAAGCUCGUUUGCAAGGCCAUCCUCGACCGCGCCUGGUCGCCCUGGGAGUGGUGACCACGUUGCAAUAUGUUGACAUCAUGCGCAUGCUCCAAUGGGUUUUUCUCUCCAAUACCCUCAACAAAAUCCUCUGGCGAUGGACAACGAACAACAUCUACUCGGCUGCAUCCUGCUACCAGGCCCUCUUCACCGGUUCAACUGUGGCCCCUUUCUGGCAGCUAAUUUGGAAAACUUGGACGCCUCAAAGUGCCAAGUUCUUCCUCUCCUCUGGCUUGCGGCACUUGACAGGUGCUGGACGGCCGAGCGUCGGGCACGGCAUGACCUCAUGCGCGACCUGUUGUGCGUCCUCUGAGACCGAAAUCAUCCAUCACACCCUGGCUGGAUGUGUAUUCUCGCGCAUCACUUGGCACGAGAUCCUAUCUUGGUGCCGCCUAACUACAACGCCACCCGGGUCCUCAGCUUCCGGGUUGAUUAACUGAUUAAUCCAUCUCAAAUGGACAGGGCGUUUUGGCUCUCAGGCUCAUAUGAGCCCCGGAGUGAACAGUAAAAUCGCAAAAAAUACUAUUGUUCUGAAAAAUCACAAAAAGAAUUGUGGUGAAAGAUGUGUGAGUUCAUGAUACCCGUGCAAAAAAAUCAGCACAUUUGAACAUCUGACGGGCUUUCAGCAAAAAAAAGACAAAAUUGGGAUACGUGGAAAAGUUUACUGUUUUGCACUAUUCGGAGAUGAUUUUUUGCUGAGAGCUAUUCAGAUGUCCGAAUGAGCUGAAAUUUGCCACGAACUUCACGUACUCGAGCAACUUUCGCCAUACAAAAGUUUGGUUUUUUUAAUUUUCUAGUAUUUUAUUUGAAUUUACUGUUCACAGGGCGUAGAUGAGCUUCGGAGCCGAAUUGAAUAUUCGAUCUCAAACAUGAUAUUUUAACGAGUUUUGUUGUUCUCAAUCUUUCUUUCCUCAGUAUCCAUUGGUCCAUCUGAAUUAUGCUCUUUCUAUUUCGCACAUGCUAAAUAAUUCACUUCUUGAGCAGCUCGUGUCCACAUUCAAUUCCUCUCCAUGCCGGCGAGGCAUCCAUAGAAAACACAGUGCUCAGAAGAUCUCCUUUUGGGUAAUACUUAGAUCUAAGGACCCUUGCACACAGUCUGUUUGGAUUUUGGAUGAGCCUCCACCCUGUCCUGUCAACAACGUUUGAUUAAAAAAAGGCACAUUUGCAUUUUUGUCCCUAACUCGAACCGCCUACUCAGAUUUACCCCUAAUUUCGAAGCAUGCUCAAAUUUACCCCUCUGCCGUUAGGUGCCCUUAUAGAAAUGCUCUUUCAUGUCGUUUCCGUCACGUCAAAGGGCUUUGACCAUUUUAUUCACGUUUGCUGGACAUUUUUGCCCCUCUGUGCAUGUCCCACUUAUAGGUGGGACCUACCUAGGGAAAGAAAAAAAAACUCCCUCUUUCUCUCUGACUUACACGUGGAGCCCACCAAUAAAAAAAGGUCUCCCUCUCUCAUAACCUCCCCCUCUCCCUGACAUGUGGGCCAUUGAACCCAAUGUCAGGGUCAACUCCUGUUCGCACGUGGUCACGGCGAGGCUUGGCGGCUCGGCCGGUGGACGUUGCCGGUGAGGGACAUGCGCCUGCGUGUGAGGACCGCGGUGGGAGGCUCGGGAUCGUCUGACGGAGGGGGUGGAGCCGCCGCCCACAUCUUUCGUUGGAGCUAUCAUGGGAGCAAUCGUCUGAGAGCGCCUGAGAGCUUCGGUCGACGACGUCGUUAGCCACCGCGGCCGGAGUCCAAAUCCAACCAUACGAGCAUGUCCAUGAGCUUCGUCGGGUGCCUCUCCUCUGCCCUGCGCAGUGAAUCGGGCCUAGGGCCGCCAUAGACGACACCUGGGACAUCGAACUCCGCCAAGGCCGUCGCUCUUCCUGCCCUAAAUUCGGCCGCCAUGAGCCAUUCUUCACCAACCCGACCUCUCUCAAGUCAUCUAGGAAAGCUCACACCCCUACUCUCAUCAUCCCCUACCCGAUUCCGUGCCCGGAGCCCCCUGCUCAAAGCCGGACGCGAUGACUGACCUCGGUUGUGUGUUGGCCAUGUGUGCGCGCAUCUACACCCUGCUACGCCCGGUGAGCUUGAGUCUCGCGUAGCUCGCAUGGUUGGCGCCCUCCCCGCGCGGUCAACCACCCCCCUACGGUGAGCAACCGGCGAGCGCAUCCGCUGACGGCCGGGAAAGAGAAGGGAUGAGGGAGAGUGUUUUUUUACUUUGUCCUUGGUAGGUCCCAUGUGUAAGUGGGUGACCCAUGGUAGAUCUGAGCUGGCAUAGUUUUCCUUUUAUUUAAUUCAAAUGGGUCCCGCAUGUAAGUGUCACAUGGAGUCAGAGGCAAAAUGCCCGACUAACAUCUAGAAAAUGGUCAAAGCCCUUUAACCUAAUAGAAAAGGCACAUAAGGGGAUUUCUGUAAGGGCACAUAAUGGAGGAGGGGCAAAUUUGAGCAAGCUUCCAAAUUAGGGGCAAAUAUGAGUAGUAGGUUCGAGUUAGGGAUAGAGAUGUAAAAGACCCUAAAAAAUGCAGGCCUCCAGCUCUUUUCGGUUUGGCCAUUCGGUUCCCAGACAUCUAGUGCAACUUCCCACGGCCCUCCUCAUCUCCCCACCAGAAAUCGUGAAUGAUCUUUUCAUAUGUUUCGCAAAAACCCUUGGACAGCAAGAACAUCCCAUGGUCAAAGUGGGUAGGGCUUGAACCACCAAUUUGAUAUGAACCUCUUUUGCAACAUAAGACAUUAAUCUCUCGUUCCAAAUAUUGCAUUUGUUCCCGACUCUAUCCAUGAUCAGUUGGAAGUUCUCAUAUUUCAUUCUCCUUUCUCGUUACGGUAGACCAAGAUAUUUGCUAUCGAAGGUCGAUGGUUCCAUUUCCAACACCGGUUUAAUAUCCUCUCUGGUUUGACUCGAACACUAUUCACUAAAGAUGAUCGAGCACUUGCUCGAACUGAGAAGUUGACCGGUGCACCCGUGGAACACUUGGGAGGACAUUUUUAACCGUAACAACUUGGUCCACCGAGGCUUUAAAAAAUAGCAUGUUGGCAUCUGCAAAGAGGAGGUUUGAGACACCCGGGCUAUUGCGAGCCACCUUGACCAGUGUGAUCCUUCCACCAGCCACCUCCUUGUUAAGAAAAUUAACCAGACCAUCUGCCACAAAGAGAAAUAGGUAUGAGGUGAGUAGAUCACCUUGACAAAAGAACCCUCGUUGGCUUGAAAUUAUCCAGUUGUUCUCCAUUAUGCUUAACGAAUAAUCUAACAGAUGCCACACAUUGCAUGACCCACUGUGUCCAUCUCCGGCUGAAUCCAAUCUUUUCUAAAGCCUACUUCAGAAAUCUCCAAUCAACCAUGUCAUACGCUUUGGUGAGGUCAAGUCUGUAGGCACAAUGAGUAUCUCACGGGGUUGUACUAUGCUGAAUUUUAUGGAAACACUCAAACACGAUGAUGGCGUUAUCGGUUAUCCUUCUUCCAAGAACAAAUGCACUAUGUGUUUCUACAAUGAUCUCAUCCAGGAAGGACCUAAGUCUAUUGACCGAACGCUUGGAGACAACAUUGUAAAUCACAACACAUAAGCUUAUGGGGCUGAAGUAUGAGGAGUAUCACCAUGCCGUUUAUUCCUUCAAGCAUUCACUACUAGAAAAAGGGUUAUAGCUAAUAUGAACAUUAAUGGCGCACCACAUGUGUGGUGCAUCACUGCUAUAUAGCAGUGGCGCACCAUGUAUAGGUACAUCAUUAGUGUCCAUAUCACUAAUGGCGCACCACACCCACGGUGCGCCACUACUAACAUUUUUUUUCAAAACUAGUAAUGGCGCACCAGGGGAUAGUGCGCCAUUACUAGUUUUAACUAGUAAUGGCGCAACACACACUCUGUGCGCCACUACUAACAAAUUUUUUACUUAUUUUUUCAAAACUAGUAAUGGCGCACCAGGGGAUAGUGCGCCAUUACUAGUUCAAACUAGUAAUGGCGCACCUCAACCACGGUGCGCCACUACUAACAAUUUUUUUUAAACUAGUAAUGGCGCACCACAUACUAGGUGCACCAUUAGUAAUCAGGGUUACUAAUGGCGCAUUAUUAGGUGGUGCGCCAUUGGUAACCUGAGAGCAGCUAGAUAUUUUGGACAGCCACCUACCACACUCACUUUCCCCACUUCAUUCUCUCCACCUCGUCCUCCAAGCUUGUCUCGGCUGCCUCCUCCUCCUCACCUCAUUUGCAACAUAGAUUCACCCAAAUUAAGUGGUUAAAUUUCCUUUUUUUGAUAGGUAAGUAAGGGGAAAGCUUUUUUUAUGUUGUAGAUCAACUUUUUUCUCCCUCCAACAACGUGCACAUGCACUUUUUAUGGUCUAGAUCUACGUAUGUUUGUGGUAUUGCAUAUGUUUGUGUUUGCAGGUACCGGUAUUUGAAAUGCGAAAGUUGCCAAUAUUUUGCUGGAAUGUUGAUUCAUUUCCGUUUCGGCGAGAAUUUGGCACCAUGCAUUCUUUUUGGUCCUAUUUUUAGGCAAAGUCAUGCCAAAUUUUUUUUUGGUUCUAAAAUAUCAUUUUGCUCUACCCCACAGGCGACCAUGGUCCGCACGAUGACCGAAGGCAUUGUGAAUAGGUUUUUGAGCUCCGCGAAGGCCAUGAUGCUUCAAAAGAACGAGAUGGAGAUAAGAUGUCCGUGUCGAAGAUGCAAGCUGAAGAGCCUUAUGGACCCGGAUUCCGUACAGGUGCGGGACCACCUGCUCUUGCGUGGUUUCAUGGAUGGCUAUCGGUGGCAAGGUGAUGAAGAUGAUUAUGAAGUCGUCCAUGGGGGCCGGGCAAGAAAUGAGGAAGGGCAGCAAGACAACCGCGGCGAGGGCGGGCGAGAAGACGAAGAAUCUCCAGGACAUGAUCACGUAGUAGAUGCAGUACACAGUCAUCAUGUAGAAGAUGCCGGACAUGAUGAUGAGGAAGAUGCCGGAGCAGACGAAGGGCAUGAUCAUGAAGAUGAAGAUGCCGGAGCAGAUGACGAUGGACCAUCAAUGGGCUGGAUGCAGGACCCUCAUAUUCAAGAGCUGCUUCUCAAGCAGACGGAUAACGCAAGAGCUGCCACCCGAGAGAAAGCCAAGCUAGAUCAACUGGAGAUAGAUGCGGUUACUCCAUUGUAUGAAGGAUGCAUGCCCGAGGAUACCCACCUGAAAGUAACGCUCAUGGCCUUGGAGAUGAAGGUAAAACACAAAAUGACCGACGCAUGCUUCGACGAGAACAUGUCCUUCUGGCACGAACGUCUUCCCAAGGGGAACAAGUGCCCGACCAGUUUUGAGGAGGCGAAGAAAAUCGUGUGUCCUCUGGAUUUACGACACGUGAAAUACCAUGUGUGCAUGAACAAUUGCAUCAUUUAUCGAGACGAGCACGCGGAGUCUACCAUAUGUCUGGUGUGCGGCGUCACUCGAUACAAGAAGAGGAAGAAAGCUCCUCAAAAAGUGGUGUGGUACUUUUCGAUCACUCCUCGUCUGCAGCGGUAUUUCGCGGACCCUAAGGUAGCAAAGCUCCUGCAUUGGCACGCAGAUAGGGAGGAGAAGAAGCGAGAAGAUGAUGGAAAUGAUCCAGAGAUAAAUAAAAAAGACAAGAUGCUGAGUCACCCUAAGGAUGCGAGCCAGUGGCAAGCGUUGAACUUCGAACACCCAGAAUUUGGGGACGAUCCAAAGAACAUCAUGCUAGGCGCGAGCACCGAUGGAGUCAAUCCGUUUGGCAGCCAGAGAAGCACACAUAGCACCUGGCCCGUGUUUGUGUGGAUGUACAACCUUCCUCCCUGGUUGUGCAUGAAGAGGAGGUACAUUCACAUGAGUAUGCUAAUUGAAGGGCCGAAACAACCAGGGAACGACAUCAAUCUAUAUCUGGGGCUGCUGAAAGAGGAGCUAGACAUGCUGUGGAAAACGCCAGCCAAUACGUGGGACACAGCAGAGAAAGCAUAUUUCCCUAUGAGAGCCGCACUGCUCACGACGGUGCACGACUAUCUCGGUUACGGAUAUGUCGCGGGGCAGGUGGUCCACGGAUUUUCUGGAUGUGUCAGGUGCAUGGAUGACACAACGUAUUGCCAGCUAGAUAGAGAUCUUGGGUCUUCAAAAACUGUGUUCAUGGGACAUCGAAGGUGGCUUCGCGAUGAUGACUCAUGGAGAAAAUGCAAGGAUCUGUUCGAUGGUGAAACCGAACCGCGAAGACGCCCGCAUACGAGGAGCAGCGAAGAAAUAGACGAGCUGUUGAAAAAUUGGAAAGAGUGCCCGGAGCCGGGAGCCGCUGCUGAAGGUAUGGAAAAUGAGGCCUGUUUUCUGGGACUUGCCAUACUGGAAGAUCCUCCGUGUGCCUCACUGCCUUGAUGUCAUGCAUAUCACAAAGAAUGUGUGCGAGAGUCUGCUUGGUACCCUGCUCAACAUGCCAGAGAGGACCAAAGAUGGGCCGAAAACAAGGGCAGACUUGAAAUCAAUGGGCAUCAGGGAGGAGCUUCACGCUAAUGAUGAUGAUGAUGAUGAGGCGAAGGGCACGGAAAGUCGUCGCAAAGGCAAAAAGACCAAGAAGAUCAAAAAUGACUGCCCUCCCGCGUGCUUCACUCUAAGUCAGGAGGAGAUCGAGCAGUUUUUCACCUGCCUCGUAGGAGUAAAAAUUCCUUACGGUUAUGCGGGGAAGAUAACCAGAUACCUAGACUCAGCGAAGCAGAAGUUUAGCGGGAUGAAGUCUCACGACUGUCACAUGCUGAUGACGCAGAUACUUCUAGUUGCAAUCUGUGGGAUCAUGGACGCGCACUUUCAUGAACCGCUAUUUGGCCUAUGCAACUUUUUCGACGUCAUCUCUCGGAAGUUAGUUGGCGUGAGGCAACUCAGAAGGCUACAGGAAGAGAUCGUGGUGAUACUAUGCGAACUUGAGAUGUACUUCCCGCCCGCAUUCUUCGACGUUAUGGUGCACCUGCUGGUCCAUAUCGUGGAGGAUAUCAUCCAACUCGGGCCGAUGUUCCUGCACAGCAUGAUGCCGUUCGAAAGGAUGAAUGGUGUCAUUAAAGGAUACGUUCGCAACAUGUCACGUCCAGAGGGAAGCAUAGCCAAGGGCUUUUUGACCGAAGAGUGCAUCUCCUACUGCAUGAAUUAUCUAGGCAUCGAGAACUGAUACGUCUCCAACGUAUCUAUAAUUUUUGAUUGCUCCAUGCUACUUUAUCUACUGUUUUAGGAAAUAUUGGGCUUUAUCAUCCACUUUUAUAUUAUUUUUGGGACUAACCUAUUAACCGAAGGCCCAGCCCAGAUUUGUUGUUUUAUGCCUAUUUUAGUGUUUUAGGGAAAAGGAAUAUCAGACGAAGUCAAAACGGAACGAAAUCAACUGGAGAAGUUAUUUUGGGAAGGAAACCCACCUGAUGGACUUGGAGUGCACGUUAGGGGAGUCCCGGGCUACCCACGAGGGUGGGGGGCACGCCCCCCUGGAGGUCCACCGACGUACCCCUUGCACCCAUAUAUACCUACGUACCCUAAAACUUCCAGAAGAGAAGAUAGAUUGGGAGUUCUGCCGCCGCAAGCCUCUGUAGCCACCAAAAACCUCUCGGGAGCCUGUUCCGGCACCCUGCCGGAGGGGGAACCCAUCACCGGUGGCCAUCUUCAUCAUCCCGGCGCUAUCCAUGAAGAGGAGGGAGUAGUUCACCCUCGGGGCUGAGGGUAUGUACCAGCAGCUAUGUGUUUGAUCUCUCUCUCUCUCUCUCUCUCGUGUUCUCUCUCGUGUUACCUGUAUGGCACGAUCUUGAUGUAUCCCGAGCUUUGCUAUUGUAGUUGGAUCUUAUGAUGUUUCUCCCCCUCUACUCUCUUGUGAUGAAUUGAGUUUCCCCUUUGAAGUUAUCUUAUCGGAUUGAGUCUUUUAUGAGAACACUUGAUGUAUGUCUUGCGAUCUACUUGAUGUAUGUUUUGGUGAUCAACUUGCGGGUUUCGUGACAUUGGGAACCUAUGCAUAGGGGUUGGCACACGUUCUUGACUCUCCGGUAGUAGCUUUGGGGCACUCUUUGAAGUACUUUUAUGUUGGUUGGAUGAAUCUGAGAUUGUGUGACGCAUAUCGUAUAAUCAUGCCCACGGAUACUUGAGGUGACAAUGGAGUAUCUAGGUGACAUUAGGGUUUUGGUUGAUUUGUGUCUUAAGGUGUUAUUCUAGUACGAGCUCUUUUAUAGAUUGAUCCAAAAGAAUAACUUUGAGGUGGUUUCGUACCCUACCAUAAUCUCUACGUUUGUUCUCCGCUAUCAGUGGCUUUGGAGUGACUUUUUGUUUCAUGUUGAGGGCUUGUUAUAUGAUCUAUCUAUGUUAUUAUUGUUGAGAGAACUUGCACUAGUGAAAGUAUGAACCCUAGGCCUUGUUUCCUAUCAUUGCGAUACCGUUUACGCUCACUUUUACCGCUUGCUACCUUGCUGUUUUUAUUAUUUCAGAUUACAAAAACCUAUAUCUACUAUCUAUUUUGCACUUGUAUGACCAUCUCUUCGCCGAACUAGUGCACCUAUACAAUUUACCAUUGUAUUGGGUGUGUUGGGGACACAAGAGACUCUUUGUUAUUUGGUUGCAGGGUUGUUUGAGAGAGACCAUCUUCAUCCUACGCCUCCUACGGAUUGAUAAACCUUAGGUCAUCCACUUGAGGGAAAUUUGCUACUGUCCUACAAACCUGUGCACUUGCAGGCCCAACAACGUCUACAAGAAGAAGGUUGUGUAGUAGACAUCAAGCACUUUUCUGACGCAGUUGCCGGGGAGGUUAGCGCUUGAAGGUAUAUCUUUAGAUCUUGCAAUCGAAUCUUUUUGUUUCUUGUUUUAGCACUAGUUUAGUUUAUAAAAGAAAAUUACAAAAAAAUGGAGUUAAGUUUGUCACAUACGCUUCACCUUUUUAAUAUCUUUCGUGAGUAUGAUGGAAAGGAUAAUUGUGCUCAAGUGCUAGAAGAAGAAAUCUCUAAAUUGUUUGGCACUAAAUAUUUGAAUGAUGAUCAUGAUUGCAAUGUUGUUAGUAUGAAUUCUUUGAAUAUCCAUGAUACUAAUGAUAUGCAAAGCAACAAGCUUGGGGAAGCUAUGUUUGACGAAGAUGAUAUUUUUUGUCCCCGAAGCUUUGAUGAGCAAAAUUACUAUGAUGAAAGCAUGCCUCCUAUCUAUGAUGAUUAUUGUGAUGACACGUAUGCUUUAAAGAAUAAUGAUAACCAUGAAACUUGUCAUCUUGAUCUUAAUUUUCAAUCAUAUGAUAGUUAUUUUGUUGAGUUUGCUCCCACUAUUAUUCACGAGAAGAAUCUUGCUUAUGUGGAGAGUAGUAAAUUUUCUAUGCUAGUAGAUCAUGAAAAGAAUGCUUUAGGUGCUGGUUAUAUUGUUGAAUUCAUUCAUGAUGCUACUGAAAAUUAUUAUGAUGGAGGAACAUAUGCUUGUAGGAGUUGCAGUAAUGUCAAGUUUCCUCUCUAUGUGCUUAAAAUUUUGAAGUUAUGCUUGUUUUACCUCCCUAUGCUAGUUGAUUAUUGUUCCCAUAAGUUGUUUGCUCACAAAAUCCCUAUGCAUAGGAAGUGGGUUAGGCUUAAAUGUGCUAGUCAUAUGCUUCAUGAUGCUCCCAUUAUGUUUCAAUUCGUAUCUUUUAUGUGAGCAUCAUUGUCAUCAUCAUGCCUAGCUAGAAAGGCAUUAAAGAAAAGCGCUUGUUGGGAGACAACCCAAUAUUUAUCCUUACUGUGUUUGUGUGUCCACAUGAUUAUGCUACUGUAGUAAUCAUGUUUUAUAGCUUUUGUUUCAAUAAAGUGCCAAGUAGAACCUUUGGGAAGACUUGGGUGAAGUUUAUGUGAUCUUGCUGUGAAAAACAGAAACUUUAGCGCUCACGAGAUUAGCUGCCAUUUUUUAUUGGAGAGUGAUUUUAGGCUGAUUCUUUUUUGAAGAUGAUUAAUAGACAAAUUUCUCAGGUCCAGAAAUUUAUUUCAUAAUUUUUGGGGUUCCAGAAGUAUACGUUUGAUACAGAUUACUACAGACUGUUCUGUUUUUGACAGAUUCUGUUUUCAUUGUGUUGUUUGCUUAUUUUGAUGCAUCUAUGGCUAGUAUUAAGUGGUAUGAACCAUAGAGAAGUUGGAAUACAGUAGGUUUUACACCAAUAUGAAUCUUGAAUGAGUUCAUUACAGUACCUAAGUGGUGGUUUUAUUUUCUUAUACUAACGGAGCUUACGAGUUUUGUGUUGAGUUUUGUGUGGUUGAAGUUUUCAAGUUUUGGGUAAGGAUUCGAUGGACUAUGGAAUAAGGAGUGGAAAGAGCCUAAGCUUGGGGAUGCCCAAGGCACCCCAAGGUAAUAUUCAAGGACAACCAAGAGCCUAAGCUUGGGGAUGCCCCGGAAGGCAUCCCCUCUUUCGUCUUCGUUCAUCGGUAACUUUACUUGGAGCUAUAUUUUUAUUCACCACAUGAUAUGUGUUUUGCUUGGAGUGUCAUUUUAUUUUGUUAGUUUUUGCUUGAUGUUAGUUAGAUUAAUGUUUUGCAUCUUUAGUUUCAAUAAAAAAAGUCAAGGAUAGCAUUUGCCAUGCUUAUUUUGCUAGUAUACAUGUUUCUGUUUGAAAACAGAAAGUUUACCGCUGUUGCAAAAUUUCUCUAGAAAAGUCAGAGAACGGUAUAACGUUGAAUAUUUUUGAAUAUUACGCUCUGAUAAAUUUACUACAGUGGGAAUUUUAGUUCAUAAUUUUUGGAGUCAGGGAAGUAUUGUUACUCUUGCAUUCUUUACAGACUGUACUGUUUUGGCAGAUUGCUGUUAUGUUUGCAUUGUUUGCAUCUAUUUGCUUGUUUAAUGAUUCUAUUUGAGGAUAGGAGUAUUAAAUAUACAGAGGAAUUUAGUAUUCAAUGUUGAAUAAUAAUGUUAGUAAUUUGUUACAGUGGAAGAUGAUAAGGUUUUGCAUUGGUUUAUACUAACCUAUCUCAGAAGUUCUUGUUGAGUUUGUUGUGAAUGAAGCUUUUGAUAAAAAGAGAAACCGUGACAUGAAAGGAAUUAAGGAGACACAAAAGCUCAAGCUUGGGGAUGUCCAAGGCACCCCAAGAUAAUAUUUCAAUAAGUCUGAAGCAUCUAAGCUUGGGGAUGCCCCGGUAGGCAUCCCACCUUUCUUCUUCAACAAUCAUCGGUUAGUAUCGGUUGAGCCUAAGUUUUUGCUUCUUCACAUGAGUUGUGCUAUCCUUGCAAUGUCAUUUAUUUUGCUUUGCUUGCUGUUUGAAUAAGAUAUGAAGAUCUGAAAUUCUUUAUUGAGAGAGAGUCUUCGCAUAGUUGCAUAAUUAUUUAGCUACUCAUUGAUCUUCACUUAUAUCUUUCGGAGUAGUUUUUGUUAUUGCUCAUAGUGCUUCACUUAUAUCUUUUGAGCGUGAUAAUUUUUGCUCUAGUACUCCACUUAGAUCUUUUAGAGCACAGUGGUGGAUUUGUUUUAAAGAAACUAUUGAUCUCUCAUGCUUCACUUAGAUUAUUUUGAGAGCCGUUAAUAGCACGAUAAUUUGCUUAAAGUUAAUAUACUUGGUAUUCAAGAUAUGUGAAACUUUCUUUUGAGUGAAUUGAAUACUAAGAUAAGUUUGAUGCUUGAUAAUUGUUUUGAGAUAUGGAGGUGAUAGUAUCAAAGUCGUGCUAGUUGGGUGAUUAUGAAUUUGAGAAAUGCUUGUGUUGAAGUUUGCAAGUCCCGUAGCAUGCACGUAUGGUUAAAGUUGUGUAACAAAUUUGAAACAUGAAGUGUACCUGGCUUGUGCAUCCUUAUGAGUGGCGGUCGGGGACGAGCGAUGGUCUUUUCCUACCAAUCUAUCCCCCUAGGAGCAUGCGCGUAAUACUUGAUUUUUGAUGACUUCUAAAUUUUUACAAUAAGUAUAUGAGUUCUUUUGACUAAUGUUGAGUCCAUGGAUUAUACGCACUCUCACCUUUCCGCCUUUGCUAGCCUCUCUAAUACCGCGCACUUUUCGCCGGUAUCAUACACCCACCAUAUACCUUCCUAAAAACAGCCACCAUACCUACCUAUUAUAGCAUUUCCAUAGCCAUUCCGAGAUAUAUUGCCAUGCAACUUUCCACCAUUCCGUUUAUUAUGACACGCUCCAUCAUUGUCAUAUUGCUUUUUUGCAUGAACAUGUAGUUGACAUUGUAUUUGUGGCAAGGCCACCUUCAUAAUUUUCAUACAUGUCGCUCUUGAUUCAUUGCAUAUCCCGGUACACCGCCGGAGGCAUUCAUAUAGAGUCAUAUUUGUUCUAAGUAUCGAGUUGUAAUUGUUGAGUUAUAAGAAAAAUAAAAGUGUGAUGAUCAUCACUACUAGAGCAUUGUCCCAGUGAGGAAAGGAUGAUGGAGACUAUGAUUCCCCCAUAAGUCGGGAUGAGACUCCGGACGAAAAAAAAGAGUGGCCAUAAAGAAAAGAAGAGAAAAGGCCCAAAUAAAAAAAUGAUGAGAGAAAAAGAGAGAAGGGACAAUGCUACUAUCCUUUUACCACACUUGUGCUUCAAAGUAGCACCAUGAUCUUCAUAAUGGAGAGUCUCAUAUGUUGUCACUUUCAUAUACUAGUGGGAAUUUUUCAUUAUAGAACUUGGCUUGUAUAUUACAAUGAUGGGCUUCCUCAAAAGUGCCAGAGGUCUUCGUGAGCAAGCAAGUUGGAUGCACACCCACUUAGUUUCUUUUGCUGAGCUUUCAUAUACUUAUAGCUCUAGUGCAUCCGUUGCAUGGCAAUCCCUACUCACUCACAUUGAUAUCUAUUGAUGGGCAUCUCCAUAGCCUGUUGAUACGCCUAGUUGAUGUGAGACUAUCUUCUUCUUUUUGUCUUCUCCACACAAUCCCCAUCAUCAUAUUCUAUUCCACCCAUAGUGCUAUAUCCAUGGCUCACGCUCAUGUAUUGCGUGAAGGUUGAAAAAGUUUGAGAUUAUUUAAGUAUGAAACAAUUGCUUGGCUUGUCAUCGGGGGUAUAGAAGUUGGGAACAACUUUGUGUGAUGAAGAUGGAGCAUAGUCAGACUAUAUGAUUUUGUAGGGACAACUUUCUUUGGCCAUGUUAUUUUGAGAAGACAUAAUUGCUUAGUUAGUAUGCUUGAAGUAUUAUUAUUUUUAUGUCAAUAUGAACUUUUGUCUUGAAUCUUUCGGAUCUGAAUAUUCAUGCUACAAUUAAGAAGAUUUACAUUGAAAUUAUGCCAAAGUAUCACUCCACAUCAAAAAUUCUCUUUUUAUCAUCUACCUACUCGAGGACGAGCAGGAAUUAAGCUUGGGGAUGCUUGAUACAUCUCCAAUGUAUCUAUAAUUUUUGAUUGCUCCAUGCUACUUUAUCUACUGUUUUAGGCAAUAUUGGGCUUUAUCAUCCACUUUUAUAUUAUUUUUGGGACUAACCUAUUAACCGGAGGCCCAGCCCAGAUUUGCUGUUUUAUGCCUAUUUCAGUGUUACAAGGAAAAGGAAUAUCAGACGAAGUCAAAACGGAACAAAAUCAACUAGAGAAGUUAUUUUUGGAAGGAAACCCACCUGAUGGACUUGGAGUGCACGUCAGGGGAGUCUCGGGCUGCCCACGAGGGUGGGGGGUGCGCCACCCCCUGGGCGCGCCCCCUGCCUCAUGAGCACCCCGGAGGUCCACCGACGUACCCCUUGCACCCAUAUAUACCCACGUACCCUAAAACUUCCAGAAGACAAGAUAGAUCGGGAGUUCCGCUUCCGCAAGCCUCUGUAGCCACCAAAAACCACUCGGGAGCCUGUUCUGGCACCCUGCCAGAGGGGGAACCCAUCACCGGUGGCCAUCUUCAUCAUCCCGGCGCUAUCCAUGACGAGGAGGGAGUAGUUCACCCUCGGGGCUGAGGGUAUGUACCAGUAGCUAUGUGUUUGAUCUCUCUCUCUCUCUCGUGUUCUCUCUCGUGUUCCCUCUAUGGCACGAUCUUGAUGUAUCCCGAGCUUUGCUAUUGUAGUUGGAUCUUAUGAUGUUUCUGUUUGAAAUAUGCCCUAGAGGCAAUAAUAAAUUAAUUAUUAUUAUAUUUCCUUGUUCAUGAUAAUCGUUUAUUAUCCAUGCUAUAAUUGUAUUAACAGGAAACUCAGAUACAUGUGUGGGUACAUAGACAACACCAUGUCCCUAGUAAGCCUCUAGUUGACUAGCUCGUUGAUCAAUAGAUGGUUACGGUUUCCUGACCAUGGACAUUGGAUGUCGUUGAUAACGGGAUCACAUCAUUAGGAGAAUGAUGUGAUGGACAAGACCCAAUCCUAAGCCUAGCACAGAGAUCGUGUAGUUCGUAUGCUAAAGCUUUUCUAAUGUCAAGUAUCUUUUCCUUAGACCAUGAGAUUGUGAAACUCCCGGAUACCGUAGGAAUGCUUUGGGUGUACCAAACGUCACAACGUAACUGGGUGGCUAUAAAGGUGCACUACAGGUAUCUCUGAAAGUGUCUGUUGGGUUGGCACGAAUCGAGACUGGGAUUUGUCACUCCGUGUGACGGAGAGGUAUCUCUGGGCCCACUCGGUAGGACAUCAUCAUAAUGUGCACAAUGUGAUCAAAGUGUUGAUCGCGGGAUGAUGUGUUACGAAACGAGUAAAGAGACUUGCCGGUAACGAGAUUGAACAAGGUAUCGGUAUACCGACGAUCGAAUCUCAGGCAAGUACAAUACCGUUAGACAAAGGGAAUUGUAUACGGGAUCGAUUGAGUCCUUGACAUCGUGGUUCAUCCGAUGAGAUCAUCGUGGAACAUGUGGGAGCCAACAUGGGUAUCCAGAUCCCGCUGUUGGUUAUUGACCGGAGAACGUCUCGGUCAUGUCUGCAUGGUUCCCGAACCCGUAGGGUCUACACACUUAAGGUUCGAUCACGCUAGGGUUAUAAAGGAAGUUUGUAUGUGGUUACCAAAUGUUGUUCGGAUUCCCGGAUGAUAUCCCGGACGUCACGAGGAGUUCCGAAAUGGUCCGGAGGUAAAGAUUUAUAUAUGGGAAGUCCUGUUUUGGUCACUGGAAAAGUUUUGGGUUUUAUCGGUAAUGUACCGGGACCACCGGGAGGGUCCCGGGGGUCCACCAAGUGGGGACACCAACCCCGGAGGGCUGCUCGUUCCGUAAUACAUCAUCUCACAACUAACAUAUUAGUUGCAGUGCUUGCAAGGCUUAUGUGAUGUGCAUUACCGAGAGGGCCCAGAGAUACCUCUCCGACAAUCGGAGUGACAAAUCCUAAUCUUGAAAUACGCCAACCCAACAUCGACCAUUGGAGACACCUGUAGUACUCCUUUAUAAUCACCCAUUUACGUUGUGACGUUUGGUAAUACCCAAAGUGUUCCUCCGGUAAACGGGAGUUGCAUAAUCUCAUAGUCAUAGGAACAUGUAUAAGUCAUGAAGAAAGCAAUAGCAACAUACUAAACGAUCAGGUGCUAAGCUAAUGGAAUGGGUCAUGUCAAUCAGAUCAUUCUACUAAUGAUGUGACCUCGUUAAUCAAAUAACAACUCAUUGUUCAUGGUUAGGAAACAUAACCAUCUUUGAUUAACGAGCUAGUCAAGUAGAGGCAUACUAGUGACACUCUGUUUGUCUAUGUAUUCACACAUGUAUUAUGUUUCCGGUUAAUACAAUUCUAGCAUGAAUAAUAAACAUUUAUCAUGAUAUAAGGAAAUAAAUAAUAACUUUAUUAUUGCCUCUAGGGCAUAUUUCCUUCAGUCUCCCACUUGCACUAGAGUCAAUAAUCUAGUUCACAUCGCCAUGUGAUUUAACAGCAAUAGUUCAUAUCACCAUGUGAUUAACACCCAUAGUUCACAUCGCUAUGUAACCAACACCCAAAGGGUUUACUAGAUUCAGUAAUCUAGUUUACAUCGCUAUGUGAUUAAAACCCAAAGAGUACUAAGGUGUGAUCAUGUUUUGCUCGUGAGAGAAGCUUAGUCAACGGGUCUGUCAUAUUCAGAGCCGUAUGUAUUUUGCAAAUAUCCUAUGUCUACAAUGCUCUGUGCGGAGCUACUCUAGCUAAUUGCUCCCACUUUCAAUAUGUAUCCAGAUUGAGACUUAGAGUCAUCUGGAUCAGUGUAAAAGUUUGCACUGAUGUAACUUUUACAACAAACUCUUUUAUCACCUCCAUAAUCGAGAAACAUCUCCUUAGUCCUUACUAAGGAUAUUCUUGACCAAUGUCCAGUGAUCUACUCCUAGAUCACUAUUGUACUCCCUUGCCAAAUACAGAGCAAGGUAUACAAUAGGUCUGGUACAUAGCAUAGCAUACUUUAUAGAACCUAUGACUGAGGCAUAGGGAAUGACUUUUCAUUCUCUUUCUAUUUUCUGCUGUGAUCGGGAUUUGAGUCUUACUCAAUUUCAUACCUUUGCAACACAGGCAAGAACUCUUUCUUUAACUGUUCCAUUUUGAACUAUUUCAAAAUCUUGCCAAGGUAUGUAGUCAUUGAAAAUCUUAUCAAGUGUCUUGAUCUAUCUCAAUAGAUCUUGAUUCUCAAUAUAUAAGUAGCUUUUACUGAGGUCUUUUCUUGAAAAACUUUUAUUCAAGUAUCCCUUUAUGCUAUCCAGAAAUUCUAUAUCAUUUCCAAUCAAUAAUAUGUCAUCCACAUAUAAUAUCAGAAAUGCUACAGAGCUCCCACUCACUUUCUUGUAAAUACAGGCUUCUCCAAAAGUCUGUAUAAAACCAAAUGCUUUGAUCACACUAUCAAAACGUUUAUUCCAACUCUGAGAGGCUUACACCAGUCCAUAAAUGGAUCGCUGGAGCUUGCACACUUUGUUAGCUCCCUUUGGAUUGACAAAACCUUCUGGUUGCAUCAUAUACAACUCUUCUUUAAUAAAUCCAUUAAGGAAUGCAAUUUUGUUUAUCCAUUUGCCAGAUUUCAUAAAAUGCGGCAAUUGCUAACAUGAUUCGGACAGACUUUUAAGCAUCGAUACGAGCAAGAAAAUCUCAUCGUAUUCAACACCUUGAACUUUGUCAAAAACCUUUUUCGACAAGUCUAGCUUUGUAGAUAGUAACACUUCUAUCAACGUCUGUCUUCCUCUUGAAGAUCCAUUUAUUCUUAAUGACUCACCGAUCAUCGGGCAAGUCAAUCAAAGUCUACACUUUGUUCUCAUACAUGGAUCAUAUCUCAGAUUUCAUGGCUUCUAGCCACUUUGCGGAAUCUGGGCUCACCAUCGCUUCUUCAUAGUUCGUAGGUUCAUCAUGAUCUAGUAGCAUGACCUCCAGAAUAGGAUUACCGUACCACUCUGGUGCGGAUCUUACUCUGGUUGAUCUACGAAGUUCAGUAGUAUCUUGAUCUGAAGUUUCAUGAUCAUUAUCAUUGGCUUCCUCACUGACUGGUGUAGAUGUCACUGAAACAGUUUUCUGUGAUGAACUACUUUCUAGUAAGGGAGCAGGUACAGUUACCUCGUCAAGUUCUACUUUCCUCCCACUCACUUCUUUCGAGAGAAACUCCUUCUCCAGAAAGUUUCCGAAUUUAGCAACAAAAGUCUUGCCUUUCGGAUCUGUGAUAGAAGGUGUAUCCAAUAGUUUCCUUUGGAUAUCCUAUGAAGACGCACUUCUCCGAUUUGAGUUUGAGCUUAUCAGGAUGAAACUUUUUCAUAUAAGCAUCGCAACCCCAAAUUUAAGAAACGACAACUUUGGUUUCUUGCUAAACCACAGUUCAUAAGGCGUCGUCUCAACGGAUUUUGAUGGUGCCCUAUUUUAAAACGUGAAUGCAGCUGUCUCUAAUGCAUAACCCCAAAACGAUAGUGGUAAAGAGAUAUCAUAGAUCGCACCAUAUCAAAUAAAGUGCGGUUACGACGUUCGGACACACCAUAACGAUGUGGUGUUCCAGGUGGCGUGAGCUGUGAAACUAUUCCACAUUGUUUUAAUUGAAGACCAAACUCGUAACUCAAAUAUUUGUCUCCGCGAUCAGAUCGCAGAAACUUUAUUUUCUUGUUACGAUGAUUUUUCCACUUCACUCUGAAAUUCUUUGAACCUUUCAACUAUUUCAGACUUAUGUUUCAUCAAGUAGAUAUACCCAUAUCUGCUCAAAUCAUCUUGUGAAGGUCAGAAAACAACGAUGCUUGCCACGAGCAACAGCACUCAUUGGAUCGCAUACAUCGGUAUGUAUUAUUUCCAACAAGUCAGUAACUCGUUCCAUUGUUCCGAAGAACGGAGUUUUAGUCAUCUUACCCAAAAGGCACGGUUCGCAAGCAUCAAAUGAUUCAUAACCAAGUGAUUCCGAAAAUCCAUCUUUAUGGAGUUUCUUCAUGCGCUUUACACCGAUAUGACCCAAACGGCAGUGCCACAAAUAAGUUGCACUAUCAUUAUUAACUUUGCAUCUUUUGGCAUCAAUAUUAUGAAUAUGUGUAUCACUACGAUCGAGAUCCAAUGAACCAUUUUCAUUGGGUGUGUAACCAUAUAAGGUUUUAUUCAUGUAAAUAGAACAACAGUUUAUUCUCUUACUUAAAUGAAUAACCGUAUUGCAAUAAACAUGAUCAAAUCAUAUUCAUGCUCAACGCAAACACCAAAUAACAUUUAUUUAGGUUCAACACUAAUCCCGAAAGAAUAGGGAGUGUGCGAUGAUGAUCAUAUCAAUCUUGAAACUACUUUCAACACACAUCAUCACUUCACCCUUAACUAGUUUCUGUUUAUUCUGCAACUCCCGUUUCGAGUUACUACUCUUAGCAACUGAACCAGUACCAAAUACCGAGGGGUUGCUAUAAACACUAGUAAAGCACACAUCAAACACUUGUAUAUCAAAUAUACCCUUUUUCACUUUGCCAUCCUUCUUAUCCACCAAAUAUUUAGGGUAGUUCUGCUUCCAGUGACCAUUUCCUUUGCAGUGUAAGCACUCAGUUUCAGGCUUUGGUUCAGCUUUGGGCUUCUUCGUGGGAGUGACAACUUGCUUGUCAAUCUACUUGAAGUUCCCCUUUCUUUCCCUUUGCCCUUUUCUUGAAACUAGUGAUCUUGUCAACCAUCAACACUUGAUGCUCUUUCUUGAUUUCUACCUUCGUUGAUUUCAACAUCACGAAGAGCUCGGGAAUCAUUUUCAUCAUCCCUUGCAUACUAUAGUUCAUCACGAAGUUCUACUAACUUGGUGAUGGUGACUAGAGAAUUCUGUCAAUCACUAUCUUAUCUGGAAGAUUAACUCCCACUGAAUUCAAGCGAUUGAAGUACCCAGACAAUCUGAGCACAUGCUCACUAGUUGAGCGAUUCUCGUCCAUCUUUUAGCUAUAGAACUUGUUGGAGACUUCAUAUCUCUCAACUCGGGUAUUUGCUUGAAAUAUUAACUUCAAUUCCUGGAACAUCUCAUAUGGUCCAUGACGUUCAAAACGUCUUUGAAGUCCCGAUUCUAAGCCGUUAAGCAUGGUGCACUAAACUAUCAAGUAGUCAUCAUAUUGAGCUAGCCAGACGUUCAUAACUUCUGCAUCUGCUCCUGCAAUAGGUCUGUCACCUAGCGGUGCAUUAAGGACAUAAUUCUUCUGUGCAGCAAUGAGGAUUUAACCUCAGAUCACGGAUCAAAUCCGCAACAUUGCUACUAACAUUUUUCAACACAAUUUUCUCUAGGAACAUAUCAAAAUAAACACAGGGAAGCAACAACGCGAGCUAUUGAUCUACAACAUGAUUUGCAAAAUACUACCAGGACUAAGUUCAUGAUAAAUUUAAGUUCAAUUUAAUUAUAUAACUUAAGAACUCCCACUUAGAUAGACAUCCCUCUAAUCCUCUAAGUGAUCACGCGAUCCAAAUCAACUAAACCAUGUCCGAUCAUCACGUGAGAUGGAGUAGUUUCAUCGGUGAACAUCAUUAUGUUGAUCAUAUCUACUAUAUGAUUCACGCUCGACCUUUCGGUCUCCGUGUUCCGAGGCCAUAUCUGCAUAUGCUAGGCUCGUCAAGUUUAACCUGAGUAUUCUGCGUGCGCAACUGUUUUGCACCCGUUGUAUUUGAACGUAGAGCCUAUCACACCCGAUCAUCACGUGGUGUCUCAGCACGAAGAACUUUUGCAACGGUGCAUACUCAGGGAGAACACUUCUUGAUAAUUUAGUGAGAGAUCAUCUUAUAAUGCUACCGUCAAUCAAAGCAAGAUAAGAUGCAUAAAAAGAUAAACAUCACAUGCAAUCAAUAUAAGUGAUAUGAUAUGGCCAUCAUUAUCUUGUGCUUGUGAUCUCCAUCUCUGAAGCACCGUCAUGAUCACCAUCGUCACCGGCGCGACACCUUGAUCUCCAUCGUAGCAUCGUUGUCGUCUCGCCAAUCUUAUGCUUCCACGACUAUCACUACCGUUUAGUAAUAAAGUAAAGCAUUACAUCGCGAUUGCAUUGCAUACAAUAAAGCGACAACCAUAUGGCUCCUGCCAGUUGUCGAUAACUUGGUUACAAAACAUGAUCAUCUCAUACAAUAAAAUUCAGCAUCAUGCCUUGACCAUAUCACAUCACAACAUGCCCUGCAAAAACAAGUUAGACGUCCUCUACUUUGUUGUUGCAUGUUUUACGUGGCUGCUACGGGCUUAAGUAAGAACCAAUCUCACCUACGCAUCAAAACCACAACGAUAGUUUGUCAAAUAGACUCCGUUUUAACCUUCGCAAGGACCGGGCGUAGCCAUACUUGGUUCAACUAAAGUUGGAGAGGCAGUCGCCCGCAAGCCAUCUCUGUGCAAAGCACGUCGAGGGAACCGGUCUCGCGUAAGCGUACGCGUAAGGUUGGUCCGGGUCGUCUCGUCCAACAAUACCGCCAAACCAAAGUAUGACAUGCUGGUAGGCAGUAUGACUUGUAUCGUCCACAACUCACUUGUGUUCUACUCGUGCAUAUAACAUCAACAUAAAUAACCUAGGCUCUGAUACCACUGUUGGGUUUCGUGGAAAUUUCAAAAAAUUUCCUACGCGCACACAGGAUCAUGUGAUGCAUAGCAACGAGGGGAGAGUGUUGUCUACGUACCCAACGCAGACCGACUGCGGAAGCGAUGACACGACGUAGAGGAAGUAGUCGUACGUCUUCACGAUCCAACCGAUCAAGCACCGAAACUACGGCACCUCCGAGUUCGAGCACACGUUCAGCUCGAUGACGAUCCCCGGACUCCGAUCCAGCAAAGUGUCGGGGAAGAGUUCCGUUAGCACAACGGCGUGGUGACGAUCUUGAUGAACUACAGCAGCAGGGCUUCGCCUAAACUCCGCUACAGUAUUAUCGAGGAAUAUGGUGGCAGGGGGCACCGCACACGGCUAAGGAAUCGAUCACGUGGAUCAACUUGUGUCAACUUGUGUGUUUAGAGGUGCCCCUGCCUCCGUAUAUAAAGGAUGGAGGAGGAGGAGGCCGGCCAAGGCAAAGGUGCGGCCAGGAUAGGGAGUCCUACUAGGACUCCAAGUCCUAGUAGGAGUCCACCAAGAGGGGAGGAAGGGAGAAGGAAUAGGAGGAGAAGGAGAGGUGGCCGGCCCCUUUUUCCCUAGUCCAAUUCGGACCAAAGGGGAGGGGGGGCGCAGCAGCCUUUUUCCUCUUCCCACUAAAGCCCAUCAAGGCCCAUUACUUCUCCCGUAACUACCCGGUACUCCGAAAAAUACCCGAAUCACUCGGAACCUUUCCGAUGUCCGAAUAUAGUCGUCCAGUAUAUCGAUCUUUACGUCUCGACCAUUUCGAGACUCCUCGUCAUGUCCCCGAUCUCAUCCGGGACUCCGAACUCCUUCGGUACAUCAAAAUGCAUAAACUCAUAAUAUAACUGUCAUCGUAACCUUAAGCGUGCGGACCCUACGGGUUCGAGAACAAUGUAGACAUGACCGAGACAUGUCUCCGGUCAAUAACCAAUAGCGGGACCUGGAUGCCCAUAUUGGCUCCUACAUAUUCUACGAAGAUCUUUAUCGGUCAGACCGCAUAACAACAUACGUUGUUCCCUUUGUCAUCGGUAUGUUACUUGCCCGAGAUUUGAUCGUCGGUAUCCAAUACCUAGUUCAAUCUCGUUACCGGCAAGUCUCUUUAAUCGUUCCGUAAUACAUCAUCUCACAACUAACAUAUUAGUUGCAGUGCUUGCAAGGCUUAUGUGAUGUGCAUUACCGAGAGGGCCCAGAGAUACCUCUCCGACAAUCGGAGUGACAAAUCCUAAUCUCGAAAUACGCCAACCCAACAUCGACCAUUGGAGACACCUGUAGUACUCCUUUAUAAUCACCCAUUUACGUUGUGACGUUUGGUAGUACCCAAAGUGUUCCUCCGGUAAACGGGAGUUGCAUAAUCUCAUAGUCAUAGGAACAUGUAUAAGUCAUGAAGAAAGCAAUAGCAACAUACUAAACGAUCAGGUGCUAAGCUAAUGGAAUGGGUCAUGUCAAUCAGAUCAUUCUACUAAUGAUGUGACCUCGUUAAUCAAAUAACAACUCAUUGUUCAUGGUUAGGAAACAUAACCAUCUUUGAUUAACGAGCUAGUCAAGUAGAGGCAUACUAGUGACACUCUGUUUGUCUAUGUAUUCACACAUGUAUUAUGUUUCCGGUUAAUACAAUUCUAGCAUGAAUAAUAAACAUUUAUCAUGAUAUAAGGAAAUAAAUAAUAACUUUAUUAUUGCCUCUAGGGAAUAUUUCCUUCAAGAUCUUGGUGACACGUAGGAAAAUUUUGAAUUUCUGCUACGUUCCCCAACAGUGGUAUCAGAGCCAGGUCUAUUGCGUAGAUUCUUUGCACGAGUAGAACACAAAGUAGUUGUGGGCGUUGAUUUUGUUCAAUAUGCUUAUCGUUACUAGUCCAAUCUUGUUUCGACGAUAUUGUGGGAUGAAGCGGCCCGGACCGACCUUACACGUACUCUUACGUGAGAUAGGUUCCACCGACUGACAUGCACUUGGUGCAUAAGGUGGCUAGCGGGUGCCAGUCUCUCCCACUUUAGUUGGAACGGAUUGAUGAAAAGGGUCCUUAUGAAGGGUAAAUAGCAAUUGGCAUAUCACGUUGUGGUUUUGCGUAGGUAAGAAACGUUCUUGCUAGAAACCCAUAGCAGCCACGUAAAACAUGCAAACAACAAUUAGAGGACGUCUAACUUGUUUUUGUAGGGUAUGCUAUGUGAUGUGAUAUGGCCAAGAAGAAUGUGAUGAAUGAUAUGUGAUGUAUGAGAUUGAUCAUGUUCUUGUAAUAGGAAUCACGACUUGCAUGUCGAUGAAUAUGACAACCGGUAGGAGCCAUAGGAGUUGUCUUUAUUUAUUGUAUGACCUGCGUGUCAUUGAACAACGCCAUGUAAUUACUUUACUUUAUUGCUAACCGGUAGCCAUAGUAGUAGAAGUAAUUAGUUGGCAAGAAAACUUCAUGAAGACACGAUGAUGGAGAUCAUGAUGAUGGAGAUCAUGGUGUCAUGCCGGUGACGAUGAUGAUCAUGGAGCCCCGAAGAUGGAGAUCAAAAGGAGCAAAAUGUUAUUGGCCAUAUCAUGUCACUAUUUGAUUGCAUGUGAUGUUUAUCAUGUUUAUGCAUCUUAUUUGCUUAGAACGACGAUAGUAAAUAAGAUGAUCCCUCAUUAAAAUUUCAAGAAAGUGUCCCCCCUAACUAUGCACCAUUGCGAAAGUUAGUCAUUUCGAAGCACCACGUGAUGAUCGGGUGUGAUAGAUUCUUACGUUCACAUACAACGGGUGUAAGCCAGAUUUACACACGCGAAACACUUAGGUUAACUUGACGAGCCUAGCAUGUACAGACAUGGCCUCGGAACACAAGAGACCGAAAGGUCGAGCAUGAGUCGUAUAGUAGAUACGAUCAACAUGAAGAUGUUCACCGAUGAUGACUAGUCCGUCUCACGUGAUGAUCGGACACGGCCUAGUUGACUCGGAUCAUGUAAUCACUUAGAUGACUAGAGGGAUGUCUAUCUGAGUGGGAGUUCAUGAGAUGAACUUAAUUAUCCUGAACAUAGUCAAAAGAUCUUUGCAAAUUAUGUCGUAAGCUCGCGCUUUAGUUCCACUGUUUAGAUAUGUUCCUAGAGAAAAUAUAGUUGAAAGUUGACAGUAGCGAUUAUGCGAUCAGUAGAAAGAUAUGUCCUUAAUGCACCGCUCAAUGUGCAGAACCCCAAAACGUCGUCUGUGGAUGUUGCAAACAUCGAACAUACACGUUUUGAUAACUACGUGAUAGUUCAGUUAAACGGUUUAGAGUAGAGGCACCAAAGACGUUUUCAAAAUGUCGCGGAACAUAUGAGAUGUUUCGAGGGCUGAAAUUGGGAUUUCAGGCUCGUGCCCACGUCAAGAGGUAUGAGACCUCCGACGAAUUUCUUAGCCUACAAACUAAGGGAGAAAGCUCAAUUGAUGAGCUUGUGCUCAGAUUGUCUGAGUGCAAUAAUCACUUGAAUCGAGUGGGAGUUGAUCUUCCAGAUGAGAUAGUGAUGUUUCUCCAAAGUCAUUGCCACCAAGCUGCUAGAGCUUCGUGAUGAACUAUAACAUAUCAGGGAUACAUAUGAUGAUCCUUGAGGUAUUCACGAUGUUUGACACCGCGAAAGUAGAAAUCAAGAAGGACCAUCAAUUGUUGAUGGUUGGUGAAACCACUAGUUUCAAGAAGGUCAAGGGCAAGAAGGGAUACUUCAUGAAAUGGCAAAUAAGUUGCUGCUCUAGUGAAGAAACCCAAGGUUGAACCCAAACCCGAGACUAAGUGCUUCUGUAAUAAGGGGAACAACCACUGGAGCAGCAUUACCCUAGAUACUUGGUAGAUGAGAAGGCUGGCAAGGUCGAUAGAAGUAUAUUGGAUAUACAUUAUGUUAAGGUGUACUUUACUAUUACUCCUAGUAGCACCAGGGUAUUAAGAUACCGGUUCGGUUGCUAAGUGUUAGUAACUUGAAAUAAAAUAGCUACGGAAUAAACGGAGACUAGCUAAAGGAGAGCUGACGAUAUGUGUUGGAAGUGUUUCCAAUUUUGAUGUGAUCAAACAUCGCACGCUCCCUCUACCAUCAAGAUUAGUAUUAAACCUGAAUAAUUGUCAUUUGGUGUUUGCGUUGAGCAUAGACAUGAUUGGAUUAUGUCUAUCGCAAUACGGUUAUUCAUUUAAGGAGAAUAAUGGUUACUCUGUUUAUUUGAAUAAUACCUUCAAUGGUAUUGCACCUAAUAGGAAUGGUUUAUUGAAUCUCGAUCGUAGUGAUACACAUUUUCAUGCCAAAAGAUAUAAGAUAGUAAUGAUAGUACCACUUACUUGUGGCACUGCCAUGUAAGUCAUAUUGGUGUAAAACGCAUGAAGGAGCUCCAUGUUGAUGGAUCUUUGGACUCACUCAUUUUUGAAAAGUUUGAGACAUGCAAACCAUGUCUAUUGGUGUAUACGCAUGAAGAAACUCCAUGCAGAUGGAUUGUUUGGACUCACUUGAUUUUGAAUCACUUGAGAUAUGCAAAUCAUACCACAUGGCCAAGAUGACUGAAAAGCCUCGUUUUCAGUAAGAUGGAACAAGAUAGCAACUUGUUGGAAGUAACACAUUUUGAUGUGUGUAGUCCAAUGAGUGCUGAGGCAUGCAGUGAAUAUCAUUAUGUUCUUACUUCACAGAUGAUUCGAGUAGAUGUUGAGUAUAUUUACUUGAUGAAACAGAAGUCUGAAUUAUUGAAUGGUUCAAGUAAUUUCAGAGUGAAGUUGAAGGUCAUUGUGACAAGAGGAUAAAAUGUCUAUGAUAUGAUCAUAGAGAUGAGUAUCUGAGUUACGAGCUUUGGCACACAAUUAAGACAUUGUGGAAAUUGUUUCACAAUUAAUACCGCCUGGAACACCAUAGUGUGAUGGUGUGUCCGAACAUCAUAGUUGCACCCUAUUGGAUAUGGUGCGUACCAUGAUGUCUCUUAUCGAAUUACCACUAUCGUUCAUGGGUUAGGCAUUAGAGACAACCACACUCACUUUAAUAGGGCACCACGUAAUUCCGUUGAGACGACACCGUUUGAACUAUGGUUUGGAGAAACCUAAGUUGUUGUUUCUUGAAAGUUUGGGGCUGCGACGCUUAUGUGAAAAGGUUUCAUCGUUAUAAGCUCGAACUCAAAACGGAUAAAUACAUCUUCAUAGGAUACCCAAAAUGGUUGGGUAUACCUCCUAUCUCAAAUCCGGAAGCAAAAGUAAUUGUUUCUAGAAAUGGGUCCUUUCUCGGGGAAAAGUUUCUCUCGAAAGAAUUGAGUGGGAGGAUGGUGGAGACUUGAUGAGGUUAUUGAACCAUCACUUCAACCAGUGUGUAGCAGGGCACAGAAAGUUGUUCAUGUGGCACCUACACCAAUUGAAGUAGAAGCUUAUGAUAGUGAUCAUGAAGUUUUGGAUCAAGUCACUACCGCACCUCGUAGGGUGACAGGGAUGUGUACUACUUCAGAGUGGUACAGUAAUCCUGUCUUAGAGGUCAUGUUGCUAGACAACAAUGAACCUACGAGCUAUGGAGAAGCGAUGGUGGGCCUGGAUUCCGACAAAUGGCUAGAGGCCAUAAAAUCCGAGAGAGGAUCCAUGACUUUGGAAGAAAUACUUGAUGGUCGUAAGGCCGUUGGGUAAAGAUGGAUUUUAAAAGGAAGACAGACAAUGAUGGUAAGAAUCACCAUUAAGAAAGCUCGACUUGUCGUUAAGAUGUUUUCCGACAAGUUCAAGGAGUUGACUACGAUGAGAUUUUCUCAUCCGUAGCGAUGCUUAAGUCCGUCGGAAUCAUGUUAGCAUUAGCUGCAUUUAUGAAAUCUGGCAGAUGGAUGUCAAGACGAGUUUCCUUACCAGUUUUCGUAAGGAAAGGUUGUAUGUGAUACAAUCAGAAAAGUUCUGUCGAUCCUAAGGAUGCUAAAAGGUAUGCUCGCUCCAGCGAUCCUUCUAAGGACUGGAGUAAGCAUCUCGGAGUUGGAAUGUGCGCUUUGAUGAGAUGAUCAAAGAUUUUGGGUUUAUACAAAGUUCAUGAGAAACUUGUAUUUCCAAAGAAGUGAGUGGGAGCACUAUAGAAUUUCUGAUGAGUAUAUGUUGUUGACGUAUUGUUGAUCAGAAAUGAUGUAGAAUUUCUGGAAAGCAUAUAGGGUUAUUUGAAAGGUGUUUUUCAAUAGAAAACCUGGAUUAAGCUACUUGAACAUUGAGCAUCAAGAUCUAUGAGGAUAGAUCAAAAAAUGCUAAAUGGUACUUUCAAAUGAGCACAUACCUUGACGUGAUCUUGGAGGUGUUCAUGAUGGAUCAGUCAAAGAAGGAGUUCUUGCCUGAGAUGUGAGGUACGAAGUUAAGACUUAAAGCUCGACCACGGCAGAAUAGAGAGAAAGGACGAAGGUCGUCCCCUAUGCUUUAGACGUAGGCUCUACAGUAUGCUAUGCUGUGUACCGCACCUGAUGUGUGCCUUGCUACAUAUUUGGCAAGAGGGUACAAAGGUGAUCAAGGAGUGGAUCACCAGAUAGCGGUCAAAAUUAUCCUUAGAGUAAUAAGGAUAUGUUUCUCGAUUAUGGAGGUGAUAAAGAGUUCGACGUAAAGGGUUACGUCGAUGCAAGCUUUAACACCUAUUCGAAUGACUUUGAGUAGCAAACUGGAUACGUAUAGUGGAGCAACCAUUUGGAAUAGCUCCAAGUGGAGCGUGGAAGCAACAUUUACAAUAUGACCUAAAGAUUUGCGAAGUACAUACGAAUCUAAAUGUUGCAGACCCAUUGACAAAAACCUCUCUCACAAGCAAAACAUGAUCAAACCCCAGAACUCAUUGAGUCUUAAUCACAUGGUGAUGUGAACUAGUUUAGUGACACUAGUAAACUCUUUGGAUGUUGGUCACAUGGCGAUGUGACCUGAGUGUUAAUCACAUGGCGAUGUGAACUAGAUUAUUGACUCUAGUGCAAGUGGGAGACUGUUGGAAAUAUGCCCUAGAGGCAAUAAUAAAUUAGUUAUUAUUAUAUUUCCUUGUUCAUGAUAAUCGUUUAUUAUCCUACCUAAAGAACGUCCGUUCAAGAGAAGAACUCCAUUUGCGAAAAAGAAGGGCAAGAAGAUUGUGAAAAGAUAGCUAGCUAAGAUCGAUUGUAUUUAAAUUGUAGUCUUCAUUUCUCGAUUGUAUUCCGACAUAUGGAAAUGACAUUUUUUCUGUUCUAGUCCUCAUGAAUAUUUAUUUAUGUUUAUUCUGGUAUACCAAUUUUUAUUUAUGUUUAUUCUGGUAUUGAAUUUCUAAAUCACAAAAAGUAUUGAAUUUGUUAAUAUUUUUGAACUCAUGAAUAUUUUUAAAUUUCAUGGGCACUUUUUGAAUUCAUGAAUAUUUUUUCAAAUUUGAUGAUAUUUUUUCAUAUUCAUAAAUGUUUUACCAAUUCACAAAUGAAUGCAACUAAAAACCCAAAAUAAGUUACUAAUGGCACACCACGAGAAGGUGCGCCAUUGCUAUCAAGGUACUUAUGGCGCACCCCUAGCAGGUGCGCCAUUGGUAUACCAAUUUUUAUUUAGGUUUAUUCUGGUAUUGAAUUUCUAAAUCACAAAAAGUAUUGAAUUUGUUAAUAUUUUUUGAACUCAUGAAUAUUUUAAAAUUUCAUGGGCACUUUUUGAAUUCAUGAAUAUUUUUUCAAAUUUGAUGAUAUUUUUUCAUAUCCAUAAAUGUUUUCUAAAAAAUUAUUAGAUGCAACUAAAAAUCCAAAAAAUAUAUUUUCAAAUAACAAAUUUGAUGAUAACUUUUCAUAUUCAUAAAUGUUUUCAGAUUCAUAUUUUUUCAUAAGUGUUUUCAAAUUUGAUGAUAUUUUUUCACAUUCAUAAAUGUUUUCAAAUUUGAUCAUCAUUUUCUAAAAAAUUAUUAGAUGCAACUAAAAAUCCAAAAAAAAAGUUAGUAAUGGCGCACCAGGGGAAGGUGUGCCAUUGCUAUCACGGUGUUUAUGGCGCACCCCUAAAAGGUACGCCAUUGCUAACCCUCCUCCACUCCACUUGCUCCCCUCUCCCCUGGCCUCUCUCCCUCCCUCGCCAGAUCCACCUCUCCCACACCUAACCCGACGACCCCGUAGGAGCACGCCACCGUCCACCCGCGCCCGCUCCACUGCCCUGCCUCCUCGGCCCCCCUCCCCACUUGCCCCCUCGCACUUCCCCUCGCCCUCUCCGCCAUCUCCUCUACCUCAGAGCCCAGAAAGCCUCGCGCUUCCCUGCUCUCGCGCGAAGAGGUGGCUCCGAGAAGCCGAGCUCCAUUGCCGCAGAGGGUAGCAGCGCCGCGCAGCCGUGAGUACUAGGGAGGAGCGCCCCGGCGGACUGGAGAUCUGCUGCUGCGAAGUGCCGCAAUGGGCCAGGGAGGAGCGCCACCACAGAUUGAGGAAGGCCGCCUCCCGGACCGAGCUCCUCACACCACCGUAGAUCAAGGAGGACCGCCGCCCCGACCGAGCUCCUUCCUCAUGCCGCCCGCCUCUCCCCGACUUCGGCGCGCUAGCCCCCAGGUGAUUGAGGCCAUCCUACCCCAAUCCCAUCUCCUCCCAUCGGCAAUCCCCAUACCCUCGUCGCCGAUUGGCUGCGUGGUUCUUAUUGGAGCGUGGCUUGAAUUCUAGUGAUGCUUGUACUUUGGAUGCUUUUGAAUUUCAGUGAUGCUUGUACUCUGUAUACUUUUAAAUUUCAGUGACAAGUAGCAUGGAAAUUAACUUGUACUGAUAAUGCUAAGAAUUGACCUGUACCGGUUCUUGUAACAUACUGUAUAUACAGAUACUGGAUUUGAUUGGAUAGGAUUGACUGAUAAUGCUAAUAGUUUGAGCUUGUUGUCUCUUAAGGAAUCUAAACAAAAGUGUAUUGUGAAAGCAUGGAAAUCUUGUUUGAUGCUUCUCUGCACUGCACUACAUGCUGGCAUAUAGAAGAUUCUUCUCCGAAACUGAAUGUAUUUUAAGCAUUUGAUUCAGCAUUUUUAGCUUACCUCCAUGGCUUGCUGCAAUCUUGAAGUAACACAAUUUUGGCUGUAGUGCAUCCCCUGUAAAGUUCAUGCCAUGUGCUUGUCUAGUAUAUACUGUAGUACAAACAUUGUUAACUGGAUAUUUUUGCUCAUUGUUUGCUAGACCUGUCUAGUAUAUGUUUGCUAUUUGCUAUAUUAUUUAGUGUUGAAUGUAUUUUUUGGAUCUGGUCAGAUUUCUCACCAGUGACCUUGGUUGCCAUUAUCUUAAUUCAAAAGGUGCUAGCACUGAAUGUCUUGCUCUGUGCCCAUCUAUGGCAUGAAAAUGGGUCUUGUGUGACUACUUAGAAUGUUUUAUUGAUAGUCUCUAAGUAACAUUUCAAAUUGUAUUGUAGUUUGAAUCUUCUGUAGUUCAUGCCGUGGGCACUCAACUAGGGUUAGAUAUAGCCAUCUAUUUUGAGUUUUGUUUGUUGAUUUUGAGAUCUUUUGUAGGGAUUUUGAUUUUGAGGUGGUGUGAGUGUUAGGGUUUUCUUUGCUUUCUUGGAGGUGCACUCAGUGAGGCUUCUGGUAUGUGUUAUUAAUCACUUAUUCUCUUUUGUUUUUUAUUUAUUUCCCCCCUGUUAUUUAUAGAUCUUGGUUAGGUAUACCUUAUGCCUUGUGUAGUAUAGUUAAUUUUCUGCUUGAUUUUAGUUAUCAUCAUGCUUGUAGUUAGGGAUCCCCUCAUGUUAUUUUUUUGAUGAAUCGCUAGGGGGCAAGCCGCCCCACCUGUUUUUUUUUAAUUUUGCCCCACCUGAAUUAUAUUACUCAAUUGCAAUUAAGCAAACAUGUUCAAGCUGGUUAUCAGCAUGUCUUGUAUUUUGAUCAUGAGAAGCAGUAGCAUUGAAACUUACAAUGGUUUUUGAACACCCACUAUUAAGUAAUAAUAAGUCUAUAUUCAUAUAAGCCUGAGCAGUACAGUAGCUGAACCCACUAGCAGCACUGCAGCAGCUAACUAAGCUAUAUGCACACAUAGAAGAAAAUUACUUUGACAGAACACCCACAAACACAACGGAACAUAUAUACAACAAGUUUGGUGGAAUUCUAUUUCAAGAGACUAAAACUCAGUGUUGAUUUGCCAUGACACAAACAAAAUGUUUUCUUGCAUUAGAAUUUUGACUGAAUAACUAGUUCAUGCUGACCUGAGAUGGUUGGUUGCUGUCAACUUCGGAGGAAUAAUAAGUUGUUAUUCUGCUGCUGUUGUGUUGUUAUCUGCUGCUGCUGGUUAAAGUUCUUUGGAGGGUAUGAGAAGAAGCAGAGCAUUCAGUUUUGGCAAUUUCAUUUGUUGCUCUGUUGUUAUCUGCUUUGAGAUGCUGCAGUUCAUACGCACCUGCAAGAACUCUCUGGAGUAAAAUCUGCUUGUUCAUACCCGUUUCUCCUGAAAUGUUGAUUAAUUUCCGUUUCGGUUGAGAAUGGGGAACUCCUAGGUCAAGAAAAUUAGCAAAGGUCAUGCCCAAUUUUCUUGACCUAGAAGGUGCCCAAUUCUCAACCAAAACAAAAAUUAAUCAGCAUGUAUCUUGACAUCAACCAACUUUCUGAACACAUCCCUCAACAACUAGGUUAUCUUGAGAACUUAGAGGAGUUGUGGCUUUGGAAAGAGGCCUUGGAAAGCUACUCCUACUAGCUAGAUGGAGAUCUGUGCUCUGCUGUGGCACGCACUAGUUAAUUAAUUAAGCAAAACUAAUCUCUGGUCAAAAUUAUGGGCUAAUCAUGAUUAAAUGAUAGGAGAGGGAUGCAUGGCAGUGGCACCCAUUGAAGCCAUACAUAUAUACAAAGCUAUAAAAAGAUUAUACAAUAGUAGUGGUCUAGUGCUUUAGUGGUUGGAUUAGUUUAGUAUUUUUUCACACACUCAGGCACCCUUGCUUGCCAUGUGUGUGAGAGAGAUAGUGAGAGGAGACAAGAAGAAGGGGUUUAGGAAGAUGCUGCCUGCUCAUCAAAGCUAACCAUCUCCCCCUUUUCACCCCUUUUCCUUUGUCUUUUGUGGGUUGCAAGGAAGCUACUGUCUUAGCUAGCUUAGCUUGUGCACAAAUCCACUGCCACUGCCAUGAUUAAAUUAUCUUAGAUGAUAACAAUAACUAAUUGUCGGUAUCUAUCUGUAUGUGUAUCAUAUCAGUUGCUUGCACUUGGUAAAGGUGGAUGCAUGGCAUGGCAAUGCUAGCUAUAUCAAUUGCUUACUUACUAAUUAAUCAAAUGAUACGGCCGGGGUAUCUUUAGGGGCACCCAGUGAGCUAGUAUACUCCACAUGACUGGCCAGUAUUAAAACAAGUUAAUUACACCACCAUAUGACCGACUGGUCGAUUAAUUAAGCUACUAAUCCCAGUGUUACAAGCUAGAAAAUUAGCCUGCAAAGAUGAGAUCCCAUGCUGGCUGUACCACUGCAUCAUGCAAAGUGCCUUCAAGAUCCAAGGCAAUAUCACAAACAUCAUAGGCAAUUUGACCAAACUCACAUCAUUGUAUCUUUGCAGCAACCAACUUUCUGGACACAUCCCUCAAGAACUAGGUUACCUUGAGAACAUGGGCUUGGACCUUAGCAACAAAACACUAACAGGUUCCAUCCCAAAACACCUAGGCAAUAUCACAAACAUCUCUCAAUUGUUCCUUGACAAUAACCAACUUUUUGGCGACAUUCCUCGAGAAUUAGGUUAUCUGGUCAACUUAGAGAUAUUGUUCCUUGACAAUAACCAACUUUUUGACCAAACUAUUUUCCUAUUUAGAGCGAACAUGGCCAACAACGAUGAGGCCUGCGGUUCGGGUAAGCAAUUCUAGGAGCUGUCCCGGGAGAUGGAGGAAGAACCUCAUCGCUAUGAGGACGCCACGGAAGACACCGAUCUCGACUACACAACCCCUAGUGGUGUCGGGGAUGACACCACUGAUGGUGCCGCCGAGGAUGCCACCAUUGAUGAUGGCAGCGCAUGCACAGAUGGCAGCCAACCGAAGAGGCAACGGAAGAACCGGCGCCCGAACAUGCGUGGCACCAUCAAGCAGGAAUUUACUGAAGUGUCCUCCAGUGGGAAUCCAACGGCGCCCAAAGAAUUAGUCAGUGGGUACUCGGGACAACUCGGGUGCAUUCUUUGGAGCACCGUCUCGAUCAACACCGAGAACCUAAGGCAUCGUGACCGAGGGAAUUUGCGCAACCUCCUCUUCACGAAGCUGCAUGAACGAUACAAGUUCCCCGGUGACUUCGCAAACACACGCCUCUCAGGGAAUAAAGUGAACAGUGCCACCCUCACGAAUAUGAGCACGACCCUGGCUACUUGGUUCACCGCCGUGAGGAGAAGGAUUCUAAGAGGUGAUAGUUAUGAGAAGAUCAAGGAGACAAAUCCUUCGAUCAGCGAAGCUGACUAUCGGGAGUUCAAGAUCAAGUGCGAGAGCAACGCAACUGCGGAAUCAAGUCAGUAGGGGAAAGAUAUGCGGGACUUGAACUUAGGGGUCCACAAACUCGGUCCCGACGGUUACAGAGUGGCGGAACCUAUAUGGGACAAGGAGGACGCGAAGCGUGCCGAGCAAGGCCUACCGCCCCUCUUCGAUAAAUACCAUGACAAGCAGACCAGUAACUAUGUCAGGGCCCAGUACAAGGUGGAGCCGGUAACAAAGGAUCUUACCACUGAUCGAAAUACCAAGGCGCUUGAGCUUGUUCUGGUAAGGAAUACACCCCCACGUAAUUAGCUCCAUAUGAUUGCAUUCUAAUUAAUGAAACCAAAUUUCUAAAUGGUUCACGUUCCUUCCGCAGGACAUUGAAAGCAGUAGCGCGGGGUCGUCUCAGAGCUCCCCUUGGGACACCACUUUAAAUAGGGUGUUGAACGUAAUGAAACACAAGGAUAAGUUCACUAAGCCGCCAUCAGCUGGUAGUGUGGCCGGCAAAGGCUUGUCCACAAAAUGGUCGGAAUACUAUAACGCUGGGUGAAAGGAGAGAAAGACCAGCUCAGAAAGCCAGGAGCGCGAGGUUCAAGAACUCAAGGCACAAGUGGCGUGGAUUUCGGAGAUGGUCCAAGAGCAAGUGCGAGACCAACUGGGAGCGACGAUCACCGCCAUUGUGUCUACCUUGAUUGAGGGGCUGUAGGUGUGGAUUGCGGGCGGCCAACAGGGGCCGCCCCCGAUUCCCAGCUUCACGGGCAGCAACUCGCACAACGCGCCGGUGGCGCCAUUGGUGUCUCCAGCGGAGGCGGUAUUGGUGUCUCCGGCGCCGGCCCGGGCAUUGGAGCUUAAUGCACCCAGGUGUGGGAAGAAUACGCCGACCGGCACCUCGGCAGCAAGCGGCCCCUCCAUCACUUGCACGUCCGCCGUUGGCGGUGCCUCGACAUUAGCCGAGCUCGACGCCAUCACGGUAACUAAGCCUCUCGGCCAAUGACUUCAUCUCGUUGCCUUUGACUGGGCAUCCCUGACGCCCUACAUGUUUCCGCAGGGCACCGCAAACGUUCCAUGCACUCUCCUGCACUUCGUAGGCGGCGAGUUGAUCGAUGUCGCCAAGGCCAGAAUCGUUCAAUCGGGCAACCCCAUGUUCCACGGUAAUCCCAUGCCACCCACCGUGUAUAGGGUUCAACUGGUUCGGGUGCUGCGGGGAUGCGGUGACUUGUUACCUCUGUUUCGACCCCAUGGUCCGACGAAGAUGAAGUGAUGACCCUCAGCACCUGCUUAAGCUGGCCCAUGCUUUGGCUGAAGAGCCAGAUUCGUUUGAGGGCGGGGGACACAACCCCACAGACAACACCGCUAGUCGUGCCGGCGCCAAGCCAUGGCAAGACCGCCGCAACGCUACCGCUGUCAGCUGAUCUGGACAUGCAUAUGGCACAGGAUCCGGAUGAUGGUACAUUUACCAACGUCGAUAAGUACUUGAACGAACAUGGGUAUGGUGAUGAAUUCUUAGGGCUGCCUCCUCAAGAACCCAACCUUGCAAAAUACGAUCGCGAUCUAGCUGGUACCGCGAAGAAACCCAAUUGCAACAUGCGUCGUCUGGCGUUCAGUUCUCAGGAGACGCCUCCAGCUGCCGCCUUCACUGAGCCUCAGAUAGCCGAGGUGCGAAAUAUUAUCAGCCCCAACACACUCAAGAAGGUGGUCUCUGAGCAGAACUCUAUCCCAUUACAACAGCAGGAGAAGAAGGGAGGAAAAAGAAAGAAUAACAAGGGUGCGAGCCAGUCGGCACCGAGUACGAUCCGUGCUCAGGACGGGCCACCUUCACCUAAGGAUAUCUCGAGGAGGGUGCAUGUGGCGGGUAGGCCGAUGCUACCAACUAAUCUGCUCAAUGCUGCAACCGGUGCUAUGCGGAGUGUGCAUGAUAGUGUUCUUUCUUUGGAGAAGUGGCGUCUCUCCGAGAAUGAUGUGGCAUACACGGUUUUCGUGGCCAAGGUGCCAGAGGGCAAGGGCUUUGUCGAUAGCACCAUCGGGGUAAUGAUCGUCCUGCGGUUUGAUGACAUCUUCGCUAUGUUUAACCUUCAUCCGCUGCACUACACCUUCAUUCGGCUAUUUUCGCUCAGUAUGGAGAUGCGGAUCAUUAGAGACAAGACCCCGGACAUCAUGAUAGUCGACCCCUUCUACAUGCGUGCCAAGAUCUUGGGCAGCGCUGGGGACCGGCAAGUCGCGAGUUCAUACCUCGAAGGCAUCAUUCUGGCGAACCCAGAUAAGGAUAACUUCCUCGUGCCUUACUUUCCCGAGUAAGUCAUCCCCUCACCGCCCCGUAACAUAUGAUUUCUUAGAUUUCGAUCAUUCUUUUUUUUCUAACAUUCCGUGUUUUGUGCAGUGACACACAUUGCACACUCAUCCUCUUAAGCCCAAAAUAUUCCAUGGCCACGUAUUUCGACUUGGACCGUCAGUCGAAGAAAGACUACACAAAUAUCAAGAAAGUUCUUGAUGAUGCUCUCCCCGGCUACGCCAGAUCUGGAGGCACCUUCAGGAGGCCAAUUUGUAGGUAUGGCAGGCAUGUGUUCACCCAUGUAACGACGUUCCCCUACGUCAAGCAGCCGCCUGGCGGUCAGAAAGAUGGCUACUACGCCCUCCAUCAUAUACGGGCGAUUGUACGGGACCAUAAUCACCUUCUGCUACCAACUAAUCUCAAUAAUUGGGCCGCACGCUUGUCGGCAAUUCAGGACGCGAACAUCAGACAAGAAUUCUUUCGCAUCCAGUCGAAGUUUGCGGAAAUCAUCCAUCAAGAUGUCCUUCGUACCUCGGGGUAGUUCUACCCCAGAUAUCAACCGUUCAACAGUGAAAUAGAAACAACGCUACAAAUACAGGCUGCCAACGACCGCGAUUUCAUGACCAUCACGAUAGACGGUGGCUUUAUUCACGCCUCGGUCCCAGAGUCGAGUCAAAAGUAGUGAUGCUAUGUAGUUCUGAAAUAUCGAUUAUCUCAUGUUGUAAUUAAACUUUAAUGAACUCGUAUGUCUCUUUAGUUUGGACAUCGUUCAACUUAUAUGUAAUCGAUGCUAUUUAUUUGUAGGACCAUGAAUCAUGCUAUUAAUGUGUUGCUUUUCUCUUCCGAUCCUUUUGUUGCAUACUUAUAUAUUGCUUAUGUAUUGUCUGUGAUUUGCUACUAACGUUUUGUUUGUCUAGUGCAUAGAGAUGCAGUCAUAUGUCGUGUACAAGGGUAAGGUUUCCGGAGUCCUCGGAGACAGGUUCACCGUUUUAGCGGUAACAGUUACAAAAGAUACACCACUAGGGCGGAGGCGGAAGCUAGAUACGCGCGCUAUCUAGCGGGAGAGAGGAGGGAGCGUUGGAGGAACCGGAUGAAGACCAGUUUCAUCGCGAUGAUGCUCAAUGUGACCGCAGCUCUCUUCUAUGUGAUGGUAGUUUAGAUGAUCGAUAUCGACUUGUAAUGUGAAGACAAACUCGCUACUCGCGGUCUCGAGACUUGUAAUGUUCUAACUUUGUUCGGUAUUUUGAAUUCGGAGACUAAUAUGAUGAAUUGUAUUCGGAGACUAAUCUUCUAUUGUAUUCAAUAAAUCUGUUGUUUAUAUGUUGUGCUGUUUAUAUUCUAUGUUGUAAUGUAUUUUGUAACCUGUGCAAAUAUCAGAAAAGAAAAAAAAAUUCCUAAUAUUCAUAGUAGUGGCGCACUAUAUUGCACUUUAGUGGCGCACUGGAAUAAACACACCAGUAGCGCAUUAUCUAAAAGUGCGCCAUUAGUAACCCAGAGCACAAGGUAAAUAUGGCCCCCUGGGAGGCAUAGUAAUGGCGCACCGGUGGACAUAGUAAUGGUGCACUAUGUGGUAUGCCACUAUUAUCUCGAAUACUAAUGGCGCACCAGAGGUGCGCCAUUACUAUUUGUUACUAGUGGCGUGUUAAUAGUGGGCACCUGCAGUGCGCCAUUAAUGGCAAAAACAGAUGCGCCACUAACAACCUUUUUUCUAGUAGUGAUUAGACCAGUCUAAAAAAUGCAGAACAACAUUCACCGCAUCCGCUCUGAAAAUUUCCUAGUUUCUUUGGAAGAAACGAGCCGGGGAAACCAUCCGGACCGGGGGCUUUUAGAGGACCUAUUCAGAAUAGGGCGUCACUGGUCUCCUCAGCUAUGAACGGUUUGGUCAGUUCAGUGUUAAGAACAAUAAGUUCAUGGGGGAUCACCUCAUCAUCCUUUGACGAAAUCUGUAGCAAGCUCCUAGAUACCCUCUUUUUCCUCGACCAUUUACCCUCUUUGUCUUCUAAUCUUGUAUGAUGGCAUUCUUUUUUUUUCCUCCAUGAGGCUUUUCUUUAGAAAUACCUAGUGUUCAUGUCCCCUUCUUUUAGUUCCAUUACUCUUGAACGUUGUCUCCAAAUCAUCUCUUCUCCGAGCAAGAGCUCGUCCAAUUCUUUAGAUAGAUUUUUUACUUGAUUUUGCUGAUCAACCGAGUAGGGGGCCUUCCAAAGAAUACUCAAUCCUUUUCUUAUCUUAGCUGUUUGUUUCAGUAUCGAACCGAAAUCUUUAUUUUCCCAACUUCUACCGCAUGGUUAAUAAUUUUGAUCCUACCUCCAAGAGAGUAUCGACGAAAUCACUAAUUAAGGAGUACUCCUUGUGGAGAUCACUCUAACUUUCCCAGGUUGCGACAAGUGGCGCGCUGCAUGUGCGUCACUUGUCGCAACCUCGAAGUUUUCCCUUUUUUCGUAGAUCUGUUUAUUCAAAACGUUUUAUCUCUUAAACCGUGCGUCCAAAUCUCGAACCGCUUUCGCCAUUGUAUUCCUCGCGUCGAGAUCUUCAAAAUUAGAUCCCAUGUUGACAGGUUUUGAUGAACUUUUUUUUCGCGAAAAAAACUGGACGAAAAAACCGUACCGGGAGCACGGGUUUCCCUUUCCGAAAGAGGCACACCCUUGCCUCUGACGAAAUCACAACCGUGCCUCUCGCAGAAGCAAAACCGUGCCUCUCUCGAAAGAAAAAAAAACAGAAAAUACGUUUUUUUUCGUUUCCGAGGAGGCACGGCCGUGACUCUCGCGGAAGCAAAACCGUGCCUCUCGCGAAAGAAAAAUAAAAUGAAAAAGUGUUUUUUUUUGUUUCCAAGAGGCACGGCCGGGACUCUCGCGAAAUCACAACCGUGCCUCUCGCGGAAGCAAAACCGUGCCUCUCGUGAAAGGAAAAAAAAACAAAAAACACGUUUUUUUUCCGUUUACAAGAGGCACGGCUGUGCCUCUCGCGAAAUCACAACUGUGCCUCUCGCAAAAACAAAACCGUGACUCUCGCGAAAAAAAAUGCGUUUUUUUUGCGCAAAUUUUUUUCCGUCGAAAAGCUAGGGAGGACCGGUGAAAAACCAAAACGUCAAAAACCCCCCGGAAAAACCCCGUUUAAAAAGCCAAAAACGGGUGCGGAAAAAUAAAAAAAAUAAAAUCCAGAGGGAGUGCCCACAGCGCGACACGCGAAUGGCUGAGAGUGCGUUAAGUGACGCUUGAUCCUUGCGAGCCUCCCGAAGAAGCGCUCGUUAAUUAGUUGCUCCCGAGUACCGACUAUAUAUUUCUUCUUCCAAGAAGCUUCAACCGAGUUCUUAAGCGUGUCCACCCUUUCCCACAUGUAUCAUACCGAAACAUGGGCUGAAAAUAACCAGGCAUAUUCCAGUUUAUUGGCUAACUUCCCAAGACUUAAAUUUCUCUAGGUAUUUGGUUCAGUGUCUUCUAAAAGGGUAUAUGGUUCAAUAUAUCUUAUAAAAGGUCGACUAGCAUAUGCUUAAAGUACAGGGUACUUGUGUGCGAUUUUGGUCUUUUUUUUAUAAGAUUGUUAUUUUUAAUAGACAAAGGUAGAGUGUGGUUUCAAUAGACCUAAAUAUUAUGAACGUGGUGUGACACGCUUUUCAUGUCAAGCCAUCUCUAUUGUCAUGUUUUAAAGUGGAAUCCCUCUCCUUUGUUGGUUCAGUCAUGUAUGUUGUCAUGUUCUUAAGUGAAAACUCUCCUUUGGUGUCUUACUCUGAGAAUAUUCCAACAAUAUCAGCCUUACAUCAUCAUACGCAAAAUCAGACUAUAAUAGUCGGCGUGCAACAGCAAGAUUUUUUUUUGUGUGUGUAGAAAUUAAUUCAACAGCGAGUUCAGAUGAAUAAAAAUAGCGUCUGCCACUAGUGUAAUAGAAAUUUGUACAGCUUAAUCCAAGAAUAAAGCAUCUCACAAGCAACUGAAAUGAAAAGGGUACAAACCAAACCUAAUUCCUUCCUCCUAAUUUGGUGACUUGGAUCAUGGUAGUCGCCGGCAGAUUACCUAACAUCAUGGACGUCAAGACCUCGUUUGUUUGCUCCGCGUCUAUGCUCCCAUCUUUGUCGCCCUCGAUGAUUUCCACCGAUUUUAGGUUGGGGGUGAGGGAUAUGGUCCGAGGUAGCUCCACCAUUGAACUGUUUGGGAACUCAUGGCACUGUAGGCAAGACGAACAAUUAUUAGGAGGUAAAAAAUUAUAAUUUCUGAGAAAGCAGGAUUAGUUAAGCGGGUGUACCUGACAGUUCUUUAGAGUGAGCUUCUCUAGGGCUGGAGCAUUAUGCAGAAAACGGCAGAGCGUCUGAGCAUCGCCGCCAAUCUCGGAAUCCUCAAGGACCAAGGUCCUCAUGCUGCGAAACACCGGUAACCCAUGGUGCUCCUCGUCGAGCAUCGCCUGCAACAUUGGCCGCGGGAACUUGUCCUUGGCCAGUGGCGGCAUCAGCGGCAUCGGCGGCUGAUCUGGCAAGAAGAAUGGUCCAGGUGGUUGAACAAAAGGUAUAUAUGCGUGCAGCAUCUCCGGCUGAUAUUGAAAGAAUUGAGCUCCAACAGGUGGAGCAUGAGGUGUAGGUUGCUCAACUACUGUCUGCAUCGCAUUGCAUAUACGUACAGUUAAUAAAUCAGACAUUUAUGCGCAGUAAAAGUAAAACAGAAAUCAAUUACUAUAUAGAGUACUAAUUGAGCAAGAGCAAGGGCAGUAUAGAUAGAGCACCAUGUUGCCAAAGCCGUGCAGCUUCAGGGUGCAGACGUGGGACAGAGAGCCGAUGAAGUUGCACAGAGCCCUGAGCAGAUCCCUGUCCUGCUGAAGGUAGUAGCCGCCCCCCUGUUUGUGCCGGAGAUCAGGCGUCCCUACCAGGCGGACGGAUGCUUGGACGAGGCAAGGCGCCUCCUCGAGGACGACGGCGAAGGAGAUGAGGCACCGGAAGUUAACGGCGAGGUGCAGCGACGCGAGUCGAGGGGCGGCGAUGGUGAAGGUUAGGCUCUCGCUGUUCCGAUUAGAGGAUUCGACUACGAGGUUUUUAAGCGUGCCGGACGCGAUCCUCGGGAGCGAUGCUGAUAACCUGGUGCCCGUGAUCUGCAGGUCUUCCAGCACGGGGAGCCCGUAGGCGAGGUGCUCCGCGAAAUCACGGUGGAGGGUCACCUGGUCGAGGCGCAGGCUCGUGAGGCGGUGGGAGGCUAGAGGGGGCAGCCUGACGGAGCCACGCACGUCGAGCGCCGCCGGGGAGCACUGGAGGCCGCGACGCACCCACCUCGUGUACUUGGUCACGAAGAUAUCAUUGCCGUAUCCGUACAUUGACGGAUCGCUCAACCAUAACGGAGGGAGGCGCAGCCGCAGGGUUUGCAGGGGCGCAGCGCCGGCGCUCCGAAUCCGAUGGACCAGAAGGCUGUCGGCGAAGUCCUCGAAGUCGGCGAACUCGUCCGGCUGCUCCUUCCCGUAGUUAGCGAGCUGGGCGGGGCUCAGCGGCCACGGGCUGGGACGUAGAGUCGCAUCGGGGCGGAACUCGCCGAUAUCGACGUCGAGGCACGGGGACGUGGGCCAGAGGUGCUGCCACCGCCGCGACAGCACGCACGUCUGAACGACCUGCCGGGCCUUGAGGCGCGACAGGAUGUCAUAGAGGAGGCAGUCCGGCAGGUCGCUCAGCCGGUCGUCCAAGCUGCCGCCGGCACGCUUCGCCGUCCUCAAGGCUUCCAUGCUGAUGGAUCUUCGGUUUGGUGCGCGUCCUUGUUUUACGGAUCAAUCUACCCAUCUACCCAAUCUAUAAGGAGAGAGUAUUUAACCAAAAACUACCACAAUUCACGGAACCGUGAGGAAAAACUACCACUUUACGAUUUUAUACGAAAAACUACCGCUUUUUUCUUAAACCUUGGCAAAAAACUACCAAGUCUGAAAAGAGCCCGCUUUGGCUCUUUUAAGCGUGUUUCUGACAGAGUUGGCCCACACAUAAGCAGGCUAAAAAGCAAUCGGGUCCCUAGUUUUUUUUCAAAAAAGGCUCGCGACGACGGCGGCGGCGGCGGCGGCUGCGCACGCACGCAAGCCAGCCGGUCAGCAAGCGGCGGGCGUAGUGGCGGCGGUGUUCGUGCUCCUCUACUUCUCCUCGCUGCAGCAGCCCAGCCCCUCUUCUCCUUCUCCACUGUCUCCUCUCCGUCUCCUUCUCCUCUGCCUCCUCUCCUUCUCUUGCAGCAGCAGCACGGGCACGAGCUCCUCUCUCGCGCAGCCCCGCCGCACUGCACAGCCGCACCUCGUCGCAGCCCCACUGCCGCACGCGCACACGCAGCCGUGCGCACAGCCCUUGCGCAGCCGCUCGAGCAGCCGCCCCGCCGGCUCGCCGCAGCAGCGCGUGCAGGAUCCUCCCCUUGCCCGACGUAGCCGGGCCCCAUGGCGCGCGCAGCUCGCAGGGCUGCCGCGAGCUCGCCACGCCGCUGCCGUCGCGCAUCCCAGCGCCUCCUCGCACGCGUGCACGCAGCCGCCUGCCCCCUCCAGUCGCUGGAGGACUGGAUUGAUUUUUUGAAAAAAAACUAGGGACCCGAUUGCUAUUUUAGCCUGCUUAUGUGUGGGCCAACUCUGUCAGAAACGCGCUUAAAAGAGUCAAAGCGGGCUCUUUUCAAACUUGAUAGUUUUUUGCCACGGUUUAGGAAAAAAGCGGUAGUUUUUCGCAUAAAAUCGUAAAAUGAUAGUUUUUCGUCACGGUUCCGUGAAUUGUGGUAGUUUUUGAUUAAAUACUCAUAAGGAGACGUAGUUCGGUCGUGGAGUGCGGAACUUGGCUACCUUUCCGCGAUUUUUUGUAACAACUUUCCGCGAUAUUUUUGUAUGCAUCACAGAUGCAAGAGCUCAUAUACGCGCGCAUACAUUCACCCUUAUGAACGCAUAUACGCAUACCCUAUCCUUAUGAGCACAUCCGAAAGACUGAGCCACAAUAUCAUCUUGAAAUUUACAAAGUCGUCGUAGGCACCUCGUCAUCGACGGGGACGUCUCCUCCCACUGAAUGCGCAUCACCGGAAAUUCUGAAAUAAAUCCAGAAAUAAAUGCGAGCACCAGGACUUGAACCUGAUGGGCUAGGGAUACCACAAUGCCUCUAACCAUCCAACCACAAGUUAGUUUUUUUCGCAAUUUGUUGUUUCGUUGAUUUCUGUGGAUGUUUACGAGCCUUGUUUUGUGUGUUGGAUCCAGAUUCUCUAACCAGUCUUUAGGAACUAACCUAACCUUUGCGAAGAUCAUCUCCAAUCAAGAUAGAUGAUGUACUAGCAAAAGAGCCCGUGUGUUGUAACGGGAGGACAUAAUUUCAUGUGCACCAAGUAAUCCAUUCGUGUUGCCACUUCUGUACGCCACCAUCAUCCACGAUGGUCAUGUGGUCCAAUUAUUCACCUCUUUCAAUUCCAAGCCGUCGAUGAGCUUGGUUGUGCGGCAAUGUCGUGUACGGGAACUUGCGAUUGAGCUUAGCUAUCGGUAGAGGGACUUGAGGCCUUCCUACAUGUGACGUCGGCAUGCAACUCGAAAUUUAGACAUACUAUUAGAACUUAAAAAGAAACUCGAAUUUUUGGGGUUCAUGCUGGAGUUUGCAGUGCUUGUGUAUGUGUGGAUGCUACCUUUCCGAGUUUUGUUGCUUCGUUCAAUUCUAUGGUUUUUUUUGUCCUUGUGUAUGUGUGCUGCUUCGUUGGUAGGCACGUACUAGAAAGCUACAAAGCCAUGUACCACAUACGUUCAACAAGUGAUGUUUUGACUCAGCUUUCACAUUGUUGGAAUCGCCCUGUACUAACUAAAAGAAGAUAGAAAGCCCAAGGCCUCAAACGGCCCAAGCAACCUGAAAAGCAAGGUAGGGCAAGGCACGUAUGAGGCGGCCAGCCUAAAAACCUGCCUAAUUGUUGCCUAAAUCGGUGGAUUCUGGCCUAGAGGGAGGAAUUGUGAGAUUUGACAAGCUUUGUCACUUUUUAGCUAAAUCUAGGCCUUUUUUAGGUAAACCUCAUGCGUGCCUCGCUUCAUGUGCCUGAAAUCUGGCUAGUGCCUCAGUUAACUUGUGGGCUUGGUUGGGCCUUGCCUUGCUGAGGGAGUCCUGGACUAAGGGGUCCUCGGGCAUCCAGGCUAUGUGAUAUGGGCCGGGCUAAUGGGCCGUGAAGAUACGAAAUCAAAGACCUUCCUCUGUGUCCGGAUGGGACUCUCCUUUGCGUGGAUGGCAAGCUUGGCAUUCACAUCAUGCAUCUUCCUUUCUCUGUAAACCGACUCUGUACAACCCUAGAUCCCUCCGGUGUCUAUAUAAACCGGAGGGUUUAGUCCAUAGGGCUAGAACAAUCAUAUGGGCUAGACAUCUAGGGUUUAACCAUUACGAUCUCGAGGUAGAUCAACUCUUGUAACCCCUAUACUCAUCAAAGUCAAUCAAGCAGGAAGUACGGUAUUACCUCCGUUAAGAGGGCCCGAACCUGGGUAAACAUCGUGUCCCCUGCCUCAUGUUACCUUCGAUCCUCAGACGCACAGUUCGGGACCCCCUACCCGAGAUCUGCCGGUUUUGACACCGACAUUGGUGCUUUCAUUGAGAGUUCCACUGCGUCGUCGCCAGAAGGCUCGAUGGCUCCAUCAAUCAUCUACAACAAUAUUGCCCUGAGGGAGACUUUUCUCCCCGGCCAAAUCUUCUUAUUCGGCGGCUUCACACUGCGUGCCAAUUCGAUUGGCCUUCUGGAGCAGAUCGACAGCUACGCCCCUGGUCAUCAGAUCAGUUUUGGAAACCUAAAUUAUGUCGCUGAUAUCCAAGGAGACUUGAUCUUCCAAGGGUUCGCGACCUCGACCACAGCUCCGGCCUUAGAUCCGGAACACAUCACCGAGUCCGAAGACGGGAGUUUAGAGCCCGCUGGACUCUCCGCAGCCAUAGAGCUCAACACCGGAGAUACGGAGGGGAUCGUUUCACCGGCAGGCCCGGAGUCACGCCAGACUCCCUUCAUCAACAUAAAGCCGGACUCACCCCCGAACACCAGCUCCGAACUCUCGAGGUCCGUGUUAUGCGGACUCGGCCAGGGAACUCCCGUCCCGCCUAACUCCACAGACCCUCGCUUCCCCGUCCAAUCCUCGCUCUUGAACAAGGCCCUGAACUUAAUGCGAUCUCUCGCCAUUGUAGAAAAAUCACUAUAAAACUACAUCCAGCCCAUACUAGGGGCUGAGAGCGGGGAAUUUCAUGUCCCACCCACCACCCACUUCAUAGCCACUGUUGAGGAUUUAACCGACACGCUCGACUACGAUUCCAAAGACAUUGACGGUAUGGACAAUGAUACCGGAGAUGAGAAGAGCCAGAACCCGCCGUUCACCGGACGCUGGACGGCCACUUCCUCGUAUGAUGUAUACAUGGUGGACACACCCAAAGAGGAUGACGGAGACGAUGGGAAGAAUCUAGAGGACAAGCCUGCUGAAGCACCUCCGAAGCGUCGACGUCAGCAGCAUCGAUCAAAAUGGCGUCGCGAAAAAGACAACAAUACCGGCACCGAAGAAAAUAAUACCCCGGAGAAUGCCGAAGACCAAGAUGCCCGAUCGAGCCAACAUCUGAACAGGAUGAUUGGGAAGAGGGGAAAGUCAAACCCGAUGAUCCUAUCGGGAAUGAGGGCUCCGAGGAUAGUAAUUACCUACCGAUCUCCGAAGAGGACGAGAGCCUCGGCGACGAAGAGUUCAUCGUGCCAGAGGAACCCCUCGAAUAAGAGCGCUCUAAGCGCCGGCUAAUAGCCACUACAAGAAGCCUGAAAAAGAAGCGACAUCAACUUCAAGCUGACCAGGACUUACUCAUUGACAGAUGGACUAAUGUCCUGGCUGCCAAGGAAUACGGUCUCGAGCGCCCAACUAAGAGUUACCCAAAGCGCAGGUUGCUCUCCCAAUUCAACAAUGAGGUCCUAGAACCUAUACCGACAGCGCGUAAUGCGGCUGACGGGCCGGGACAGAGCGGCAACCCAAGCCGAACACCAGCCCGCACCACCUCGCCCUAGAUGUAGAGAAACAGUGGCUGCAAGGUACAUGCACGACCUGCGAUAGGACCUGGACAAUAGAGCCGGUCAUACCAGAUCAAUUUAUGGAUCAAGGGGGCAUGCACCAGCGCGAGAAGACGGCCAUCAGGCCUGGCGCGAUAAGCACAACCUCACCAGGGCCGAAAACCGCAUACUAACUCCAUCCGAACUGCGUCGUGACGUUGCUCGAUAUAGAGGAGCCACACACCCCCUAUGCUUCACCGAUGAGGUAAUGGAGCACUAGUUCCCAGAAGGGUUUAAACCCGUGAACAUUGACUCAUACGACGGCAUGACAGAUCCCGCAGUAUGGAUUAAAGAUUUUCUUCUCCACAUCCACAUGGCCCGCGGUGACGACUUACAUGCCAUCAAAUACCUCCCCCUAAAACAUAAGGGACUAGCACGACACUGGCUGAACAACCUCCCAGAAAACUCUAUCGGUUGUGAAGACUUGGAGAACGCCUUCAGAUACAACUUCCAAGGUACCUAUGUUCGGCCCCCGGACGCUGAUGACCUUAGUCACAUAAUCCAGCAACCCGGUGAAUCAGCCCGGAAGCUCUGGACCAGGUUCUUAAUCAAAAAGAACCAGACUGUGGAUUGUCCGGACGCCGAAGCCCUUGCGGCCUUCAAACACAACGUUCGAGAUGAGUGGCUCGCCCGACACCUCAGCCAAGAUAAGCCGAAGUCCAUGGCAGCCCUUACCGCACUUAUGACCCGCUUUUGCACGGGAGAAGAUAGCUGGCUAGCUCGUAGAAGCAAUAGCACCAGCGACCCAGGCACCUCUGAAGCCAGGGACGGCAAUGGCAAGCCAAGAUGCGACAAGCACAAAUGUCAAAACAAUGACAAAGACAUGGCGGUCAAUGCUGGAUUCAGUGGCUCCAAAUCCGGUCAGCGGAAGAAGCCAUUCAAAGGAAACAAAGAUGGUCCAUCCAGUUUGGACAGAAUACUUGAUCGGCCUUGCCAGAUUCAUGUCUUUAAAUAGGUCGACAAGCUCAAUGCCGAACACAAGGGGAAAAGGCCGCCCAGCGAGGACGACGAAGAAGAGCCUCGCCCACCGAACACAGGGGGGCAGAAGAAAUUUCCCUCCGAGGUCAAAAUGGUGAAUAUGAUCUAUGUCACCCACCUCCCCAAACCGGAGCGCAAGCGUGCAUUAGGGGACGUCUACGCCAUAGAGUCGGUCGCCCACAAAAUUCAACCCAUGGUUGGCUUGUCCUAUCACCUUCGACCAAAAAGACCACCCGACCAGUAUCCGUCAUGGAGGUUCGGCAGCUUUGGUCCUCGACCCAAUCAACAAUGGAUUCCACCUCACGCGAGUCCUCAUGGACGAUGGCAGUAGCCUUAACCUGCUUUACCAGGACACCGUCCGCAAAAUGGGUAUUGAUCCGUCAAGAAUCAAGCCCACUAAAACUACCUUUAAAGGAAUAAUACCCGGCGUAGAGGCCCGUUGCUCGGGCUCAAUAACAUUGGAAGUUGUCUUCGGCUCGCCUGACAACUUCCGCGGUGAAGACUUGAUCUUCGAUAUCGUACCCUUCCGAAGUGGCUAUCACGCACUGCUCGAACGGACCGCGUUCACUUGAUUCAACAUGGUCCCGCACUAUGCUUAUUUAAAACUCAAGAUUCCCAGUCCACGCAGCGUCAUUAUAGUCAAUGGAAACACGGAAUGCUCCCUCCGCACGGAGGAGCACACCGGGCUCUCAUAGCCAAAGUACAGAGUGCCCCCCUCAAGCCGCACACCUCAUCGGCCAUCAAGCCGCAUGUUGGGGAUAUAACUAUUUGUGUAAGCCGCCCAGGAGGGCCGGGUUAUGCAAAGAGGAUUCAUCAAAGAGAAGCCCAAGACCAAAGCAUGAAGAUGGCGGUUCAUAAAGAGUUUAAAAGCCCACAUGCGACUUAAGGCCCGUUGUGGUAAACCGCUGUAAUAAUAUUACUUGUAUCAUAAGGUAGAUUUAACUAGUCACCGAGCCGGACAUUGUUUAUAAGCCGGCCGGGACUCUGUAAGCUGUAGGGCAUCCACCCGUGUAUAUAAGGGGACGACCCGCUGGCGGCUUAGGGCAAGAAACAACUCAUCGAGAGCCAGGCAUAGCGUAUCUCGCUCCCUGGUCAUCGAAACAUCAAUACCAACCCAACUAGACAUAGGCCUUACCUUCACGGUAAGGGGCCAAACUAGUAUAAAAUCCUCUCAUUUCCUUUGUCCCGAUUAACCCCUUCAAGAUUCCUAGUUGCGAUGGCUCCACAACUAAGUCAUUUCACGAGGACAUCUGACGUGACAAUUUCACGACAGUUGGCGCCCACCAUGGGGCCAGCGCACGGUGGAUUUGAGUUCUUGAAGGGCAACUUCGAAGGGCUCAAGGGAUACGUAGUAGGCCGCAUGACCAAGAGUCGUCGCGGCAAGAUCUACAUUCACGAUGAAGGCUGGGGCCCCGACGCCGGCUCAAUUGAGUACGGGUACCGGGUCCCCUUCGGAGGGAUCCACGUCUUCAUCGGCCGGAUUGGUGAGCCUGGGCCUGAGCCGGACAACUGCACCGACCUCAUCGAGAUGGCUCAGCGUGCGAAACCCGCCCGAGCUCAACCCGGCAGGAAGCAUGUAUUUGUGGGCCGCGUCCACGGAGAAGAGCUUUCUGGAGGACCCGAAGAUGGUGGUGAGACGGCCGUCCACUCUGAUGGUGAUUCGUCCGCCAGUUCAACAUAUUCUCUGUAUCAAGUCCAAGAUGGUGUGCUCGGGGGCUGUUCCGAUGGCUUAAGUAUCCCGGACCCGUGCGAGUCACCAAAUUGGGCAGGAGUCUUUAUGGCUGGGACUCAACCCGGACAAAACUCUACAGCCGCGGCUACAAUUACUUCCGGGUUAGGAGCGGCCGGGACAGGAGGCCCUGUGCGCCCACCGGCUCAAGUGCUGAUAGACAUCAUGGACAAGCUUACGACCCUGUUAACUGCUACGGUUAUCCCUGCGAACAAAGAUGAGCAUGACGCAGAGGUAGCAUGGGUACGUGAGGAGAUAGCUCAGGCCAAGGAGGCCUUAGCAGCUGAGGAUACUAGACUAGCUACAGAGUGGGCGGCUCUCGAUGCCCGGGCACAGCAGUUGCAGUCGGAGGCUUACCAGCUCACGAUGAGUUUAAAUGCGUCCAAUGAGGUAAUGAGGAGGAGAUACCAGAAGACCCAAUCCCGGUUACCUCCGAAUUACGACCCUAGGGUUCUUUUUGCUACACCCGGAGCCGGCCCAAGUAACCCGCCCGAUGCAAAUCAGUUUAUAACACCCGGAGCAGGAGGACCGGCUCAGCGUCAGGAGAUGCCACCUCCUCAUAUGAGCAUGGCACCGCCGCGUUAUGUGCCGAUACCGGAGGGUCACUUUUCCAACCCCAUGGAGAAUUUAAUCGCAGCGCCAGCGCGUCUGGCGGCUCUUCCAGUGGACGGUGAUGAUCCAACAGCGGUGGAGACCCGGAGGAUCAGGGAACUUGUCCAGACAGCCCUGGCUUAGCAGGAGACCUAUUCUUACAACCGGGAUAGGAUUCAUUCAACCCCUCCGCCUUGGUUAGCACCGCCUCGUCAGAACUAGAGCCCGAGUUACAGCAGGCACAUGGAGUCCCAAGCUUUGGCAAGCAACACCCAACACCGUGACCAACAUGGUGGCUAUAACCCGGUGCAAGACCGAGUACGUCAGGAGAACGAGCGGGCGGCUCAGCUGGCGGCUCAACAGGUGGAUCAACGGGCGGCUCAUCAAGAUAUUUCAGAGUAUCCAACGACUUCUAUUGAGAUGGGAGUAGCCACCAGAACCGGUGGUGUUCCUUGUUUAAUACCGGCUUUGCGCAACGUGCGCCUGCCCAAGGACUUCAAGGGGUUUCGAAAGGUGCCGAGUUACACAGCCGACUUACAGCCUGGAGCAUGGAUUGAGAGUUAUGAGAUGGCCAUGGAGCUGUUGGAGGUCAGUGACGCGGCAAUGGCUAAAUACUUCACCAUGAUGUUAGAUGGAACGGCUCGAUCUUGGUUAAAAGGUUUACCACCUAAUUCCAUUGGUUCGUGGGAGGAGUUAAAAGCCCGCUUCAUCCAAAACUUCAAGGGCACCUGUAAGCAAUCUAUGUCAAUCGUGGACUUGAUGAUUUGUAAGCAGGGGGAGGGUGAAUACACCACCCAUUGGGUACGCCGAGUCAAGGAAAUAAUUCAUUCAUCUGAUAAGAUGGAUGCCGGCUCUGCUGUCCUCAUGCUGGAGAAAAAUUGCAACUUUGAACCGUUGAGGCAGAAAUUGGGGCGCCUUAAGCGUGAUUGCAGCGAUAUGGGAACGCUGAUGGCGACUUUAGUCAAAUAUGCCGAUUAUGAUAGUACCAAGGACCCCGCGUCUGAUGAUGAGAAGAUAGGGAAGGGAAAAAGGAACGGUAAUGGAAAGGGUCAACAACACAACCCGAGGAAUCACUGCGGCAAUAAGCGUAAGGUGGACGGCAGCCCGGAGCUUGUGGCCAACGCUAGUACACAGGGUAACAAUCAGAGACGUAAGGGUAAGUGGCCUCGAUCCGGCGGGUCAGGCCCAUCUCUUGAGCAGCUACUCAAUGAGCCCUGCCCGAAACACGGAACCCGGGAGCACCCCGCUACACACCUGUGGAAGGAUUGUGCGAUCAUGAAGGCGUUUAAAAAUUCCAAUACCUUUAAUGGUACUCAUGGACCUGGUGGCGGUUCAGGGGCUGGCGGCUUCCAUGGCCCGGGCGGCGGUUCAAAUUCCGGUUUUCAGGGACAGCCGGGUGGAAAUAAUCAGCAGCAAGCUGGUCAGGGAGGACAACAGCAGCAGCAGUCGGGUUACCAGAGCCAGCCGAAGCAGUUAAGCGGUGGGCAGUACCAUGUGUUUACCACUAGCUUAUGCAAACGUGACCAGAAGGUUCAUAAGAGGGCUGUAAAUUCGGUUGAGCCGGCAGUUCCUCGUUAUUUGAGAUGGUCAGAGCAACCAUCAUUUGGAGCAGAGAGGAUCACCCUCCACGCGUCGAUAAUCCGGGCCAGUUAGCCUUGGUGGUAGCACCCCAGGUUGGUGGAUAUAAAUUCACUAAGGUACUCAUGGACGGAGGCAGAAGCAUCAAUAUACUCUAUUAUGAGACCUUCCAGCAUAUGGGGUUGACCGAGAAGAAUCUGAGAACAUCCAACACUGUUUUCCACGGGGUGGUUCCAGGAAAGUUGGCUUACCCAGUUGGUAAGAUUGAAUUAGAGGUGGCCUUUGGAGAUGAGUAUGAUUCCAAGGCUGAGAAGCUGACGUUUGAGGUGGUCAAAAUCAGGAGUCCAUAUCACACUCUAUUUGGGUGACCAGCUUAUGCUAAGUUCAUUGCACAGCCGUGUUACGUUUACUUAUAGCUCAAGAUGCCGGGUUACAAGGGCACCAUCACCGUGCAUGGGAGUCGAAAGGUGGCUUUGGAAUGUGGAGAAGGCGACGCGGCUUACGCUGAGACGGCCUGUGCUGCGGAGGAGCUCAAAUUCUAUCAAGACAAUGUUGACCCGGCGGAUAUGACCUCCCUCAAGAAACCAACUACUGAGCAUGACCCGGCGUUGAAAUUUAAAUCGGCUGCUGAGACAAAGCUUGUUGACUUCACCCCGGGAGACGCCUCUAAGCAGUUCAGUAUCAGUGCCAAUUUGGAUCCUAAAUAGGAAAGCACGCUCAUCGAGUUCAUCCGUGAGAACCGGGACAUCUUUGCAUGGAAACCUUCUGACAUGCCGGGUGUACCGAGAGAACUCGCUGAGCACAUUCUCAAUAUUGAUCCGAAGUAUAAGCCGGUCAGGCAGUUUCUCCGACGAUUCAACGAAGAGAGACGAACAUCUAUUAGGGAAGAGGUGGCCCGGCUCUUAGCGGCCGGGUUUAUUGUUGAAGUUUUUCAUCCGGAGUGGUUGGCUAACCCGGUGCUGGUGCUCAAGAAGAAUGGCACUUGGCGGAUGUGUGUGGAUUACACGGACUUAAAUAAGGCUUGUCCGGCUGAUCCCUUUGCUCUCCCUCGUAUUGAUCAAAUCAUUGAUGCUACGACGGGUUGUGAAUGUUUGAGUUUUUUGGAUGCUUACUCUGGUUAUCAUCAGAUCAAGAUGGCAGUUAAGGACUAGGAGAAGACAACUUUUAUCACUCCAUUUGGGGCCUUCUGUUAUGUUUCUAUGCCGUUUGGGCUCAAGAGUGCCCAGGAAACUUAUCAGCGAUGUGUGCAGAACUGUUUGCACAAUCAAAUUGGGCGCAAUGUUCAUGCUUAUGUGGAUGACAUUGUGGUGAAGUCCAGAGAAAAGGAAACUUUAAUAUCCGACUUGAGAGAGACCUUUGACAAUCUCCGGGUUUACAAGAUGAUGCUUAACCCGGCCAAGUGUGUGUUUGGUGUACCUGCAGGCAAGCUCUUGGGCUUUCUGGUGUCAAAUAGAGGCAUUGAAGCUAAUCCGGAGAAGAUCACGGUGAUUACCUCUCUGGCUAAGCCGGCAUGUAUCAAUGACGUUCAACGCCUGGCGGGACGUGUUGCUGCUUUAAGCCGGUUCAUAAGCCGGUUAGGGGAGAAGGCCUUACCGCUAUAUCAGAUGAUGAAGAAAACUGACACUUUUGUCUGGAGCGAUGCUGCUAACACAGCCUUUGAAGAUUUAAAGAGACAGUUGUCUGAGCCACCGGUUCUUGCAGCUCCCAUUGAUAAAGAGCCGCUAUUGUUAUAUGUGGCUGCUAAUUCACGGGCCGUUAGUGUUGCCAUCAUGGUGGAGCGUAAGGAGGCAGGCAAGGAGCAUCCGGUUCAACGGCCGGUUUAUUACAUCAGCAAGGUACUCAUUGAGUCUAAACAAAGGUAUCCACAUUGGCAAAAGCUUGUUUAUGGUGUGUUCAUGGCAAACCAGAAGCUGAAGCAGUACUUCCAAAGUCACCCUAUAACGGUGCUAAGCUCAGCUCCUUUGGGAGACAUCAUUCAGAAUAGGGAAGCCACAUGACGAAUCGCUAAGUGGGCUAUUGAGCUUGGGCCUUAUGGUUUGAAGUAUAUGCCCCGUACUGCUAUCAAGUCUCAGGCCUUGAUGGAUUUUAUCAAUGAUUGGACAGAGUUGCAGGCACCUGAGGAGAAGCCAGACAAUACAUGUUGGACUAUUCACUUUGAUGGGUCCAGGCAGUUAGAAGGAUCCAGGGCUGGAGUUGUCUUAACUUCCCCUCGAGGUGACAAAUUUCGUUAUGUACUCCGGCUUAUGUUUCCCUGUACUAACAACGCAGCUGAAUACAAGGCCUUGCUCCAUGGUCUCCGGAUGGCUAAGGAGAUGAAUUUAAGCCGAGUCAGGUGUUUGGGCGACUCAGACCUCGUAGCUCAACAGGUCUCAGGCACAUGAGAUUCUAAGGAUCCCCUUAUGGCGGCUUAUCACCGUGAAGUGGAUGCUGUAGCAGGGUACUUCAAAGGGUAUCAGGUGGAGCAUAUUGAUAGAAGGAAAAAUGAGGCGGCUGAUGCUUUAAGCCGGUUGGGCUCUCAGCGUAAGAUGGUGCGCCUAACACCUUUCUUGACAUUCUGCAUAAUCCUUCUGUCAAAGUACCUACAGAGGAAGAGCUUGCAGUGCCAGACCCGGAGGCAUAGUUGGUGGCCGCACUUCACGUCAUCCCGGAUUGGACAUUGCCAUACUUGGCUUAUAUGACCCGGGGAGAGCUGCCUGAGGAUGAGACCUUGGCGAGACAAAUUGUCAGGCGGUCCAAAUCCAUGACAAUUGUUAAUGGCGAGUUACAUCACCUCAGUGUCACAGGGGCGUUCCAGCGUUGUGUGUCACCUGCAGAGGGUCAAGAGAUACUUCGAGAGAUCCAUGAAGGGGAUUGUGGUCAUCAUGCCGGUUCAAAAUCUCUGGUGGCCAAGGCUUUCCAUCAUGGUUUUUAUUGGCUGACGGCUCAUGCUGAUGCAGAAGAUCUUGUUAGCAAGUGUGACGGGUGUCAAAAAUUCUCACGACGAGCUCAUAUGCCGGCCCAAGAAUUGAGGAUGAUUCCAAUUACUUGGCCGUUUGCAGUCUGGGGGCUUGACAUGGUGGGACCUUUCAAAAGGUCUAAGGAUAAAAAGACACACCUCCUGGUGGCAGUGGAUAAAUUUACAAAGUGGAUUGAGGCAGAGCCGGCCAGUCAGUGUGAUGCGGCCACAACAGUUCAGUUCAUCAAAAAGGUGAUCUUUUGUUUUGGUUUUCCACAUAGCAUCAUAACUGAUAAUGGCACUAAUCUCUCCAAGGGUGCCAUGGAAGAGUUCUGUCAACGGGAACAUAUCCGGCUUGACGUUUCGGCUGUUGCUCAUCCUCAGUCCAUUGGUCAAGCAGAAAGGGCUAAUCAGGAGAUCUUAAGGGGUAUCAAACCACGACUCUUGGUCCCCUUACAGCGGACUCCGGGUUGUUGGGUGGAAGAGUUGCCCUCUGUGCUGUGGAGCAUGAACACUACGCCUAACAGGUCCACGGGUUACACGCCUUUUUUCAUGGUUUAUGGAGCAGAAGCAGUUCUGGCAAGUGAUAUCCGGCACGAUUCGCCUCGUGUGGUGGCUUACGUCAAGGCUGAUAAUGAAAAAGCUCGACAGGAGGCACUUGACUUGUUGGAUGAAGAGCGAGACUUGGCAAUAGCCCGCUCAGCGAUUUACCAGCAAGACCUUCAUCGCUAUCACAGCCGCCGGGUCAGAAGCAGAACCUUUCAGGAAGGCGAUUUAGUGCUCCGGCUCAUCCAGGAUCAGUCCGAUAUGCACAAGCUAUCCCCUCCUUGGGAAGGACCCUUUUUGGUCAGCAAGAAUCUGAAUAACGGGUCAUACUACCUCAUCGAUAUUCGAGAGCACAAAGAUUCAUGUAAGUCGGAGGAGGAGACCCGCCGGCCGUGGAAUAUAGCCCAUCUUCGGCCUUACUAUACUUAAGCCACCGACUCUUUAGAUGUAUAUAUUUUUUGACAAUGUAUAUAUAUUAUAUCAAGUAAUAAAGCAGGACCCGAGGGAGUCCUGGACUAGGGGGUGUCCGGAUAGCCGAACUAUCAUCAUCGGCCGGACUCCAAGACUAUGAAGAUACAAGAUUGAAGACUUCGUCCCGUGUCCGGAUGGGACUUUCCUUGGCGUGGAAGGCAAGCUUGGCGAUACGGAUAUGUAAAUCUCCUACCAUUCUAACCGACUCUGUGUAACCCUAGCCCUCUUCGGUGUCUAUAUAAACUGGAUGGCUUUAGUCCAUAGGACGAACAACAAUCAUACCAUAGGCUAGCUUCUAGGGUUUAGCCUCCUUGAUCUCGUGGUAGAUCUACUCUUGUAAUACCCACAUCAUCAAUAUCAAUAAAGCAGGACGUAGGGUUUUACCUCCAUCAAGAGGGCCCGAACUUGGGUAAAACAUCGUGUGCCUUGUCUCCUGUUACCAUCCGCCUAGACGCACAGUUCGGGACCCCCUACCCGAGAUCCGCCGGUUUUGACACCGACAUUGGUGCUUUCAUUGAGAGUUCCUCUGUGUCGUCACCGAUAGGCUCGAUGGCUUCUCCGAUCAUCAACAACGACGUAGUCCAGGGUGAGACCUUUCUCCCCGGACAGAUCUUUGUAUUCGGCGGCUUUGCACUGCGUGCCAAUUCGCUUGGCCAUCUGGAGCAGAUCGAAAGCUACGCCCCUGGCCGUCAGGUCAGAUUUGGAAGUUUGAACUUCACGGCUGACAUCCACGGAGACUUGAUCUUCGAUGGAUUCGAGCCACAGCCGAGCGCGCCACACUGUCACGACGGGCAUGAUUUAGCUCUGCAGCCGGACAUCGCCUUGGAGGCCGCACACGAGUCUGCUCCGAUGCUCAAUUUGGAGCCGGCCACACAUAUCGAGGACGGGUGGCUAGACACCGCCUCGGGGGCUGCAACCUCUACGGCGAUGGAGCCGAACACUGACCUUGUCCCUCAUGAAGCUUGUGACUCCGAGGUGCCAGAUUCCUCGCCGGACUCCGAACCUCCCGCACCCCCUCCAAUCGAAUUCGAUUGGGCACCGAUCAUGGAAUUUGCCGCUGCGGACAUCUUUCAACACUCACCUUUCGGCGACAUCUUGAGUUCGCUAAAGUAUCUCUCGUUAUCAGGAGAGCCCUGGCCGGACUACGGUCAGGACGGUUGGGAUGCGGACGACAAAGAAAUUCAAAGCCCACCCACCACCCACUUAGUAGCCACUGUCGACGAUCUAACCGACAUGCUAGACUUCGACUCCGAAGACAUUGAUGGUAUGGACGACGAUGUCGGAGACGACCAAGAACCAGCGCCUACUGGGCACUGGAAAGCCACCUCAUCAUAUGACAUAUACAUGGUGGAUAUCCCAAAGGAUGGGAAUGGCGAAGGACCAGCGGAGGAUGACCCCUCCAAAAAACAGCCCAAGCGCCGGCAUCAGCGGCGCCGCUCUAAAUCCCGCCACAGCAAGAAUGGAGAUUCCGGCACCGGAGAUAAUAACACCCCAGACAGUGCCGAAGACAACCCCCUCCAGCAAGAUUCAGCACAGGAGGACGGAGAUGCCAGCCCUCAUGAGAGAGCAGCAGACGAAGAGGUAGAGGAUUACAUGCCUCCCUCCGGAGACGAGGCAAGCCUCGACGACGACGAAUUCAUCGUGCCUGAGGAUCCCGUCGAACAAGAGCAUUUUAAACGCAGGCUUAUGGCCACGACAAACAGCCUCAAGAAAAAGCAGCAGCAGCUUAGAGCUGACCAAGAUCUGCUAGCCGAUAGAUGGACUGAAGUCCUUGCGGCCGAAGAGCAUGAGCUCGAACGCCUCUCCAAAAGCUACCCUAAACGCAAGCUGCUCCCCCGAUUAGAGGAGGAGGCAUAUGAACCUGCAUCACCAGCAGACAAUACGGCUGACCGACCACCCCGUGGCCGCGACAGAGAGGCCUCUAGGCCCUCCACUAGAACCGUACCCCGACAUCGCUCGAAAAGCACACGGCCACAGGGGAACACUCUGGACUUGCGAGAUAUAUUGGAGGAUAAGGCAAGACAAUCAAGAUCGAUCUAUGGAUCGCGUGGGCGCCCCAUGAUACGUGAUGACAACCGUCGCGCCGGACACAGUAAGUCCGGCCGGGCCGAACACAAUAGACAAAGCUCUUUUGAACUUCAUCGUGAUAUCGCCCAAUACAGAGGCACCGCACACCCACUAUGCUUCACAGAUGAAGUAAUGGAUCAUCAAAUCCCCGAAGGGUUUAAACCCGUGAAUAUUGAAUCUUAUGAUGGCACAACAGACCCUGCGGUUUGGAUCGAAGACUAUCUCCUUCAUAUCCACAUGGCCCGCGGUGAUGAUCUUCACGCCAUCAAAUACCUCCCACUCAAGCUUAAAGGACCAGCCCGACAUUGGCUUAACAGCUUGCCAGCAGAGUCAAUUGGGAGUUGGGAAGACCUAGAAGCCGCAUUCCUCGAUAACUUCCAAGGCACGUAUGUGCGACCACCAGACGCUGACGACCUAAGCCAUGUAAUUCAGUAGCCAGACGAAUCGGCCAGACAAUUCUGGACACGGUUCUUAACUAAGAAAAAUCAAAUCAUCGACUGUCCAGAUGCGGAGGCCCUCGUGGCCUUCAAACAUAACAUCCGCGACGAAUGGCUUGCCCGGCACCUGGGACAGGAAAAGCCGAAAUCCAUGGCAGCCCUCACAUCACUCAUGACCCACUUCUGCGUAGGUGAGGACAGCUGGCUAGCACGCAGCAACAACCUCAGCAAAAAUUCUGGCAGUCCGGAUAUCAAGGACCGCAAUGGCAGGUCGCGUCGCUACAAAAACAAACGCCGCAUCAACGGCGACAAUAGUGAGGAUACGACAGUCAAUGCCGGAUUCAGAGGCUCUAAACCCGGUCAGCGGAAAAAGCCAUUCAAAAGUACUACUCCAGGUCCGUCCAAUUUGGAUCGAAUACUCGACCUCUCGUGCCAGAUACACGGCACCCCCGAAAAGCCAGCUAACCACACCAAUAGGGACUGUUGGGUAUUCAAGUAGGCAGGCAAGUUAAUUGCUGAAAACAACGACAAGGGGCUGCAUAGCGAUGAUGAGGAAGAGACCCGACCGCCAAACAAUAGAGGACAGAAGGGUUUCCCCCCACAAGUGCGGACGGUGAACAUGAUAUACGCAACCCACAUACCCAAAAGGGAGCGGAAGCGUGCACUCAGGGAUGUAUACGCGAUGGAGCCAGUCGCCCUGAAGUUCAAUCCAUGGUCCUCCUGCCCGAUCACUUUUGAUCGAAGGGACCACCCCACCAGCAUCCGCCACGGCGGAUUCACCGCAUUGGUUUUAGACCCAAUCGUCGAUCGAUUUCACCUCACCAGAGUCCUGAUGGACGGCAGCAGCAGCCUGAACCUGCUUUAUCAGGAUACAGUGUGCAAAAUGGGCAUAGACCCCUCAAGGAUUAAAAGACGACUGAGGGAGUCCUGGACUAGGGGGUGUCCGGAUUGCCGAACUAUCAUCAUCGGCCGGACUCCAAGACUAUGAAAAUACAAGAUUGAAGACUUCGUCCCGUGUCCGGAUGGGACUUUCCUUGGCGUGGAAGGCAAGCUUGGCGAUACGGAUAUGUAAAUUUCCUACCAUUGUAACCGACUCUGUGUAACCCUAGCCCUCUCCGAUGUCUAUAUUAACCGGAUGGCUUUAGUCCGUAGGACGAACAACAAUCAUACCAUAGGAUAGCUUCUAGGGUUUAGCCCCCUUGAUCUCGUGGUAUAUCUACUCUUGUAACACACAUCAUCAAUAUUAAUCAAGUAGGACGUAGGGUUUUACCUCCAUCAAGAGGGCCCGAACCUGGGUAAAACAUCGUGUCCCUUGUCUCCUGUUACCAUCCGCCUAGACGCACAGUUCGGGACCCCCUACCCGAGAUCCGCCAGUUUUGACAUCGACAGGACCUCUGUCCUUUUUUCACCCUCAACAAAGUGUAUAUGUCUUUUUGACACGUGGUGGAAACAACCAUUAUAGGCUGGAUCAUAUCUGAAUCCGGCUUUACCUUUGGUGCGGCUUAUGAUCAUAUCUGAAUCUAGCCAUGAUCACUUGGGGGCUUCCUAUUCAAACGUAGGUCGUAUCCGAACCAAAGAGAACAUAGCUGUCGAUACCUGCUUGAUCGGCAUACCGCCAAACCUACUUGGGGGCUUCUUGAUCAUAUUUGAAUCACAGCUUAACCCCUAUAGGUCUGACGUGGAUCGUAUACGAAUCAACAUCAUUAAACAAAUCUUAUGGUCACUUAGGGGCUUCCUGUUCAAACAUAGGUCGUAUUCGAACCAAAGAGAACAUAGCUGUCGAUACCCUUUUGAUCGGCAUCGCCAAACCAUUGUGGGCUAUAUGAUUGUAUCCGAAUCUUAGCUUAACCCCUUUGGAACGGUUUACUGAUCGUAUCCGAAUCAGAAGCCUGUAAAGUAUUUUGAUGAUCUUGAAACCUUGUGGAAAACAUUAUGAAAUGUUUUUUUCCUUGCCGGUUUAAUGUUUCGUCACCCCAGGUUGGUAAGUGCCGGGUGAAUAUUAUAUGAGCCGGGAAGAUUAUCAAAGGAUCGCAUGUAUGCUAUUAUGCUUAGGUUUAAACAACAUAAUCUUAAAUCAGCAUACAUAUACGUUUUUUUGGUUUGUGUUCCGGGUUAUCAAUACUUUCUGUGCAGAAUAAGGCAAGCAAAAUUUAAAAUGCCAAGGAAGUAAAAGCCAGAAAUAUACAACCAUGGCGGCUUAUGGAAAGCGGUAAGUGAUAAGAACAUGCACGGAGGCAUGAAGAGCAUUGGGAAGUUCUUUCUACCCUAUUACAAGACUCCUUGAGUCAGAAUAGAUGAAACAUUGUUUUUUAGCCAAACACCUGGCGAUUUAUUCCUUCGGCGGGCUUGAAGGCUCCGGGUUAUCCUUCUCCACUUCUCUGUCGGCUGUUUUGUCCUGGAAAGUUGACGAGGCCCAGUCAAUGCCGCUCAAAGCUUCAAACUCAGCUUCAUCAUCUAUUAAACCGGCCGGGUCCACUUCAGGGGCAAAAUUAUGCUUACGAAUUGGAGGGAUCAGGCUGAUCUGAUCAGAUGGAGCGUUUGGGAUUCUUCGGUUUUCACUGUCAUAAGCCGGCGCAUACUUGCUAAGGUCAGAGUCGUUUCCAAUAAGGGUUGCCACCGGACGUAUGGCUCUGACACAGGCGGUGAAAUCAUGAUCAUCAAAUGCAGUGCCGUCUUCCUUCAGACUUGGGUACCCAAGGGCAAGGUCGGCCGAGUCUAGUUCUGGGAGCCAUGCUUUAGCCCGGCUCAAUGCGGCCAUGGCCCCGGCUCUUGAGGACGCCCGCCUUAGGUCUUGGAUCCGCCGAGGAGAAAAGCGAGGCUCUUCAACACGUCUUGCAGAAGGCGGGGAUGUGGAGUUGAUAAAGCUACAACGGCCAAGGCGCGUUGUGACCCAGAGUACAUCUGUUCUACUAAGGUGUAAACUGCUUUAAGCUUGAUCAGCAUGUUUUGCUUCAGAUUGGUACUCCUGGGGCCUGUAUGGGCAUAAACAUGACCGUCAGCCGGAAGUAAUUAAUGCAAUAAUAAUUGUAAUGUUACAAUGUUUAAGGCUGUUUUCACAAAUAACUUACCGAAGAUGGCAGAGACCAUUUGAGAUAUAUGUUGUUUUAAGUCGGAUAGCUCGGUUGUUGCUUCUGCAAGGGAUGUUUCGGCUGUUUCGGCCCGAGUCACCAGAGAAGCCUUCUCACCAGCCCAAAUUUUCUUCUCCGACUCAAAUUUCUUCUUUAGUUUCUCAUUUUCAGAGACACCGAAUUCAAAUUUGGAGUUAGCCUUCUGUGUUUCAAGUUCUUGAGUUUCCAGAUGACUCUUCAGGACCGCAAGCUCUGAUUCAAACUGAUUUAUGGCAGCCUGCAUUACACCAGGUUAUGGUAAGGAUGAUAAGGUAACAUUAAAGUCUCAAGCACCUUACAAGUAAAGAUACUUGACACUUGGGGGCUAAUGUAUGCUGAAGAAUUUUAAACCUUCUCUUGCCGGGUCACAUAUAUUAAAGUCUCAAGUACCUUACAAGUAAAGAUACUUGACACUUGGGGGAUAAUGUGUAUUGCAAAUUUAAAAACCUUAUGUUAUAACCAGGUUAAGUAAAUUCUUUUUGAGCCGGAUAAGUUAACAAGUAUAGCAGAUUUCUAAAGUCUACAACAUAUUUGCUCAAUAAACAAUAGACUUGGGGGGUAGUACAGUAUGUAAGACUCAGGUAAAAAGUAUAAGUAAUACCUCGGAUUUGUGCUGUAUUUGUUUCACCAUGUCAAUUUCCAGGUCACGGCUGUUAUGCACUUGAUUCAGAUAGCCCGAGACUAUAUCACCAAUGCUUAAGUGAGUAUAAUCAGUAAGGUUCUUCUUGGCUUUUCGGCGUUGGGCAAAUUCCUCCUUGGCGGUACAUUUGGCAAGGACGGUAGGCCGUCCGGGUUCAACAAACUGAGAUUUCACAAUCUCAACUUCCGGUUCAUUUGUUUUGACCGGGCUAGGAGUUUUCGGGUCACUUGCAUGGAGAGUAUCUUCGGCAGGUGGAUCAGAAGUUGGCAUUGGAAUAUCAUAAGCCGGAUCUGGCGGUGGCUGAUGGGCAGAGUUGUCUGGAACAGAUGCAUUAAUCACUGGUUCGGUUACGACCAGUUCUUCGGAUGGUUUAUUCUUCUUUACCCGUUUACUGGGCUUCACUUGCAUGCUGAUUAACAAAAGCAAAAGGAUGAAUACACAAGCAUGGGUAAAUAAAAAGUGCAUAAGGUUACAUUACCCGGGAGUAGUUUUGAAAGUCGGCAUGUUUGACUGCAUGGAUUCACCGGAAGAAGGAGAAGUAUCCUAAUAAUUGGAGUCAGACGAAUUGAGAGGAUGACGAAUUAAGCCCGCUAAAGGUAAAACAGAACGUAAAUCGGAGAUAACCUCAGUCCGACGCUUCCUGGUUACGUCAGGUAAGCCGGAGGAGAGUUCUGCAUCCUUGUUGUUCCGGGUUUGCCUCCGGCUCUCGAGCUGUUGUUGCUUCAAAAGAAAUUGAGGAUCUUGAUAAGCAAGUGCAUGUGAAAAUCUUACUUUCCGGUCACCCUUUGGAUCUUUUGCUUUGGCAAAGGCUCUGAGUCGGAGGAGAUUAUAGUUACCUCUUCAUUGGCUGCUCGACUGUUCCCCGUAUCCUCCUGAAGGAGUAGAAUGUCAGACAGGUGAUAACAAGGGACUUAAGAAAAUUUAAAGAUUACCUCUUCCUCAUCCGAAGAGCUAUUUUCCAAUCUGAGUAAGUCAGAGGCGCUGGGUUUCUUAUUCUUUGAGGUUACUGCCUUGGCGGUUUUCCUUUCAGCCUUCUUGGUCGUCCUGGGUUGUUUAGCAGCCUCAUGGUCAUAUUUGGCUUUCCAGAAGUUAUCAUCGGCCUGCGGAAAAAGUUAAGGAAUUAUGAGUGCCAAGAAAGGUAUAGUAUAGCAUUAAGUAUUUGUUACGAUUGAUAACUUACUGCGGGGGCCGGGUUAUUCUUGCAAAAUGGAAGUAAGCCGAAGGCGUUGCUUGUCAUAGUGCCUUCCUUCAGCAGUGACUGGGUCGUAGCAUCCACCACGUCAUCUGGUAAGUCGUCAGGGCUAUGGCGUAACGGAUCAUUCUUUUCGCCUGAAUAAGCACACAUUAAGCUGGGACGGCGGCUUAAUGGAAGUAUUCGCCAAGUGACCCAGACUCGGACCAGAUCGAUGCCGUUUAAACCAUUUCCCAAGAGAGCUUUAAUCUUCCUGAUGGUGGAAUUGAGAGGCACGCGUUCAAGGGUCGUCAGCUUGUCUGGUAGAGGAUGGUUAGACUCAAGGCGCAGGGCGCGAAAGCCGGGCAGAGGUUUUUCAUCAGCCGGAGAAGUGUCCUGACAGUAGAACUACGUCUGGUUCCAAGAUUUUGGGUGACUCGGCAACUCAGCAUAAGGGAAAAGAUAGUCUCUCCGUCGCUGGAUUGAGAUGCUGCCAAGCUCAAGACUGGGCCCGUUUGCACGUUCAUUUUGCCGGUUCAUGUAAAAAAGUUCCCUGAACAAUAGCAGACUUGGUUCUUCACCUAGGUACACCUCGCGGAAGACUUGAAAAUUGCAAAUAUUUGACACGGAAUUGGGUCCAAUGUCUUGAGGUCUAAGGUCAAAGAAAUUUAAAACCUCCCUGAAGAAUUUUGAGUCAGGAGGAGCAAAUCCACGGCUCAUAUGAUCCGUAAAAAUUAUUACUUCCCCUGCUUUGGGGUAAGGCUUUUCUUCAGACGGGUCAGGGGCAUGGUAAGACAUGACAUCCUUUUUUGGCAGAUGCCCAGACUUCACAAACUCAGCUAGUUUGCUAUUGGUAACUAUGGAUGGAACCCAAUUGCUAGUUACAGGGGCCUUGGUAGCCUUAGGAGCCAUCACAGCAAUUGGCCUAUGGAAAAACAAGAAGAUCCGGUUCAAUUUUAACCCGGGAGAAAGAUCCUAAUUAUUCAAAGUGGCGGCUUAAUGAGGGGCCUAAUGAUAUCAGGACGACUGUGCAAACAAUAUUUAAGCCGCCACAAGUAUCAACAACAGUUCAAAAAUUAUUCGGAUCGUUUAUUUAAGUCGGACACCUCGACAGUUCUGUUUCAGGGUAUUUACCAGAAGAAGUUUCCGGGUGAUAAAAACAAGUUUUCACAGAUAACAGUUAUUACUCUGGAUCAAAAUGUUGCUCUGAAAAGAAAUUUUUCUAGACCUAAAAACAGGGCAGAGAAGUUCGUGCACUCGAAGAGGGUUUCCAAACAAGGGAAAUGAGAUCUAUUUCUAUGCAAGGUCAAUACAAACAAGUACCACAACAGUUCUACGUAGUUUUCACGAUCUAAGCAGGGCCUUGGAGGUAAGAACUAGCGAGGGUUUGCGUCAGGCAGUGAUAAGCGCCGACGAACUCGACAAAGUCCUAAUGCAGAUCUGAGAAGGGUAACGAAAGGAACUCACGGAUGCGGACGAGCUGCGGAGGAGCGCCGUCGAUCUCUGGUCAGAGUCAGGUUGAUGCAGCGGCCUGAGUCGGUGAAGACGAGGGGUUCGACGGUGGCGGCGGCAGAGCUCGGGAAAAGGCAAAAGGAAGAAGAUGACUGAGGGAAAGACCUAGGUCGCCCUAUUUAUAAGAGAAGACUGCCCGAGAGGGCGCGAAAAACAAGGAGAUAACAUUUAUUAUCCAGCGGCUCUGGCGCCUCGAUUCUCGAGAUGGUCAGUAAAGACAAAGAUCCGUUGAAGAUAUGACGGAAUAAAAAUUAAGUUUUAUUGAAGAUGACGUCACGAUGAUUUAGCCCGGAUCCAGAUGAUGACGUCACGGCGGGUUAAAAUUCUUCGUGCAAGACAAAAGACUGCAGGACAGUUCAUACGGUAUUUUAAGAUUGACAUAAACAGGUUCAAAUCAAUCUGGGGCCUAAUGUUGGGGAUAUAACUAUUUGUGUAAGCCGCCCAGGAGGGGCCGGGUUAUGCAAAGAGGAUUCAUCAAAGAGAAGCCCAAGACCAAAGCAUGAAGAUGGCGGUUCAUAAAGAGUUUAAAAGCCCACAGGCGACUUAAGGCCCGUUGUGGUAAACCGCUGUAAUAAUAUUACUUGUAUCAUAAGGUAGAUUUAACUAGUCACCGAGCCGGACAUUGUUUAUAAGCCGGCCGGCACUCUGUAAGCCGCAGGGCGUCCACCCGUGUAUAUAAGGGGACGACCCGCUGGCGGCUUAGGGCAAGAAACAACUCAUCGAGAGCCAGGCAUAGCGUAUCUCGCUCCCUGGUCAUCGAAACAUCAAUACCAACCCAACUAGACGUAGGCCUUACCUUCACCGUAAGGGGCCGAACUAGUAUAAAAGCCUCUCGUGUCCUUUGUCCCGAUUAACCCCUUCAAGCUUCCUAGUUUCGAUGGCUCCACAACUAAGUCCUUUCAUGAGGACAUCUGACGUGACAAUUCCACGACACCGCCGGACUUUCUUAAAAGAAUCCGGUCAGUCCCGCAAGCUGACGGCUCGGUACUUCCGGAGCUAGGCUAGCAGUUUCGCCUCCAUCGAUCGCCGCGCACACCCGCGGAAUUCAUACCGCGCAUGCAUCACUACGCACUCAAAAUACCUUGGGCAUCAAUGGAGGCACAAUACGGACAGGUCUAUAGUACGGUUCGACCCUGUAUGACCUUCCACCUUUCUUCAAUUUCUUUUUCUCCUACCACAGGUGCAUUCGAACUUAUAUAUCCUACGGUUACAAGGACUCCCUUCGAACCCGGUUUCGUGUAGGUAACCGAAGACCGUUCCCUUUAAGGAACCCCUCUCUACAAGGCGAAAGCGGCGCAGACGUGCAGCAGAAUAUCCAAAGGACUCUUCAUACCAAACCUUAUUUAAAGGACCUGCUGAGCUUUUCUCCUUAUUAUUAGACCCCCGGCAUGUAAAAUGAUUUUGGUGCUUAUGGUACCCUCUGUAAGAUCACGUUUUGACGUAUCAAUCAGAUCCUAGUAGGGACAAUUUUUCGGUAUCAACUUUAUUCAUAAAGCCGUACCCCGUCUCCCUAGUUGUCUCGCUCACAUACCUCGACACCCAUUGCCAAGGGCUCUAUACGGCCACAUAUGUGCCGCUAAACAAAAGCCCGAACAGCUUUGCAGCACACUUCAGCAUCUCAAACUUGGCAUUAUAUGCAUCAGCUCUGAAUCAUGUCUUUGGUCAAUAGUUGGGUUGCCCGGCUCAUGUGUUUGCUACCUUACGUUCCGUUUGUUCGGCUAGGGUAGUAAAGGGAGAACUACUGUGAUUGUGUUUCUGGUUCGUCCGGUCAAGCACCUCAGUAGAGAAAGCCGAAAACUGACUGUCAUGAUGCGGCUAGAACUGGUCAGCCGCUCGGUGACUUAAUAAAUCUUUAAUGAUUUUUCUGUAUUAAACGAAGGACUGUUUUUCCAGUCAUAUACGUAACACAUCCGCAUUCGGAUAGCCGCAUACGUACCAGGGGCUAUUUUAUAGCCCCAUCCUCAAACUCCUAUGGCUAAGUGAGAGCGGUAAAGCCGUAUAGUCUGAUUACCUGGUUCGCCGCACUGACACCUCCGUCACGGAUCAAGACGUUGGGUCAAGAGUGCUCAUGUGAUAUUUCCGAACACCUCUGUAGCAUCUACGUGGGGGCCGAAGCCGACGACUGGAAAACUCUCAGGCAUACAAAAACGGCCACACAGGAGGGAAGAAACUUCAGAUAAUGGACCAAAUAUAUUACAAAGCCUUAAUUUAUAUAAUAAACAUCUCCGGGUCGUUCGGAUACAUUCAUUCGAAUAUAAUGUCCUUUUAGCAUUGACCCUCUGUAAAGCAAGCACCCUCUAGGACGUCGUCUAAAUAACGCUCCGGCAUGCGGUGGUCCUUGCCUUCGGGAGGACCCUCCACCACGAUAACGACGGCCUUCAUCUUCGCCCAGUGCACCUUGAUGCGGGCGAAGGCCAUAUGUGCACCUUCUAUGCACACUGACCAUUUGAUUGUAUCAAUUCAGGGCACGACAUCGAUGAGUCGCUGCACUAGGCCAAAAUAGCUGCUCGGAACAGGUUCGGCCGGCCACAACCGGAGUGACCUCCUUCAUGGCCGCUCCGGACAUCUUAUGCAACUCGGCCCAAUGCGCCAUUUGGUCGUUCAGCAGCGUCGAGCGCUCCCGCGUCACAAACUACGACCAAAACAGCUUCUCCGUCGCAUGCCCCUCCCGGGCUCGGUAGAAUUGCGCAGCGUCGGCGGCGCUCUUCGGAAGAUCCGCAAAGGUGUCUGGAUUACUCCAUAGUCGAUUAAGUAAGGCAUACCUCUGAUCGCUAUCUGUACGGCCUGCCGGAUCUCCUCGCGAGCCGCUUGGGAUUCAGACCUCGCCUCUUGGGCUUCCUGAAGGGCCUUGGCGAGUUCAGCCGCCUUAACUUUAUUCUCCUCCUCGAGGAGCUCGCACUUGCGAGUGGCGUCCUUGAGCUCUUACUCAACUUUGGACACCCGCUCCUCGAACUGGCGCCGGGAGACCUAUUCAGCCUUCAAAUCAGCAGCCGCUUUCUCAGCGGCCGCAUUGCUCAUCCUUGCCUGCUCCUUCGCACGGGAAAGGUCACUCAUGAGGGUCUCGACCUCAGCAGCGCCAUAUGCAAUUAUGCAUAUAGCAGCACGCAAGCUUCAACUUAGCAUUUGCAAACUAAUUCAGUUGUAUAUGGAGUACUUGAAACAUACCCUAUGCCUCGUCGAGCCGCUUAUUAAUCCAAAUAUUGUCCUCGUUGACCAGCUGUAGUUUCUGCUUUAGUUCGGAAACUUCGGCGGCCUGAGCGGUUGCCGCUAAUAGUGAAGCCUGUUUUUUUACCAAAAAGAUAAGUAUGUUAUUUCCUGCGGAUAUCUAUAGACCUUUUGUUCGCCCUCCUUCAUUGGCCAAACAGAGUAUCAAGGGCUACUAUCUAUAUACAGGUAGAUUUUUUAUAUGGAAAGCGGCUAAAUACAUUACAUCGCAUAACUCGAAGCCUGUUAGUAGGCUCGUGAAGGCUUCAUUCAGUCCGCUCUUAGCGGACUGAACCUUCUCAACCAUCGUACCCAUCAAGGUACGGUGCUCCUCCAAGACGGACACACUUUGCAGUGCAUCCAUCAGCAUGUUCGGCGCCUCUGCAUUAAUAGAGGUCGCCGCUGGAAUAGCCGUAUCCCCCUCCCACGGAGGGGGCUGCUGAUUCAGUUCUAGAGCCAUUUGUGUCUCUGGAACAGUAUCCGGCUGGGGGUCAGAUAAUUCAGGACCCCCGUCGCCGGUCUCCAUGAGGGUUGUGCCCCUUAUUUUCUCGGCAGCCAAGGUGUUAUCCCCUGGCGCCGUCUUGGUCUCCUCCCACACUUCUCCGGAGCCCGGAGAAAUCCUUUGGGAUGACACCUCGGUGUCAUCCACCCUAGGAGGCGGGGAAGCUUGUGGAGGCAUCUCGCUCUCCAUCUUCUCUGGCGAAAGAUCCCCCGAUGACGAUGAUUCUUGAGGGAUGUCACGGGCCAGACUGAAAAACAAAAUUUGAUAUUAUUCUUAUAAUCUAUAAAAAGAUGAGAUGUAUGUAAGGCAUCUUAAGGUACUUACGAUUCGGCAAUGGGCUUGGCUCGGGGCGGUGCUUGGGGAUAGCUUCGGUGCCCGAAUCCGAAUCAUCCGAGAGGGAUAUCUUUCCCCUCUUGGACGCCCCCUCCUCCGGAUCUACGGAGGCCGCCCUCUUUUUCCCUUUGAGAGGAGGGUUCUAUUCUUCCUCCUCCUCCUCCUCCUCUUCUUUGUCUCCCUCGUGAGAGGAAGGAGCCUCGGUUCCUCUGGACACGGCGCCCAAAGUUUCUUUGUGAGGGAGGCCACAUUCAGCCUCCUUGCUCUUCUUCUUCUUGUCCUUCUUUGCCGGUGCCUGGUAGGGCGCUGGGACCAGCAUCUUCAUCAACAGAGGCUCGACUGGGUUUUUGGGGAGCGGGGUCGGACACUUACUCCGCUCUGCCUUUUUAUCCAAUCCUAUUUAGGAGAUGGAAUUUUCAGGACCCCUCCCUAAGAUUGACAAGCUAAGUAAUGUUCAGAAAUAUGAUACUUACUGGGGAUGCCGAAUUGUUGCAAUCGAGGCCGGUGUCGUCAGACGUCCUUGGACACGUCUUCUGCUUCUUGAAGAGCAGCUUCUAGAUCCCUUUGAGCGUCAUGCCAAAGAAUCACUACAGAGUCCGUGGCCCCUCCGGAUUGAACUCCCACAUUUUGAGAGGCCAUCAUUGGCAAGGGAGAGCUCGGCGGAUGAGCAUCACCUGAAUCACAUCAGCAAGGGUGAUGUCCUUUUUUACCAUACUCUUGAUAUGCUUCUGCAGCAUCGACACUUCGUCAGGGGAUCCCCCAUCUAGACCCUUGUUGGUCCAGGAUGCAAGCCGCGGAGGUCCAGAUCUUGAAGCAGGAGAAGUAGCCCACUUGGUGCCGCGGGGUUCGGUGAUGUAGAACCACUCCUACUGCCACACCUUGACAGUAUCCACAAAUCUCCCUUUGGGCCAGGUAACAUGGUUGAGCUUGCUCACCAUGGCGCAGCCGCACUUGGCGUGUUGGCCUUCAACCACCUUUGGCUUCACAUUAAAAACCUUGAGCAAUAAACCAAAGUGUGGGGGGACACGGAGGAAUGCUCACACACGACUAUAAACACCGAGAUGUGGAGGAAGGAAUUCGGGGCCAGAUCAUGGAAAUCCAGCCCAUAGUAGUACAUGAGACCUCGGACAAAGGGAUGGAGGGCGAACCCAAGUCCUCGGAGGAAGUGGGGAAUAAAAACCACCGUCUCACCGGGCUCCGGGGUGGGGAUGAUCUGCCCCGGGUUGGAAGCCUUUCUUUUAUCUCCGCUGUCAGGUACCUCGCCUUGCGUGGAUCUUUGAUGUCCUUCUCCGUUAUGGAGGAGGUCAUCCACUUGCCCUGGGAACCGGAUCCGACCAUUGGUGGAGAAGUUGGGGCAAAGGGAAAGUUUAGAACUUGGGAGCUGGAGCUCGGGGACAGUGUCGGGGGUUGGAUGCGACAUAUGCCAAAGGAUGGCUUAUCAUGGUGGGAGCGAGUAGAACGUCGCCGGUGCCUGGAAGCGAGAUGAGGCGAAGACAUGCACGCCGGCGGAUCUUACCCAGCUUCAGGGCUCUCCUAGGAGAUAACACCCCUACUGCUGCUCUGCGGGGUCUCCGCAUGAUCACUCAAGCAAGGUGACUACAACGGUGCUCCUAGAGCUGUUUUGGGAGGCAGGAGAGAGCAAGGCUGGUUCUCUCCUCCCGUGCUAUCUGGUCUAUCUCUAUUCAGGUCUGAACCCUUUGCAUGGGUGCCCUGGGGGGUUUAUAUAGGCCUACCCCCCGGGGGUACAAUAGUAAUAUGGCUGGGCACGGGUCCCAUCCGUCUGUCUCUCUGGCCACCGUCCUUCUCGCCGGCUUCUGGGGCCCGCCGACUGGCGGGUCCCGCGGACAGGCUUGAUACUAUAGCGACACUCCUGGUGACGCAGGCUUGGUCACCGGGUCGUGGCAACAGUGCCGCCGUCUAUCAGGCGAUCACUGUCGCCAUUCCCGAUCUUAUCAGGUUAAUGGCACAUGGGGCCCUGGGGAGGAGUCGGCCGAUUCCGGGGAGGCCGACUCUCACAGGUCUGUCUUUGGGCGCCCAGGCCGCCUUCGGCCCUCGCACAGACAGGCGGCCCCGCCGCCUUCGGGUCGUACAUGCCUGCGUCGUGGGCAUAGUGUACUGCGCAUUGUGGCUGAGGUCAGGGUAGGCAUGGCAACAGUGUCGCGCCUCGCCGGAGAUCUUCCAGCGAUACAGCUCACUGUAGCCAUGCCGGCCCUUCGUGAGCAGGGGGAGACGGCCACAUCAUGACCGUACCCCGCAUCGUACUUCGGGAUGAGGGAGGAGCCACGGGCCGACUCUCCAAAGUCGGCCUCCUUGAAGGUCGCCAGCUUGGAGUCAGCUUAUCUCGGAGUCGCCGUCUGGGACUCGGCCUGAGGGGCACGGCCUGCCCCGAUGUCUUGAAAGGUCUUGGGGCUCGGGUUAGCCUACCCGUGGCCCAUUACUCCGAUAGUAGUCCCCGAAGCUGGUGAAGCCCGGCGGUCGCUGCAUUGUGGGGCUUCGUCAGCUUCAAUCUUUAUAAGUGCAGACUUCUGGGACUCGGCUGCCAUCUUCUCUUGGGCCGACUUUCGAAAGUCGGAGCUUCGGCGAAGAGCCUCAGUUCGAAAGUCGCGGCGGGAAACUAGGCGGCGUGCCUGAUACGCCUCCCCGCUGCCAUCAAGGCGGUCCUAUCGCGUGGCGCCACGUGGGGAGAACAAUCUGCCUGCCCACGUGCGCGACGGGACGGGCCGUCAGGCGGGGCCCGCCACUACCGCGCCUCGGCAUACAGACGGAUCCAUUGCGGCCGUGGACGGUUGGUUUUCCCACGUCGUUACUGCGCGCAGUAACUUCGUGGGGUAAAUCGUGGGGCGGUGCGGGACAUCGUGCGCAGUUAAUCCCACGCCCGCCCCCUCGCCUUCUCAGCACGCUGGGCUAUAAGUAGGCGGGGGGAAGCAGAGGGGCACAGCGCGCGCGCCCUUCUUCCCUGCUCCCCCGCCCCAUCUUGCUCUCUCUCCUUCCUUCCUCCGCUGUUGAGCCAGAGCACACCAUACCGCGGCGAUGAGCUCUUCCUCCGCCGAGGCCCCUGCCGUGCGCUCCGGCGUGUGGGACGGCUCAGAGGUAGAGGAAGAACACAUCGAGUUCCUCCGCCAGACACGUCGUCUUCCCAACGUGGACCUCGUGCACACCCGCGCCGCGCCGAAGGGGGAAAUCCGGCCGGCGCCGGAAGAGGGCGAGCGGGUCGUCUUCCGCUCGCACCUUAUGCGCGGCCCGGGGCUGCCGGCGAGCGGCUUCUUCCGCUCGUUCCUGGAGUUCCACAGUCUUCAGCCGCACCACCUCACACCGAACACGGUGGGGCUGCUCUCCGCCUUCGCCACUCUGUGCGAAGGUUUCCUCGGCCUUCUCCCCACCAUCGAGCUGUGGGGGGAAUUCUUCUCUUCUAAGCUCGGCACGCACAUCGCCGGCGUGCCGGCUCAGUGCGGCGCCUUCAUCGCGAUGCGACGCUCGACGGCUGACAAUCCCUUUCCUCCCAUCGCGCUGAUCAAGUCGGUGAAGAUGUGGUAGCGCACAUACUUCUACGUGAAGAACCUCGCCUCUGAUGGCGACUGGGUCAACCUGCCGCCCUACAACGCCACUCCCCUGACCGGGAGGCUCCCCAGCUGGUCCCACAGAGUCAAGUCGCUGUCCCUUGCCGGAGCCGCCGCCGUAGCGCGACUCCGAGUCUUGAUACAGUCGGAGGGACUCGUCGGGGCUGACUUGCUGGCCGCCUUUGUAGCGCCCGAGUUCUCCCGCUCCAAGGCCGGCCACACCUGUACUAUCAGAUGAGCGGCCCCCGAGACCCAAGUCGAAUGAGCACCAAGGAGAUGCCUCGCAAGGAGUUGGCGAACAUGGUGAACUACAUCGCGCACUGCGAGUACAAGGAGGACUGGCAGUUCGGCAAGGAGCCGUACUCGCGCGAUAACCCUCCACCAAUGGUAAGUCGCUUCUUCCUAUUGCUUUGUCUUUUUUCCUCAGCCGACUCCGGCUUCUAACUCUUGUCGGCUUCUUCUGAACCAGAAUCCUCUUAUGCAGCCUGCCGCCGGCACCACGAGACAGCCCCGCGAGUAUGUCCCCGACCGCGCGGAGAGCGACGUCGAUGACCCCGACUUGGGGGCGGCGGCAAUGGAAGCCGACGCCGAAGGCGGGGGAGGGGUAGCGGAAGGCGACUUCAGGCCUUCGGCCACUUUCAACGACUGGCCCGACGAUGACGCCGAAGGGGAAAUCGCCCCGCGCCACCAGCCGAAGGUCGGCUCCUCCGCCGGCCAGGGCGGCGUGAAGAGGCGUCACGCCGGGCCGAGUGCGCCUGGCGGCAAAUUGAAGAAGCUUAAGGGGGCGGCCGCCGCGACCAGACGGGAGGAGGCGGCCACGAAGGCCAACCGCUUCUGAAGGGAAGUGAGAAGGCCGCCGCUAGUAUCCGUGUAAGUCUUCAUGCUCUUUUAUUUUCUUUGUUGAAUCUUGUCCGAGUCUUCGUUUAUGUACUCCCUCCGAUCUUCUCCAGGGCCCCUCUCUCCCUUGUGAGAGUCGCCGUCCCCUCUGUCAUGGGGUCGGCGGAGACGUCCGCCAAUACUCGGCGGGCCGACCCCGCCGCCGCCCUCUGGGAGGCGACGGAGCAAAACGCGCGGGAGAAGUGCGAGGAGGAGGAAGCCGAACGUCUGGAGAAGGCGGAGGCCGACAAGGCGCCCGCCUCCGCCCAGAAGGAGCUGGAGGAUGCCGAAGCUACCCUCACAGCGAGACGGCGUGCCGAGGAGGCUGCGCGUCGCUGAUCAGUGAUGCUCGUCCCCCCACUAUCGUCUGCGCCGCCGCCUCCGGAGUUCACGGGGCAAACCGGAGGGGCCGGCACCGAGGACCCCAUCGUGGAGAAGGAGGGCGGCGAUGUUUCCAUGUCGGACACCCUCGUGCCGCUACCACCGCCUCCACCGCCGUCUGGGAGGCCGCACGGCAAACAGCCGGUGGAUCCGUCAGAGCCGCCGGCUAUGGACGAGGCCGAAGCGCGGCUGCUUCUCCAAGUCGCCUCGCCGGUGCGUCGCCGUCUUGAGAGGGAGACCUCGGCGCCGCAUCCUUGGGAGACCGGUGUGGCCGGCUCGGCAUCCCUAGACGCCGAGGCCACAAGUGCCGCGCCCACCGGGUGGGUGCGCGGAGGCGACACCGGGCCGUUGAAUCAACUGCUCCUGGAAGUCCAGGCGAAGCUGCGGGCCGAGGGCGAUGCCCUUCAAGCCUGCACCAGGGCGCAUCUGGCCGCACGGACGGCCGUCCGAGUAAGUUUCUUUUCCCUUUGGAUUCUUGUUCGUUUCUCUGUGGGAGCGCGCCAGCGCACCCAUUGGGUGUAGUCCCCGAGUUCCGGGCCGGCUGUUGAGCAGGCGGUUCGGAACUCCCUCUGGUGAGUUCCAAACACUAACUUUGCCUUCAAUGAUUCAUUGUAGGAGUAUGACAGCCUCCGCGCCACUGCCUUCAACCGCAAUGUCGAGGAGCUAAACAAGCGGGCUGCCGACUUGUCGGAAAGUCGGAGUAAGUUCUUCUUCUUCGCGGGGGCGCGCUGGCGCACCCGCGGGCUGUAGUCCCUGAGAUUCGGGCCGACUGCUGAGCAGUCGGGCUGGAUCUUCCCGGCGAUCUUUUUUGUUAAUGACUUAUUUUGUCUCUUCGUUGUUCCUCAGAGGCCAAUACCGUUCUUCAGGAGCAGCUGGGUGAGGCCAAUACCGCCCGUCGUGCCAAAGAGGAGGAGUGUGGCAAGCUCGCCACGGAGCGCGACCUGCUGGUGGCGCAGCUGGCCGAGCAGAAGGAGCUACUCAAGAAGGCGCAGGACGAGGCCAAGAAGAGGGAGGCCGCACUCCUGGCUGAGUUCGAGAGCGAGCGUUCCUCCUGGACUCACAAGGAGGCGAUGCUGACCUCCGGCUUCCACGAGAUCGAGGAUAUUGUUGAUGGUAAGUUUCUUUCGCUUCUUCGGGCUUCUGACUAUGUGUCAGGCUGACUUCUGAUUUUUUCGUCUUGCUUCUUUUUUGUCUUGGCAGACUUCUUCCCUGGUCAUUUGCAGGCAGUUCCUCUGGCCAUCGAGGCUGCUCGUGAGGCGCGAAGGGUGAACGGUGAGGAGAUCGCCGCCAAUGCCCCCCGAACCAUCGAUGAGCAGCUUCUGAGCAUUGAAGCCCGUCUUCGUCCGGCUCACCGGCUGAUGCGCCGGCUUCAGCGUGCCGGCGCCCAGGCGGUUGCCGCCUUGUGGCCAGGCAUGCCGGCUCUGCGCACCGCCUGCCGAACUGCUAACUGGCUGGAGGUCGCUGCCGGCCGUCUUGAGGCUUGGAAGGGCUCCUCGGCCCGGGCCGGAGCGCGCCGGGCCUUGGAGUUUGUCAAGGCGUGGUAUCCAGGGCUAGACUUGGACCGUCUGGCCGCGUUUCGGUCAGAAGCCCAGGCCGAGCUGGAGGCCGUGGAGGGCACCCUUAUCGAGCGUGCAGCGGCCAUCACCGAGUACACAGACACCAGUGUCUUCGUCCCCGAGCGGGCUGAAGGCGGCGAGGAAGUGCCGCCGGAGUGGUUCGAAAUGAACCAGGAGUAUGGCGAAGAUUCGGCGAAGGUGAUCGACUCCAGCACUGAGGAGGAGGACGAGGCGGAGGACGAAGGCGAGGCGGAGGCGCCAAAAGACAGAGCAGGCGGCCAUCCUCAGCUCGACCGCGCCUCCAGCAACGAGCCACGUCAAGAGAAGGCGACUGCCGCCGGAGGUGAUCAAGCCGAGACCGCCCAGCCGACUGCCCCGGCGCCUGACACCGCCGUCUCCUCCGAUCCUCCGAUCCCCAACGCCGCCUCCUAGGCUGCCUCUGCCUGUCUGUCUUAGUAAUCUUUUGACAACUUUGUUAGUUUCGAACAGUUCCACCCGCGGGGUGUAUCUUGAACUUCUAUCCGAAAAUUCGGCCAAGGGCCUAUGUAAAUAUUUAUCCGAUUUCUGUCUUCCCUUGCUUACUGCUCUUUUAGGCUUUUCCCUUUGCCGCCUUCCCUUAGUCGUUGCCUUGCCAGUCGGACAGCCGCUCCGCGGACUGUCGCUGGGUCAAGUGCUCAGCUACUUUGGGAAAGCAAGUACUUGGUCGUUUAGAGUUUCUUUAGCAAGUUGGAUAGAAAGCGACAGGCCGAGUACCCAAGAGUCGGCCGUCCUUGAUAAAAGCUCAUAAAGACGGUGAGCCGGCUACUCAUGAGUCGGCUUCUGCUUUAGAAAUGCUAGAGGCCGUCUUACGCUACGUUCAUGCUUUAGGUCCUUAGCCAUUUUUCGUGUGGGCGCCCGUUCUUCCCCCCUCCUGUCCGCCUCACAGUCGCUCUACGAGCUGCGGCUUUGCCAGGAGGCGGAUUGGGCACCGCGCACUACUUGUCUGACUGCGGGAAGCUCCUCAUAGCGCAAGGCGGCGAGUCCCCGGGCCGACUAGUCUGGCCCGGUGCCACGCGGCUUGUAAUGAAAGUGAUUUUCUUGAAGGCAUAAUUCUUAUCAUAUAGAUAACAAAAAGGGAAGUCUCCGAGCUCGUCUUGGGGGGCCCAAAGUCUUAGUACUUUAAUACAAAGGGGUAGUGCGAUACAUACUGCAUCAACUGUAAAAUCUUCGAAGAAGAUUUGCAUUCCACGGGCGCUCUGUUUCUUUGCCGGAGUCGUCCCUCUUGCGCGCUCGGGGCUUCUGAGCAUCGAUCAGAUAGUAGGCGUCAUUUCCUAGCACCUUGCUGAUGAUGAAGGGGCCUUCCCAAGGCGCCGAUAGCUUGUGCUGGCCGGCUGUUCGCUGGAUCAGCCGGAGCACAAGGUCGCCUUCUUGGAAAGAUCUUGGCCUGACCUUCCUGUUGUAGUAUCGACGCAGGCUCUGCGGGUAGAUGCCGGACCGGCUGAGUGCCAACAGCCGGCCCUCUUCUAGUAGAUCGACGCCAUCUUGUCGUGCUUCUUCUGCUUCUUCCUCGGUGUACAUGGUGACUCGCGGGGAGUCGAACUCUAUGUCUGUUGGGAUCACGGUUCGGCACCAUAGACGAGGAAGAAGGGUGUGAAGCCGGUUGACUUGUUCGGAGUCGUGCGCAGACUCCAGAGGACGGCUGGCAGCUCCUCAAGCCAACAGCCGGCAGAUCGCUCUAGCGGGACGACGAGUCGAGGCUUGAUGCCGGAUAAGACGAGGCCGUUCGCUCGCUCCACCUGGCCGUUUGACUGCGGAUGGGCAACGGACGCUAAGUCCAAUCGGAUGCCCUGCGUCGCGCAGAAACGGGCCAAGGCGCCUUUGGCAAAAUUCGUGCCAUUGUCGGUGAUGAUGCUGUGUGGGAUGCCGUACCGAGUUGUGAUGUCAGCGAUGAAGGUUACUGCAGUCGGACCGUUCAAUUUCUUGAUGGGUUUCACCUCCACCCACUUGGUGAAUUUAUCCACUGCGACAAGCAGGUGAGUCAAGCCACCUCGUGCCGUCUUGAAUGGUCCCACCAUGUCCAGACCCCAGACUGCAAAGGGCCAGGCGAUGGGGAUAGUCUUGAGUGCGGAAGCUGGCUGAAGUGGCUUGGAACGGAAAAUCUGGCACCCCUUGCACUUUUGGACUAGCUCUUUGGCCUCUUCUAGGGCGGUUGGCCAGAAGAAACCGUGCCGGAAGGCUUUGGCGACGAGUGCUCUGGAGGCCGCGUGGUGACCGCACUCACCUUUGUGGAUGUCUCUGAGGAUUGCUUGGCCUUGUUCUGCCUCAACGCAGUGUUGGAAGACGCCGGUAACGCUGCGCCUGACCAGCUCUCUGUUGACUAUGGUAUAGGCUGAUGCUCGGCGUUGCACUUGCUGAGCCAAGAUUUCAUCAGUUGGCAGCUCUCUGUUUACUAAGAAUCUGAGGAUGGGCUGGGCCCAUGAAGGUGCUGCUAUUUCUUCAACUGCCACUAAUGCGACUUGGAUAAGGGCGGUCGGGCUGGGAGGCGGCGGGUUGGAGUCCGCAGCUGCUUGCUAGUUUGACAAAGUCCCGGGGCUGACUGGAGCAGUCCCAGGGCCAAGCUCUGGAGUCUUCGAUCUUGCCGCAGCAGUCCCCGGGCCGGGUUCUGAAGUCCCCGGGCCGGCUUCGACUGUGUGCUUCCUGGAGUCGGGUCCGGCGUCCUCAGGCGGAGCCAGCACAAAGAUUGAAUCUGAUUCUGGUGAUGGCUUGAUAGAAGGCUUGAGGAGGCGCCGGAGGGCGACACCAGAUGGUAUUGCCUGGCGAGUGGAGCCGAUUCGUGCCAAGGCGUCUGCUUGGUCGUUGUCGUUCCUUGGCACGUGGAGGAACUCGCACCCCUCGAAGUAUCCGCUGAGCUGCUGAAUGAGGAAACGGUAGCUCGCCAUAUUUGCGUCUUUGGCAUCCCAAUCGCCAGAUGAUUGUUGGACUACCAAGUCGGAGUCGCCAUAACACAAGAUCCGGCGAAUGCCGAGUUCUUUGGCAAGCCGGAGCCCGUGUAUGAGCGCCUCGUACUCGGCCACGUUGUUGGAGGCGGCGAAGUGGAUCUGCAGCGCAUAUCUGAGCUUGUCGCCCUUGGGGGAAGUGAGGACGACGCCGGCUCCCAAGCCGGUGCGCAUCUUGGAGCCGUCAAAGUGCAUCCGCCAAUGGGUGGAGUCAGGCGCUGGCGGCAGGUACUGGGUCUCGACCCAGUCGACGAGGAAGUCGGCCAGCGCCUGUGACUUGAUGGCGGUGCGGGGCUCGUAGUAGAUGGUGUAGGGAGCCAAGUCAAUGGCCCAUUUGGCCACUCGGCCAGAAGCAUCUCGGCUUCCGACGAUCUCGGCCAGUGGAGCUGUGCAGACCACAGUGAUUGGAUGCUCCUGGAAGUAAGGCUUCCAUUUCUUGGCGGCAAAAUGCAUGCCGUAGCACAUGUUCUGGUAAUGGGGGUAGUUCUGCUUGGAGGUCGACAGUACUUCUCUCAGGUAAUACACCGGUCUCUGGACAGGUAGCGCCUUGCCUUCCUCCUUGCACUCAACUACCAUGACUGUGCUGACUACUCGGCUGGUGGCGGCAAUGUAUAGGAGAAUGGCCUCUUUGGGAGUCGGAGCCGCCAGCACAGGGGGAGCAGUCAACAUCUUCUUCAGUUGGAGAAAAGCCUCGUCCGCCUUGGGAGUCCACUCAAAGAAGGUCGUCUUCUUCAUGAGCUGAUACAAGGGGAGAGCCUUCUCGCCCAGCCGACUGAUGAAUCGGCUGAUGGAUGCCAAACAGCCGGUGAACUUCUGCAUAUCUAACAGUCGUCUGGGUGCUUCCAUCCUCUCGAUGGCCUUGAUCUUCACAGGAUUGCACUCUAUGCCGCGUUCGGAGACCAGGAAACCGAGGAGCUGGCCGGCUGGUACUCCGAAAAUGCACUUCUCUGGGUUGAGCUUGAUCUGGAAUCGGCGCAAAUUCUCGGAAGUUUCCUUGAGGUCCUCCAGCAAGGUUCCACGCUUCUCCGUCUUCACCACUACAUCAUCCACAUAGACGUGGGCGUUUCUGCCAAGUUGCUUCAGGAGGCACUUCUGCAUGCAACGCUGAAAGGUGGCGCCGGCGUUUCUCAAGCCGAACGUCAUGGUCAGGUAGCAGAAGGCUCCAAACGGCAUGAUGAAGGCGGUCUUCAGUCUGUCAGCCAGGUUCAGCUUGAUCUGGUGAUAUCAUGAAUACGCAUCUAGGAAACUCAACAGCUCGCAUCCGGCUGUGGAGUCUAUCACCUGAUCGAUUCUCGGCAGAGCAAAUGGGUCCUUGGGGCAAGCUUUGUUGAGGCUCGUGUAAUCAAUGCACAUCCGCCACUGCUUGUUCUUCUUCAGCACCAGUAUCGGGUUUGCCAGCCACUCUGGAAAAAACACUUCCAUGAUGAAGCCGGCUGCCAGCAGCCGGGCUAUUUCUUCUCCAACAACUCUUCUUUUUUCUUCUGACAGGCGGCGCAAGGGCUGCCUGACGGGCUUCACAUCAGAUCGUACGUGUAACUUGUGCUCGGCGAAUUCCGUCAGGACACCAGGCAUGUCCUUGGGGGACCAUGCGGAGAUGUCGCGAUUCUCACAGAGGAAAUCGACGAGCUCGCCUUCCUAUUUGCUGUCAAGGCCAGUGCCUAUGACAGCGUGCCUCUCUGGGUGCUCUGGGUCCAAGGGUAUCUUCUUUGUUUCCUUGGCCGGCUUGAAUGAUCCUUCUGCUUCUGACUCCUUGGGGUCGGGCGAUAACUCGGGCUGCUUGCCGGCCAUCGCCACGACCCGAUCAAGAAGCUGUUUCUCAGCCGCGAUCACCAAGGACUCGGCCAGCCGACUGCUUUCGGCCGCGCAAGCGGAUGACUUCCUAUAGUCGCCGGACAUGGUUAGGAUUCCCUUGGAACUCGGCAUCUUCAUCUUGAGGUAGGCGUAGUGGGGUACCGCCAUGAACUUGGCCAGGGCGGGUCGGCCGAGCAAUGCGUGAUAUGGGCUUUCAAGGUCCACCACCUCAAACCAAAUUGGCUCUCAGCGGAAAUGAUCCUUGUCUCCGAAGAGGACAUCUAUCAGGAUCUUGCCGAUUGGUGAGCAGGAAAGGCCAGGGACGAUUCCGUGAAACACAGUCCGGCUGCUCUGAAGCUGUCUUCGCUUGAUUCCUAGUUUCUCCAUCGUAUCCUUGUACAUGAUCUUGAUGCUGCUGCCUCCGUCUAUCAGUACUCGCGAGAAGCGAGCGGCCCGCCUGUCCGUGGCAAGGGUGGCGCCUAGGACCAAGGCGUAAGAGCCUGGGCUCGGCAUCACCUCUGGGUGAUCAGCUCUGCUCCAACUGAUAGGCCUCUCGGACCAAUGCAUGAACUCUGGAGUGCUUGAUGCAACUGCAUUUACUUCUUGCCGCUGUUGGCGCCUGCUGCGCCGGUCGUCCACUACACUGGUGAACACCACAUAGGCUCCGUGCUCGUCCGGGAACUCGUCUUGUAUCGCGCCGACUGGCCUGACGGCCGGCUGCUGGGGCGACUGCGGAGGAGGCGGCCCAGCAGGAGGGGGAGGGGGCAAGCCGUCCCCCUUGGCGAUUCUGGUCAACCAGUGACAUUUCCUGGUGGUAUGGUUGGACGGCUUCGCGCCGCUGUGGAACUUGCAGGGACCAUCCAGAGUCUGCUCAUAGGAGAAAGUCGGCAGCCAGUUGGACUUGCCGCCCUUCUGCCGCUUCGCCGGAGGCGGUCCCUCCAGUUGUUGGUCCUCUGCCGUUGCCACCUGCCGACUGCUGGAAGUCGGCAGCGGAGCCUUGCGCUUCUGGUCAUUCUGCUGCUGCCGCCGACUAGUGUCUCCAGCCGGAGUUCUUGGAGCCUGAGGGGCGACUUUGCCAGUUGCGCUGACUCGAAUCUCCGCCUUCAUGGAGGAGUCGGCUGUGGCGUACUUGUCCGCCGUGAUCAGCAGCUCGUCGAGGGUCUUGGGCUCGUCGCAGAGGAGCUUGUGCUUAAGGAGGGUGCCUUCUCUGCACCCGGCAGUGAAGUACUCGAUGGCCUGCACCUCAUGCACGCCCUCGCAGGAGUUCCGGAGUUCCCCCCAGCGCGUGAGGUAGUCGCGAGUAGACUCGUCUGGGCCUUGCACGCACAAGGAGAGCUGGCGUGGCUUGGGAGGUCGCUUGUACGUGCUCGUAAAGUUGCGGACAAAAGCCUCGGUGAAGUCGACCCAACUGUUGAUGCUGCGAGGCUUCAGACUGUUUAACCACGUCCGGGCCGAGCCCUGGAGCAUGAGCGGGAAUAUCUUACGGCAACAUGCUUGUUGCCGUUCGCUAUGUUAACAGCCGUGGAGUAGUCGAUCAGCCAAUCUUCCGGCUUCAUGGUGCCGGUAUACUUGGGCGUGUCUCGGGGGAGCGUGAACCCUUUGGGAAAGGGCUCGUCCCGGAUGCGGGGUCCGAAGCAGGGGGGACCCAACUCGUCCUCUUCUUCCAGCGCCAAGGAUCGGUGGAGUCGGUCGAUCCGGUGGCGGGCGUCAUUCUCUCCGACUCCCUCUUGGCGGCCAAGGCAGUCGCCGAGAGUCGGAUGUUCCACGGGCGGCGAGGAAACUCGCCUUUCUCCGCGAGGAGGGGGAGGCUGGUAGUCGUCCCGCCGUUCCAUCGCUCUGGGGUGGCCGUCUUGGUCGCGCUCGAUGGUGAUGUGAGUCCCGCUAUGGCUGACAGCCGGCUCCUUGUCCUUCUUCCCACAGGCCCCUCCAGUCGGCGUCCGAGACGUCGCACCUUGGUCUUGGCGAGGCAGUGGGUCGUCGUUUUGGCACUGCGGCGCCUCGGUGCGGCAGCUGGCACCGUUCUGUGCGGCGGCCGCGUUGAGGAGCUGCUGAACUCGCUCCAUCAUUAUGCGGCGCUCUUCGCCUUCGAAGUUGUUGAGCUCGUCUACCGCCGCCUGGGCGGCACGGAUAUUCUCUGCGGGCGUGGCGUACACAGGGCGAUUAGCCCCGAAGAGGUUUGCGAUUGCCGCGCCACGCUGUCGGACCGCGCCUAGGCGGCUAGGCCCAGUUGGAGCCAGCGAACCGCCUACAGCGCGAUCCAUCUCUCGUUGGUAAGCUUCUGUCAAGCGCCUCAUGCUUGCCAGCUUUUUCGUGCCCUCGAUGAGCUAAAGGCGGAGCGCCUCCAGCGUCCCGGCGUCGGCAUCUUUCGGAAUUGGCGCUGCAAGGUCUCGUAGGGCCGCGUCAAGCGGGUCAUGCGCUUCCUCGCCGGAGCGCUCGCCGUGUUCGAGGACGAGGACCUCGGUGAUGGUGCUUCCGCCACUCCCCGCGUACGAGAGCGGCUCGUCGUAGACCACCACGUUGGUGGGGAACGCGUCGAGCGACACGGUGUCGGAGUCGACCAGCAUCGGGUCGGUGGAUCCUAUGGACUCCAGGUGCGUGGCAGGCUCGCCGGCGACGUGGAGUUGGUCGAGGAGGCCUGCGAGGAGGCUCUCGGGGUCACUCGUGACUGCGUCGGAUGCAGGCUCAUCGGAGAGGCAAACCUCACCGAUAAGAUCGGCGAGGCAGCUGGCCGCACAGGCGAUCUCCGCGCCGUGCAGUGCAUCGGCACAGACGCCAUCCGGCGUGCCGGGCUGGCUACGCUCGCCGGGAAGGAAUAGGGUUCCCGUCCAGAGUAGAUCUCCGGAAGAUGGUGCACCUCGCCCCAUGGUGGGCGCCAAAUGUCGGGGGUUGGAUGCGACAUAUGCCAAAGGAUGGCUUAUCAUGGUGGGAGCGAGUAGAACGUGGCUGGUGCCUGGAAGCGGGAUGAGGCGAAGACAUGCACGCCGGCGGAUCUUACCCAGCUCCAGGGCUCUCCUAGGAGAUAACACCCCUACUGCUGCUCUGCGGGGUCUCCGCAUGAUCACUCAAGCAAGGUGACUACAACGGUGCUCCUAGAGCUGUUUCGGGAGGCAGGAGAGAGCAAGGCUGGUUCUCUCCUCCCGUGCUAUCUGGUCUAUCUCUAUUCAGGUCCGAACCAUUUGCAUGGGUGCCCCAGGGGGUUUAUAUAGGCCUACCCCCCGGGGGUACAAUAGUAAUACGGCUGGGCACGGGUCCCAGCCGUCUGUCUCUCUGGCCACCGUCCUUCCCGCCGGCUUCUGGGGCCCGCCGACUGGCGGGUCCCGCGGACAGGCUUGAUACUGUAGCGACACUCCUGGUGACGCAGGCUUGGUCAUCGGGUCGUGGCAACAGUGCCGCCGUCUAUCAGGCGAUCAUUGUCGCCAUUCCCCAUCUUAUCAGGUUAAUGGCACGUGGGGCCCUGGGGAGGAGUCGGCUGAUUCCGGGGAGGCCGACUCCCACAGGUCCGUCUUCGGGCCCCAGGCCACCUUCGAGUCGUACAGGCCAGCGUCGUGGGCACAGUGUACUGCGCACUGUGGCUGACGUCAGGGCAGGCAUGGCAACAGUGCCGCGCCUCGCCGGAGAUCUUCCAGCGAUACGGCUCACUGUAGCCAUGCCGGCCCUUCGUGAGCAGGGGGGAGACGGACACGUCGUGACCGUACCCCGCAUCGUACUUCGGGAUGAGGGAGGAGCCACGGGCCGACUCUCCAAAGUCGGCCUCCUUGAAGGUCGCUAGCUUGGAGUUGGCCUCUCUGGAGGUCGCCAGCUUGGAGUCGGCUUAUCUCGGAGUCGCCGUCUGGGACUCGGCCUAAGGGGCGCGGACUCCCCCGAUCUCUUGAAAGGUCUUGGGGCUCGGGUUAGCCUACCCGUGGCCCAUUACUCCGACAGACAGAAAGGCAGAGAAGAAGGUGUGAGGUGAACAGAUGGAUCCUUGUCCUCAUAUAGAGGUAGAGAAUAUCAAGUGCCCCCUCAUCAGCCUUAAACCUCUCCUAUUCCCAAGGAGACGUGCGAGUGACACAGUUGGAUUACCUAAACCCGCAUUGAUGAGGAUCCAAUGAUAAGGGGGCAUGAUAUCUGCUUUGACAAGACAUGUCAAUGGUCGUGCCUCGAAACGUGAAGCGGGGGCUGUAAAACGGUUCAGAAUAACAAUGAGGCCAAAACAUAACGUCUCGCCGAAAAAGUUGCCCGUGGACGUGACUUAUUUUAAGUAUUGUUGCCUUUUACAGCUUAGGAGCGGUGCCGGAUACAUCUCUUAUGUGCGGAAGACUGCUUUGGACUAUUUGGAGGAGGAACCCACCUUGCAAUGCCGAAGACAAUCUGCGUGCCGGAUAUACCGUCAAUGAAGCCCAGUUCAGGGGCUCCUGAGGGAGUCCUGGACCAAGGGGUCCUCGGGCGUCCGGGCUAUGUGAUAUGGGCCAGACUAAUGGGGCGUGAAGAUGCGAAAUCAAAGACCUUCCCUCGUGUCCGGAUGGGACUCUCCUUUGCAUGGAUGGCAAGCUUGGCAUUCGGAACAUGCAUCUUCCUUUCCCUGUAAACCGAUUCUGUACAACCCUAGAUCCCUUUAGUGUCUAUAUAAACUGGAUGGUUUAGUCCGUAGGGCUAGAACAAUCAUACAGGCUAGACAUCUAGGGUUUAGCCAUUACGAUCUCGAGGUAGAUCAACUCUUGUAACCCCUAUACUCGUCAAAGUCAAUCAAGAAGGAAGUAGGGUAUUACCUCCGUUAAGAGGGCCCGAACCUGGGUAAACAUCGUGUCCCUUGCCUCCUGUUACCUUCGAUCCUCAGACGCACAGUUCGGGACCCCCUACCUGAGAUCUACCAGUUUUGACACCUAUACUUGCCUUCACAAGAUUGAGUUGGUUGUGCCUCCAUUAUAGUAUGUGUAACGUAGGUUUAACUAGGUUAUAAGUACCAAAUGUUAUUUUAAUCAAGGUUUUUGUUGUUCUUCAGACCAAUCACCAUAAACCAAAUCUAGAUGAAUGAUUGGUUGAUCUAUAUCAGUUAUUAUAGAGUACACAAAAAUUGUAGUUCUGUUAGUCUCUAGUCUCAACCCAAUAUCACAUCUUUGUAGUUCUUUCCUAUGACUUGUUACAAGUGACAAUCAUCAUUCAAUUAAUCAUUAAAUAUUACCAACGUUCUUGUUUUUUGGAAUGUUUCAGCAAGGUGGCUCUUCUAUGUUUAUUUUUUAUCUAUAACUAGUUAUAAGGACAAUCAUUAUUUUAAUCAACGUUCUUGUUGUUUGGCAUGUUAUUUCUUGGGAUCACCAUAAACAAAAUCUACAUCACUUACACCAAAAAAAGAAUUUAUUGGUCUCAGGUCUUAGCCCAUUGGCUUGGUGACCAAUUAAGCCCUAUUGCUAGACUACUCUGAUCACGCAAAAAUGAUUGUUUGAUAUAUAUGUAUACAUCAGUUAUGUAGAGUAAAAAAACACAUUACAAUUUUGUCACGCCCAAUAUGCGACCCUAUCCAAAAGGAACUCGAAGGUCCCACCAAGGAUAGACCCGCAUAUUGAAACACUUUUGCAAGGUGGAUAUCAUUACAUCAACAUUACAUAAUAGAUGGAGAUACAUACAAGAGGCAUACAAUGCCACACGAAUACAACAUCGCAAAACAUAAGAGCAUCAUUCGACUACGGAUGAAACACAAACAGAAACUCAAACGACAUCCACCCUGCUAGCCCAGGCUGCCGACCUGGAACCUAUCCCCUGAUCGAAGAAGAAGUAGAAGAAGAACUCAAGGCAAGCAAGCAUCGCUCUCGCGUCAUGAUCAUCGCAUAACAUGUACCUGCAACUGUUGUUGUAGUAAUCUGUUAGCCACGAGGACUCAGCAAUCCCAUUACCAUGGGUAUCAAGACUAGCAAAGCUUAAAGGGAAAGGAAGGGGUAAAGUGGUGAGGUUGCAGCAGCGACUAAGCAUAUAUGGUGGCUAACAUAAGCAAAUAAGGGCGAGAAGAGAGCAAGCGGAACAGUCGUGAAGCCAGCAAUGAUCAAGAAGUGAUCCUAACUCCUACUUACGUCAAACAUAACCCAAAGACCGUGUUCACUUCCCGGACUCCACCGAGAAGAGACCAUCACGGCUACACACGCGGUUGAUGCGUUUUAAUUUGGAUCUGGUGUCAAGUUAUCUACAACCGAACAUUAACAAACUCCCAUAUGCCUAUAACCACAGGCACGACUUUCGAAAGAUUAUACCCAGCAGGGGUGUCCCAACUUAGCCCAUAAUAAGCUCUCGCGAUCAACGAAGGAUAUACCUUCUCCCAGGAAGACCCGAUCAGACUCGGAAUCCUGGUUUACAAGACAUUUCGAUAAUGGUAAACCAAGACUAGCAAAGCCUCCCGGAUGUGCCGACAAAUCCCGAUAGGAGCUACACAUAUCUCAUUCUCAGGGCACACCGGAUUGUCCAAACUUCUGGUAGGCCAGCCCAGAGUUGCCCCUGGUGGCCACCGGCGGCUGACAGGUUGGACCAACACUCACGACGAGCACUGGCCCAGGGGGGAUAAAAUAAAGAUGACCCUCGAGAGCGCGACUCCCAAGGGAAAAAGGGCUAGGUGAGGCAAAUGGUAAAACCAAGGUUGGGCCUUGCUGGAGGAGUUUUAUUCAAAGCAAACUGUCAAGGGGGUCCCAUAAAUCACCCAACUGCAUAAGGAACGCAAAAUCCGGGAACAUAAGACCGGUAUGACAGAAACUAGGGUGGCAAGAGUGGAACCAAACACCAGGCAUAAGGCCGAGUCUUCCACCCUUUACCAAGUAUAUAGAUGCAUUAAUAAUAUAAGAGAUAUUGUGAUAUCCCAACCAAAAUCCUGUCCACCAUGGAGCAAUCCUCAACUUCACCUGCAACUAACAACGCUAUAAGAGGGGCUGAGCAAAGCGGUAACAUAGCCGAACAAUGGUUUGCAUAGGAAAGGUAUCAAAGGUUAGAGGUUCAUGGCAAUAUGGGAGGUUUGAAGAGCAAAUGAUAGGUAGCGCAACAAAGCGAUAGAACGAAGCAACUAGCAUAGCAAUGAUAGUAGUGAGAUCCAGGGUAGCGGCAUCUUUCCUGAAAUCCCGCAAGGAAGAAGAACGAGUCCAUGAAGAAGAUGAAGCCACGAAGACGAACCAAGCGUAGACGAACGAAUCCUCACGAUCGCAACGAAACAGGAACUAUCGAUAAGAAGCACACAACAGGGUAAACACACCACACAUGAACAAGGCAUGAUGCACAACAAGCAUGAUGCAUGACAAAGAUAUAUGGAGCUACUCAUGGCAAGAGAUGAUGCAAACAAGAGCAACACAUCAAGGCAAGUUUAAAUGAGGCCGGGAACAACAUAUAACAAUUCCGGUAAGUCCUCAUAUGAAAAUUUCAAAGUUGGUCCAGAUCUGAAUAAACCUUAUGUUCAAGUUAUUAAACAGCAAGUUAAUAUGCACCAAGAUGAUCUACACGAGAUUCUAGUCAAGUUACAUAUAAAGUUCAUUUAGUUCAGAGCUACGGCCUAGAAGAUAUGAGCAAAACAAGUUAAACAUGGCAUUGAUGCAAAAAUGCAUACAAACAUCAAGCAAACACCUCAAAAUAUGGAUGAAACAUGAUAAUAUGAAACUAUAUGCAAUUCUAAGCAAGUUUCAUAUAGAGCACACUCAAAACGGAGCAAUGGUUCAACACACACACAUGAAACAAGUUUAAAGGCCAAGCUGUCCAAAACAGCAACUAGGCAUAUUGCAAGCAUCAAAACAACAUGCUACAGGACCUAAACGUAAAAACAAAAGGCAUGAGCAUGAUGUACAGGUAACGCAUAACAAAACAUGAACACUGAGCUAACUCCAGAAAUCACUAGAACAUGCUCAAACACACAUGGCAAGAUUGCAAAUAAUAACAGUUCAGACUUUGCAGAAAAUAACAUCAGGUUGCGAUGUUUAGAGCUAUCAAACAACAUGUUACAGGAACUUAUCAUGGAAAACAAAGGCAUGGCAUGAAUCUACUAAAUGCAUAGAUCAAAUGUCCUUUAGUGAACAUGAGCCAAAAAGGAUCAGAAAAUAUGAUGGCACCCAUGUAAACAUAGCAAGUUAUAUUACAGAUUCAUACAUGGCAGGAACAGAAUUAUGAAGGCAUGUUGAUGAGCUUGUACCACUCACCACAGAGCAAUACAUGGCAUGGCAAGGCACCCAACAGUAAGAAGACAUGUUUAUGAAGCUAAGCAUGGCAAUAGCAAGUUCAUAGGGUGCAUGGAACACUAGCAACAAUCAUGGCAACAACUGAACUUAAUGUUAACAGGCUGACAGCAACAUUAUUUAGCAACUUUGGAGCAAGAUAUGAACAAGCUACAGCAGGCUAUAAUUGCAACCAGGGGCAUGGAUGGAUAGAGCAUGACAUGUAGAACAAAACACCCUUAGUGAACAUCUCCAAAUUAUGAAUGGAAUGACUAGUAGCAGCAGGUUUACAUAGCAUCACGAAAUAACAGAUUCAGCCUAGCAAAACAGUAACAGCAAGUACCCUACUUAACAAGCUUGAUUCACUCACCACAAGUCAUUGCAUGAAACGAUAAGCAUAGAAUCAGCAAGAAGACAUGUUUAUGAAGCUAACGAAGGCAAGAACAAGUUCAUAGCAUGCAAGGAUCAACUACAACAACCUUGGCAAAAUCGAAUAACAUGUAAACAA
rnacentral:lncRNA from 1 species